UUUUUUUAAAAGUCAAAUUAAAAAUGGAUACUUGUCCAUAUUAAUAAGGUUUUCAUACUUCUUUUUCAUCUCUUACACGCGUACCACCUCAGCAUCAAAGGGUAUAUUUAUUACUCAUUAAAGUAGUUUAGGAAGGUAUAGGACACUCAUAUAGUUAAAGUGUGUCGUAGAUAUUUCACCUACAAUUAAAGGGGUACUUAUGUCUUGUGUCUAAGUUGAACAAAUAAAAAUUGUUAUUCAUCUAAAAAUGUGUCAUUUAUUUCUAUUAUUAAUUAAAGGGUUUAGGGGCGUCACGCCAAAUACCUAGAUAAAUAUGCCAAAUACCAACAAUGAUGAUGAUGGUACUUACAAAACUUAGCAAAAAAUGUAAAGGGAAGAUACAAUAAGGUAUUAAAAUAGAAUAUGAUAAGAUUGAACGGACUAAUAGGAUAUAUUAAUUGUUUUAAUAGCGCAUUGAACUUAGUAUUGAGUUGAUGUAGAUAGGGCAAACUUAAGUUAUAAGAUUUUCAUAGUCGAAUAAGAACUUUUGAUUAAUGUUACAAAUACAAAAUUAUUCCUUGAAGUGAAUGUGCCAAUAUUUAACAAAAAUUAUUGUUGAUAGUAUUAACCCAGCUACAAUGGCUACUGUUACAUUGAUAUCAAGGAAGAAGGAAGAAGGAAUCAGAAGGUAAAAUGGAGAAUUUGUGAAACUGUAUUAUUUCUUCAUACAAUCCAACUAUCGCUAUUUAUACAUGUCAUCCACUAACUAUACACGUGACUAACUAAUUAUACUGCCAGCUAAUCUAAUUUAACAGAUUCUAUUAUUAAUCUGUGUAUACAUACUAAGCUAGCUAACAACUUAAUACAAUUGUCACUAAUUUCUACAAUUAUAAAUAUGAAUGUUCUCUUAGUUGUGAAAAAUAUCACGACUUACCUCUAUAAGAGGUAGAAUAAUUAAGAAGAAUUCUAAAUAUUCUAUGUUUUACUUCCGAAGUAGUAAAAGUAAAUUUAAAACUGACUUUUAAAGUAGUAAACACUCUAAAUUUUACUCUCGAAGUAAUGAAUAUGGAAUUUACUCUUUAAAUAACAAAUAUUCUUAAAUUUACCUUCGACGUAGUAAGACUUUGAAAUUUCCUCCCGAUGUAGUAGAACUUUAGAUUUUACUCCCAAAGUUGUAAAACUUUAAUUUUGAUUCACGAAGUAGAAAUUUUGAUUUUUACUCCUAAAGUGAUAAAACUUUAGACUUUACUUUUGAAGUGGUAGAAUUUUAAAAUUUACUCCUGGAGUAGUAAAAUUAAAAAAUUUACUUUCAAAGUGAUAAAUUUUAAUUUUUACUCCCAAAAAUGGUAAAACUUUAAACUUUACUCUCGAAGUAGUACAAUUUUAAAAUUUACUUCUAAACUUGUCAAACUUUGAUUUUUACUCCAAAAAUGGUAAAACUUUAAACUUUAUUUCUAAAGUAGUAGAACUUCAUAAAAUUUACUCCUGAAAAAGAAAAGUGUGAAUUACAUGGGGAUUUUUCUAGGGAUUAGUAUGAAAAUUCGCAGGAAAAUUAUUUUCCUGAAUUGAGAUGUAGGAUGUGAGGAUGAACUAGUCCAACUCUAUGAAUAGCCUUACAUAUCUGGAAGAACUAAGUUCUUUGGCCAAAUUGAAGAAACUUGAAGAACGCUUGAGCCCUAGAUUUUCUCCUCUCAGAACCUUGCUUUAAUGUCUUGAAGUGUUAAUCAAUGUAAAAGAAUUGAUUAACACUUUCUAAGCCCUUAAUUUGGUGUGAAAUGACGUAGUUUAGGCUUAUAAUAAGAGUUAAAAUGGCGUAGUUUAAGUACCAAAUACAUAGGAGAAAGACUAAAACGACCCAACUUUUAAAACUGAAAAGGCACCUAAAAAGGGCAGUUUCACAGGCCGUUUAAUGCUUCACGGCCCGUCUAGUGGGUCGUUAAGUUGCACCUGCCUGACAGUGCUUCACUAAAAUGAGCAUAACUUUUUACUCCAAACAUCAAAUGAGGCAAACUUGAUGACGUUGGAAAGGGGACUCAAAGACCUUUAAUUUGAUAGGUAAUGCGCCACCUAAUUCAUUUUGUUCUAAGAGAUAUGAUUGUUUGAAGUUGAGACAAAACUCAAGAUCUGAUGGGUGACUUGUACAGACCACUAAACACAUCAUACAAGUCAACACGAGCUGUUUAGUGGCUUGUCUAGGUGACCUUCACCUUGGCUGCCUUGGGCAGUCCUUCACGAUGCCCAAAAUGAGUCGUGAACCCUUAAACAAGCCAUCUAGGGUGCCGUGAAGGGUCCAUGGUCCAGUUUGGGUUUGUGGACUUGCCCGUUUCCCUUCUUUAGCACUUUUCGAAGUCCGGUGUGUUACAAAAAGAUUCAAAUUUUAAGAGUAGAGUUGCGAGGUGUUAUAAGAUGAUUCAAGUCUUAGCUUAAAAUUUUUUCGGUGUGUUACAAAAGUAAUGAAUGGCGUAUGUCAAGCACAUUUAAAAAUUAGAUUUUAUUCCCCGAAACGAAUGAAGAUAUACCACAACUUACCCUUUAGAGAGAUAGAAUAACAAAGAGUAUACAUGUCGUAUUUGUGAUAUAAAAAGUCAACUCAAUACGUACAAGUCAUACUUAGAAACAUCUUGAAUAAUUUUAAUAAGUAUCAACGCAAUACGUGCAAGUCAUACGUAGAAACAUCUUGAAUAAUUUUAAUAAGUAUCACUUUGAGGCAAAAUGAAGAAGAGUACAAUAUUUUAUACCAUAACCUCAUUGGUACAUUAUGAUUAAUUGUUACUGAUUUCCUCGACGGAAAUAACAAUUAAAGUAUCUUUUCCCGAAAGAUACAAAAUUGUGAAAUUAUCUUUGUGAUACAAAAUAUUCAGAUCUGUUAACGGCAAAUCUCCCUGAAGGACUCUACUUAACUUUCUAUUUUUACUAACAUCUUUCAUGUUGUUGUGCAAUUUAAUAUCUUGAAUUGGAACUCUUGAAGAGUUUUCAAAAGCAAUAGAUAUGACCAAGUGAAAGAAGUUGAAAUGAAAAACUUGUAGAAUUCGACUGGUCCUUGUAACGACUCUACCGGUCGUUAUUGGUAAGCUAAUUGUAAGAGAAAUUGGGUGAGAAAACUUUUGGAUUGAGAAAUUCAAAAUUUCAGGCUAGGAUUGGAUGAAAUCUGAGCGAGGUGAAGUCUAGGAUAAUCCAAGAAAGAAUUGGUAAAAUGUCUAAGUUUGAGUUGAGUUACCUUUUAUCUAAGACGUUAAGGAGUUUGUAUGACUUUUCAUAAUUGAAUUCGGGCAAGUAAAUCUCCCGAUAUCUAAGUUGGUGUGAAGGGGUUGGUUUGGAACAUCAAAAUUUAAAGGUAUGUUGCGAAAUAGGCCAAAAUAAGAGGAUCUCCAAGUUUUUGUCCAUGCUUUGGAUAUAAUCUACCGAAAAAUGUGUACAAUUACAUAGAGAAAAAGAAUCCUAUAUGUUUUGGACUAUGGUAUUACACCCCAAAAAAUGUGUAGAGUUACUUGGAGAAAAAGAAUGUGUUAUUUUGGACUAUGAUUUUACACCCCAAAAACGUGGUUAUAUAUAAGAUCUGGACUAUGGUUCUACACUAUAACACCUCAAAAAUUGGUAAGUGAGUUGGAAGCUGAAAAGUUGUAGAAAAGUUACUGGUGCCAGUUUGAAUGAGACCACCUAUGGUCCGUGAUGGUGGUCGUAGAAGCUGAGUUGGAAAAUUGAAAAUGUCAACUCCCACAUGAGUACCUACGGACCAAUAGGACGGUCUAUAUGAAGUUGUACGGUUGUAGAUCAGGGCCCGUAGAAGAGAUAUAGACUUAGAAAAAAAUUGAUGAACCUUGGAUCUACAAUUGGGACUAAAGACCGUACAAAGUCUUAUGGUCCGUUACCCAGGGCUCGUAGAAAAGAGAGUGGACUUAAGGGAUUUUUUGACAAUGAGUUGCAUGGAAGAGACCUAUGUGUCGUAGGUCGUUCAACAUGUCGUAAACCCUGGCUCAUGGAAUUUGGUUUAGAAGUUGGUCUCUAGUAGUCUUUCUAUGGUACACCAAUACAGUAUGUAGAAGCCUGUAUAGACCAUACAUGGUGCUCAUAGAAGUGAUCCUGUUGUUUUUAAGUGGGGUUGGUUCAAUUUCUUUCCACCCAUUUUAAGUCUAAACCCCCACGUUUUUACACCUAAUUAAGGUUAUCAUCGGUGUAGUUUGACCUUAAAGCUCUCAUAAACACUUCUAUGACUUGGAGCAAGGAUCCAAGCGGAGAAAGCUAGGUUUUUUGAGUUCUAAUUUCUUAAUUAUGAGAUUAUGAUACUUUAUGCAUUUAGAUACUUGCAUUGUUGUUCAUGCUUAUAUUUUUACAUGAAUCCUAGUUGAUGAGAUUUUGUUGAAAGUAGUUGUGCUAUUAUUUCCUUACAUUGAUUUUGGAAUUUAAAGAGAGUCCAAGAGUAAUUUAAAGCAGCAUUGAGAGGAGUUUUAAAGGAACUUUAAUGAUCCCAAAUGUAUAAUUUUUACAUUUAGAAAGGAAGUAUUAUUUCCAGAAAAGCAUAAAAAGUUUUCAAAAGCAUUUCAGAUAGAUAAAGUAAAGUUAAGUUAUCCCUUAAAGAGGGUCUUUUGAGUAUCAAUGAGUAUUUUAUAUGAGCAUACAUAUUUAUAUAUUGGGAGUAGUAUUGAAUACUGAUUUGGAGUAAAAAUUAAGAUAACUUAAACUCCAUAACCUACGCCGCCAGUGCAGAUAUGUUUGUACCACAAUACGGGCUACUCCUCACCUACCUCAAGAAGGAUUUAAGUGGAUCCAUAAGUUAAAGUUGCGUUCUAUACUCCGGCAAAGUAUAGGGAGACUCUGUCAACGUGAGUAAUACGUUGUAAUAUCACGAGGCUCAUAGUGAUAAUUUUCGGUUAGAGAAAUUCCCUAUAAAGUAAAGUAUUUAUAUUUUAGUAUUUGUUAUCAUUGCAUCUUAUAGUGUAAAGUGAAAUGAUUUUUCUUCACGUGAAUGCUUUACUUCAAUUGAGUUACUUCAGUCCUUUAGCUUAGUUAUUUGUUUCAUUCAACUUUAUUACAUACGGUAAAUUUCAUGUACUAUGUCAUCCGAUCGAUGUUGCGUCAUCUCAUGAUGCAGAUACAUGUAUUUAGUAUCAUCAAUAGGCAUUUCGUUGAGAUCACAUCACUACUCGUAAGCUUUUGGUGAGUCUAUCUUGCUUUUCAGAGGACUCCCAUUUUUUAUUCCUUUAGUAGUUUGAUUAAAGUUAUCGUGGGUCUUGUCUCGACACCUAUCUUUCAACAGUAGAGGCUUUAUAGAAAGGGAAUUUUGAGAGUCUUUCAGUAUUCAGUUUCAAACAUUUUGCUAAACUUUUAUCAUUUAUAUCAAAUAUUUUCAAACAGCUUUAAGAUUCCGUCACUUGUUUUAAAUGAUUUUCUUCAAUUUUAAGCUUAUGUAUGCUUGAGUUAGUCUUCCGCUAAGUAGUAAGCUAGACCAAAAAUUUCUUGGGGGUCAACAAUGAUUUUCGAGUACCGGCCACGUCCAGGAUAUAGGCUUAGGGAGUGACAUACAACCCAAAACGUGGUUAUACAUACGAUCUUUUUUUAACCAUAAUAGACAUACUUAUCUAAGUAGGAAUACUUUCCCACACUAGUAUUAUCCACUCAAUUGAUUAAGUAGGCUAUAACAUAAGAAUGUGGACCUGGAUAGAGGUGUUAUUCAACAACCACCUAAAUACGCCCUCUUUCUCAAGAAUACAUGAUAAACAUGCACAAUCAAUUAAGGGCUCAUCAACUAGUAGAGUUAAUCACGUUGUUGAACAAGUAGAGAAAAAUAAUGGCAAACUUACUAAACAUAAUGUAAGUCAUAUUUCAAAAGGUUCCAUCACACACCCUAGAUAGAAAUUUAGCUACUCAUAAUAGUAUGAAGAAAUUCAAUGAUAGAACCCAUGACAACAGAAAUUAAGAAGAAAUACGAAAAAAUGUGAGGUGAAUCUAUCUCUUAUCUCCAAGAGUGUUCUUGUCUCCAAAUAUCCGACGUCCCUUUUCAGCAGUCAUUUACUAGGGUAUUUAUAGGACCAGAUGUGUAGGAAUCAAAUAACCUAAUCCAAACUCGCUAGGAUAAUUUUCUUAGCUCAUCUGAAUUCUCACUUCACGAGGAUCACAAGUGAGCUCUAAAUUAUCUCUUGCUUCUAGGCUCGCUUGGUUGUCUAAUGAAGCAAGGAUAUUGAGUGAAUUCGGCCGAGAGCGAGGAUAUUGAGUGAAUUCGGCCUUGCUCCAAUCAUCAUUCCUUUACUUCAAAUCCAACCAAUAUCACCUUUUUUUUGUGUUCAUCUGACAUACUUCCCACACACAUAAAACUCAUAAUAAUCUCAAAAUAUAUGAGAUAAUGAUGUGACAAUACAAUUAUGAUCAAGAUAUAUGAGGUGAUAAUGUACUAGAAAUAUCCACUUUUAGCUAAAUAUCAAGCACACAUAAUAGUGAGGUGAAAAUGGUAAGAUUGUUGCAAACUCAAUUCAUUGCUCUAUAUUGAUGUGUAUGUCAUAUUUUCACCAUUCACCAUAACUUGUAUUAUCAUAAUUACCUUUCAUGACUAAUUUGAUUGUCAUGAAAGGUAAAAACCUACUCGGGAACAUGGAGUUUUAAUUAGGAUGAGGAUGAUAAUUGAUGAGUUUAGUAUGUAAACAAUAACAAAAAGAAAGAACAAAUGUGUUUUUCAUAUAUGAGCAAUUAUCAAAAGUUUUAAAUUAAUAGUAAGUUGUGUACUUGUUACGUAUCCUUAGACUUCCUCUGGUUCUUGAUAGAUAUCAAAAGAUCUCUUUAUAUAGUUAUUGAUCCUUUUUUUCCAAAUAAAGAUAGAUCUAUUCCUAUUUUACUUUACCUUCUUUUGCUCCCUUUUCUAUUUACCUUUUCUCUUGUCCACAAUUUUCAUAUUUCUUAUGCUUUGUGAGGCAUUUAUUGUGUUCUCUUUUUGUACAUUGCGAUUAUAGUGGUGACUAUAUAGUCAUUGGAUAUCGAUUUUUUUAUUUUUUUUCUAUGGACAAGUAAGAUAUCAUCCUAACCAGUUACUUACUUUAUUUAUCACUUUCUAGUGAUAACAAUGAGCCCGAUUUGGACUUUAUGAUUCACAGUAAUUAGUGAAUCUGCUUUGGUCAUUAUCUCUCUAUCUAGUUUUUUUUCACAAAGAAUAAUAUUUUCUUAUCCUUUUAUUUUCUAUCAUUCUAUUGACGUGAAAUUUAAUUCCUUAUUAGGCAAUAGUAAAAACAUAAAAUAAAAUAAAAUCAAAACAUCAACAUAAAUAAAAGACAAAUGUUUCAACAAACAUAAAAUGACAACAAAACAAAACAUCAAACAUAACACGACAACAAAACAAAACAAACCAACAAAUAUAACACAAUAAUAAAACAAAACAACAAACUAAAGUUGCUUAAGAUCUAAAGCCUGAGCUCUAAGUCAAGCUCCUCCUGAUCAUCAACAUUGGUGUUCUCGACCAAUUGAUUAGGACGGUUGGCAAACAAGUUUUGAUCUUGAAUAAGUAGAGGAGCGAUACGUGCAUAUGCAACAACAUGAGGCACCUGAAGCACCAUGGCUUGUUGUGGUUGAUACAAAACCGCCCGUGGGCGUCCAGGCAGUCUUCGAGGCCCGUACACCAUUGGAUUACGGAGACGGUAAAACCUUCCUUGGCCCCGUAACACUGUUGGUGUUGACUUUCGUGUACCCAAUUGUCGAUAGAGGUUGGGGAGUCCAGCAGAUGGACAAAAAAACUUCUCAUGAGGAGCACCUCUUAUCCAAGUCCCCUGAGAUUUGUGCUUACGUUGGUGCCCAGCGAGCCCUUGGCUCGAAGUGAACACAUCGCGACAAGUAGUACACCUGUAACACCAAAUUCCUUUAGGAUUUGGUAUGAUGCCUUGGUGAGCUAUUCCACUUGUUGGUGGUUGUUGUUGCAUUUUUCUUAAAAGGAAUUUUUUUGUUUAAGAAUUUGAGAAAUGAUUUAGUGAGGAAAUAGAAAAAAAUUCCAUUGGAAUUUAUAGGAGCAACAUUUAUGAUAAACUUAUUGCAAUGCCUGAACAACCAGUUAAAUGUAUUAAUUAUAAAUGUAUUAAUUAUAGAUAAUGGGUAAUUCUAGAUAUUUCAUAUAAAAUAACUCAGUUUUGACUUGUUUUUAGAUUUUUUAAAUCCCAAAUGUAACAGUUUUCCCGCUUCCUCUUCUUUUUCUCUCUUUUGCUUAUUAGACUCAACCAAAAUAUCAAAAUUUCAAAUAAAAUUUCUUACUUUUUCGCAUUGAUUAUUGUUUUCUAUUUUUGAAAGAAAGAUGAGUUUUUUAGAAUAUGUACAUAAGAUAAUAAAUAUAACAUUAUAUAUCAUUUCCCUUCUUUAAUAAAGGAAAAAAGCAUUUAAUUUUACUAACUUUAUAUUUAUUUCUGAAAAUCAGCACGAAUUCAAACAAAAUUCUAGAAAAAUCAAUGCUAGAUAAGAAUAUGAGCAAAUGCACGCAGAAAAAAACUAAAAAGUUUAAAUUGAAUUUUGUGUCACAUUUUUUUAUUUGUGAGUAGUUAUUCUUAAAAAUGAAUAAAAAAUUGUUAUUCGUCUAAAAAAUAUCAUUUAUUUCUAUUAAGGAAUUAGGGGUGUUUACUAUUCUUUCAAAUUGAUUUUCACUAGGGAGAAAACUAAAUGAAAUCUAUUUAAACACACAAACCAAAAAAUCAAUCAAAUCAAACUUUUCCUUAUUUGAAUUUCUUACUUUUUAAUUUUCACUCGAAAUAUGAAUUCAUUAAUUCAGUCAAACAAAAACUACAGGUAAAAUUAAUUAUAAUAUAGAAAAUUAUUUUUCCACGCUUCUACCAAAGCAAAGAAAUAUUUCUACGAUAUCAAAGACCCGAAUAGUUUUAGUUUUUGUUUGUAAGGGAACAUUUAAAAAUAAUUUAUCCUGCAUGACAUCUGACAUGUCAAUUUCGUAUCCUACGUUGAGUCUUAUGUGUAUAAUGCCACGUAGGACACAUGUGUCUACUUGUUCAAUCUUAUACUAGUUUAAGUGUCUGCUGGUGCACACCCAAAAUUGGAGGAUAUAGAUGCCAUCUGAAGCAAGUUAAAAAGUAUAUUUAUGUAUUAUGCCUAAUUAAUAACAAGUCGUGCACUCAUUACACCUCAUUAGACAUUCUCUAGUUCUUGAUAGGUUAAAUGAUCUUUUCUCCUUUUAAAGAGAUCUUUGUUUCAAUUUUCUUUUACUUUUUGAGGUAUCCAAUAUCAAUUUUAUACUUUUUUCUAUGGACAAGUACGAGAUAUUCCUAAUCUAUUGCUUAUUUUAUUCAUUAAUUUUUGGUGAUAGCACUGAGUUCGAUCCGACCUUUAUGAUUCACAGUAAUUGGUGAAUCUACUUUUAUCAUUAUCUCUAUGACUAAUUUUUGCACGAAGUAUAAUAUAUUUUUUACCUUUUUAUUUUCUAUGCUUCCAUUGAAGUUGGAUUUAUUUUUUUAUUUGACUAUUGUAAAGAUAUAAAAUGGACUUGGAACAUAAACUUCAGCAAAAGACAACUGUUGCAAUAAACAUAAGCCGACAACAAAACAAAACAAUACAUUAAAGUUAACUAAGAGCUAAAGCCUAAGUUUUAAGUCAAGCUCCUCCUUAUCGACAAUACUAAUACUCCCAAUUGAUGAAUUGAUUGAAUUAACAAGGUCAGGGGCCAAUGCAAUAUUUAGAUUUGAGUGGAUCCCAUAUGAAAUCAUUUGAUUAAGAUAACGGCAAACAAGUCCACCUCCUGAAUAAGAAAAUUCUAUGGAACCGACUUUUCUUUCUUAAAGGAAAACUAACCAAAACAUUUUCUCAUACUUUAUUUAUUUUGAAUAUAAAGGUGGUAUGUCCAGCUAACUUCAUAUAUUUCAGUUCCAUCCAUCUGAGUAAUUUUUCAGCAAGAUUACUAAGCUCAUUUCUGGAAGGCUCAACCCUAUGCUACCUCUUAUGUUCUCUGAGAAACAAAGUGAUUUCUUGAAGGAUAAAUUUAUUACAGAAAAUGCCUAGCUAGCUUAGGAGAUUGUCCAGAAUAUCAAAAGUAAGAAUUAAGGACAUAAUUUGGUUUUGAAACUUGAUAUGGUAAAUGUAUAUGAUAGAAUGUCUUCACCUUUCCUUAUUGUUUUAUUUAGAGAAUUUAAAUUUCCUACUACAGUUACCAUCAUGAUAAAGGGCAUUAUUUUCAAGGCAUAAUAUAUAAAUAUGUUCUUUAACUUGGCAUCUACUCAUAUUUAUGCCCUUCAACUUUGGGUGUACAGAAAUAGACACUUAAACUUGUAUAAAGUUGAAUAAAUAGAUACAUACAUCUUACGUGACAUCCUACCUGACAAUUUGAGUCCUACGUGUAUUAUGUCAUGUAGGAUUCAUGUGUUUACUUGUUAAACUUGUAUAAAGUUGAAUAAAUAGAUACAUACAUCUUACGUGACAUCCUACCUGACAAUUUGAGUCCUACGUGUAUUAUGUCAUGUAGGAUUCAUGUGUUUACUUGUUAAACUUGUAUAAAGUUGAACAAACAGACACACGAGUCCUAUGUAACAUAGUACACAUAAGACACCACGUAGGCCAUAAAUUACCACGUAUGAUGCUGUGAAGCCCCGCUUAAGAUUAGAAGCCACACAUCGGCAAAACACAAGAGAAAUGUUGGGUAUACAAGUAAGUGGACCUUACCAACUAGUGACACGUUUUAAAGUCAUGGGGCCUAGGCCCAAAGCGGACAAUAUCACUAGUCGGUUGAGCCGUUACAAAUGGUAUCAAAGCCACUCAUGUGUCAGCCUUGUCGAUGUGAGCCAGAGUUCAACUGAGUUCAGGAAAAUCACGAUAAGGCAGGUCAAACCUUAGUGUUGAGUCUAGGCAAAUCUCAUUCGGUGGAGCAAACCUCAGCGUGGACACUGAGUUUAUAGAGGGGGUGUAUGUGACGCCCCAACUUGAGAUUAGAAGUUCCACAUCAACAAAAGACAGGAGAGAUGUUGGGUAUAUAAGUAAGCAAGCCUGACCAACUAGUGAUGCGUUUUAAAGUCGUGCGGGCCUACGCCCAAAGCGGACAUUAUCACUUGCGGGUUGGGCCGUUAUAGAUGCUACGUAGGACGUGUGUAUCUAUUUGUUCAACUUUAUACAAGUUUAAGUAUCUACUUGUUCAUCCUGAAAGUUGAAGAGCAUAAAUGUGAAAUAAAAUCAAGUUAAAGAACAUAUUUAGUCCGUCAUGCGUUCCUCCCACUUGGGGCCCGCUAUGCCAAAAGCGAGAGAAACCUCUGCCUUAUUAUGCAUAUAAUAUAAACAAAUUCCAUAUUUUUUUUAUAUUCCAAAUUCGAAGUCCCAAAUCUGACACAUUUGUUUUGUUCCAACAAUUCAAAUUCUAAUUUACCUAUAUAAAUAUUAGUAUGAUUUAUGCCCACGGCCAUUGGAUUGUUUUUCUCACAACUAUAAUAUAAAAAACAAAGGUGUUAUGUGUCAAUUUUCAUGAUAAAGGGACCAAAGUAAAAUAUCAUGGAAGUUCAUAUUCUUGAAAUUAGACCAAAAAUCCAAGAAAACUCUUGAGCACAAAUCAGCACUACACAGUGUGUGUGAAAAUGGGGAGAUGUCUUCUUUCAUCCACAAUUUCUUCUUUGAGAAUUUGUCAGUUACCCAGAAUUCGUCUUCCUGCAUUUCCCAAGAGUUGUAGCACAAACUCACAAUAUGGGUUUUGUACAAGUUUGUCCACUAGUGGGGGAUUUUGUACCAAGGCUGCUUUAUCGGAGGUGGGUAUCAAGAAAGAGUACUCAAAGAUUGCUGCUGAUUCAACCGGAAGUAUCCCCUCCAGUGAGCUACUCCAAGUGGUUGAAGCUGCAGCCAAGACUGGUGCUCAGGUUUGGCCCCCUUUCUUAAUCUGGUUUUAUUUCUAUGUUCUUGGCAAUUUUCUGCUUAAAGAUUGAAUUUUGAGUUCUUGUUUACAAUGGAUUAUUUUUUGAAUUAGGGUACCCUUUGUUCUGUUGAGCUAUUAGAGACAGGGAACUGGUUACCUAGAGGAUAAGUUGGAUUCUUAAGAAUAUGAUGUUAAGCUUCAUUGAGGAGUUUGGAUGUUGGAGAAAGAUAAAUACUCCAUCCGUUCACUUUUACUUGUCCACUUUGAAUUUUGCAUGCCUCUUAAGAAACAACGUUUAAUAGGAUAUUAAUUAGUCUUGUGUCACAACAACUAGCUUUUAUUAAAGGGAGACAGAUAAUGGAUGCUGUCCUCAUAGCUAAUGAAGUUGUAGAUUCCAGGUUGGUCUCAAAAAAACCAGGAAUUCUAUGCAAAUUAGACAUUGAGAAAGCAUAGGACCAUGUCAAUUGGGACUUUCUUAUGGGUAUGCUAGAGAAGAUGGGAUUUGGUCUCAAAUGGAGACAGUGGGUUAAAUUUUGCAUAUCUUCAGCGAACUUCUCAGUAUUGGUAAAUGGCUCUCCCGCAGGAUUUUUUAGGUCACAGAGAGGUCUUAGGCAGGGUGAUCCCGAUCACCCUGCCUUUUCAUACUAGUCAUGGAGGGACUCAACAAUAUGAUCAAGAAUGCAUGCAAUGAAGGAUGGCUGAGAGGUUUUGAAGUUGCUAGAGCUGGAAGGGAAAGUCUAGAGAUCACUCAUUUACUAUAUGCAGAUGACACCCUAAUUUUUUGUGAUGCUGAGAAAGACCACCUUAAAAUAUUGAGACUGAUUCUAGUAUUUUGAAGCUAUGUCUGGGCUACAUGUCAACUGGAGGAAAAGCUUCUUGUAUCUAGUAAAUGAAGUACCAAACAUGGAAAUUUUGAAGUCAAUAUUGGGAGGUGAAGUGGGUGUCCUCCCAACCACAUACUUGGGUAUGCCUUUUGGGGGAAAAAUCCAACUCUAUGGAAAUCUGGGAUAGAGUGAUUGAGAAGUGUGAGAAGAGGCUAGCAAGGUGGAAGUCUCAGUACCUUUCACUAGGGGGAAGACUAACUUUGAUUAAUUUUGUGCUUGAUGCACUUCCAACAUAUAUGAUGUCAUUAUUUCCUAUCCCACCGGGAAUCAUCAAUAGGUUGGAUAGCAUCAGGAGAAAAUUUUUAUGGCAAGGGAACAAGGAAAGGAGAGGAUAUCACUUAGUGAAAUGGAAAACUGUGAUCACCGAAAAGAGAGUUGGGGGUCUGGGGAUCAAGAACAUGAAGAACCAGAGUAAAGCUUUGAGGAUGAAGUGGCUUUGGAAGUACUCAAAUGAUAAUCAGAAUCUGUGGGGCUCAGUCAUAAAGGCUAAAUAUGAAGAGAGUAAUAGUUGGAUGACAAAGGAGGUUACCACCCCUUAUGGUGUUAGCUUAUGGAAAUCCAUUAGAGAACUUUGGAAUGAAUUCAAACCUAACACCAAGAUCAAAGUGGUAGAUGGCAUAAAAACUAGGUUUUGGAAGGAUGAUUGGCAUGCAGAAGGAAAUAUGGAGACUCUCUUCCCUGACAUCCACAAUUUAGUUCUUCAGCAACAAAGUACUAUAGCUGACUUAUGGACUCCUCAAGGGUGGAAUUUUGUAUUUAGAAGACACCUCAAUGACUGAGAAAUUCCAAGAGUAACAGAAUUUUUUAGAAGCAUUGAUCAAUUUAGUGGUCUGGAAAUAGGGCGAGACAGAUUGCAGUGGUUGGGAAACAGUAAAGGGAUUUUUAAAGUAGGUGCAGUGUACAAGAAGUUGAAUCAUCCAAAUCUGCAGCUACUCAAGUGGCCCUGGAAACAUAUAUGGAAAGCCAAGAUCCCCUACAAGGUGUCUUGCUUUGUGUGGUUAUUGGCUAAAGAAGCAGUAUUGACACAGGAGAAUUUAAUGAAGAGGGGAAUUACACAGAAACAGUCAAUCAUUUGUUUAUCCAAUGCGAAGUCACUGGCCAGUUGUGGAAUUUGUUCCUGAGACGUAAAAGCAUCUCCUGGUCCAUGCCUGGGAGAAUUUCAGAGGCUCUAUUUAGCUGGGAAGAAGCAGGGACACAAGCAAAAAACAGAAGUAACUGGAGAAUUGUCCCUGCCACUAUUUGGUGGACAAUAUGGAAAGAGAGGAACUUUAGAGUUUUUGAGAAUAGGGAGAGUAGUAUGCAACAAGUUAAACUGAAUUGCAUUUCGACUCUGUGUUUUUGGUGUAAUCAAAUUUACUCUAAUGAUACCGUCUCUAUCAUUGAUGUCUUAGACUCAUUAUAGGGAUAGGUCGGUAUUAUUAGAGUUUCCUUAUGUAAAUACGGGUUUCAGUACAUCCUAUGUACUGUUCUGCAAAAAUAGAAACAAUUACCAUUUUCAAAAAAAAAUAAAAAAUAAUUUGGGGAAUAAAUGAUUAAUGUUGAGGGUAAAACAUAAUAAAAAAAAAGUUCUUCCGUUGAUAUGCUAAAAGUGUCAAGUAAAAGUGAAAAUGUAAUUUUAGUACCGUGGACAAGUAAAAAUGAAUCGAGGGAAUACAACCCAUUACUCUGUGGGUGAUAUUUUCACCAUUCCCCACACAUUGUAUUAUCAUUACCUUUCACUAAUUUGAUAGUGAGGAAAGGGAAAUACCUGCUUGAGGGGUGGGGGGCUAGGAUGGGGUUGAUAAUUGGUAAGUUUAGUAAUCAAUGAGCAAAAAAAUGUGUAGAAAUAUAUACAUAACAUAGGUGUUUUUCAUAUAUUAGCAGUUAUCAAAGGAUCUUAUGUACUACAUAGUAAGCUUCGUAUUCAUUAUGUAUCUUUAGAUUUCCUCUAGGUCUUGAUAGCUUUCUCGUGAAUUUAUGAUUAUUAUUUUUUUCUUCAAAAAUUUCUGUUCCAAUUUUCUCUUAUCUUCUUUUUACCCCCUUUUCUAUUUACAUUUUUUUUUUUUUGAUUUGCACCGGGUGUCCGAGUCUCUUUGAGCCCCGACUAAUCCCGGGGGUGCACAGGCCCUCGGCAAGGAGUUUCCCGCAAGUGCACCACGGUUAAUUCAGGUUUUACCCAGUCCGAUGGCCCUCAGAAAUUGUUUGCACCCAGUGGGUUUCGAACUUGAGACCUUGAAAGGGAGCAAACCCCAAGGCUCAAGUCAAUUGCCAGCAUUUUUUUCUUAGACAUAACUAUUAUGAUCUUUACUUUUGAGUAUACACAAAUAGACAAUUAAAAUUUGUAUAAAAUUGAACAUAGACAUAUCUGUCAUUUAUGACUUCCUACAUGACAAUUUUGCAUCCUACGUGUAUUAUGUCAUGUAGGACACAUGUAUUACUUGUUCAAUUUUAUACAAAUUUAAGUAUCUACUUGUGCACACCCAAAAUCGAAGGACAUAGAUGUCAGUUAAAGCCAAGUUAAAAGGCAUAUGAUUAAAAAAUAGUGUAAAAAUAUUAAGUAAAGUUGAUAUAACUCUAAGGCAUAAUACAUCUAUUUACAUUUUAUUUUGGCCUCAAUCAUCAUAUUCCUUGUGUUUUCUGAGGUAUCCUCUAUCUUCUCUUCUCGUACAUUGAGAUUUUAGUGCUGACUAUGGUCAUGGAAUAUCGAUGUCUUACUUUUCUUUCUAUGGACAAAUUAGGGAUCAUCAAUUUCCUUUUUCAUUACUUCUAUAUCCCAUCUGCAUCUAGAAUUUAAAUAAUCUCUCUGGCUCCCAAUCUAUUACUUUGUUUCUCAUUUUUCUCAUUUUCAUUUUAGGUUGUAAUGGAUGCUGUGAAUAAGCCCCGAAAUGUUACCUAUAAAGGGCUCACUGACCUAGUGACCGAGUAAGACUUUGUAUUACUUCCCUUUGGUGGUGGUUAUUUUUUUGUAUCAGAAUUGACAUAGUGCUUCUGUUUCUUUUCUUCUACGCUGAUGAUCAGUGACAUAUUGUUCCUAAUAGAUUUUUCAUUCUUGUUGCAGUAUUGUUUCUCAAUUUCUGGUGAUGACACUGAGCACUGUAUUGUUCACUGUAAUUAGUGAAUCUACUUCUAUCACUAUCACUAUGUCUAGUUUUGUAGCAAAGAAUAUUUCUUUCCUUUUUAUUUUCUAUGCUUUCAUUGAAACGAUUCAAUUCUUUAUCAGACUGUAGUAAAUAUUCUUUGACUUUCUUCCACAUUAUGUGAUCAUUGGUUACUGCUCCGUGAUACUUCUUUUUCUUGCUGGAGGAACAUAUCCCCAUUCUCUUAAGACCAUUGCUUGAAUUUAACACAAGUUAAAGAAUGCCUUGUUAGCGAGUAUGUACGGUCUUACUUUAUCUGUUGACCUUAUGCUUAACAAUUUGGUGAUUUAUGUGAGCUACCUUUUAGUUGCUCCUUAGGUUAUGAUAUUCAUUUUAUUUCUUUAUGUGGAGACUUUCAUCAUGCUGUCACAGUAACAUGUGUUGGCUUAAACUUAUUGCAGCACAGAUAAAAAUAGUGAAGUUGCUAUCCUUGAAGUCGUGAGGAAGAAUUUUCCAGAUCAUCUAAUUCUCGGGGAGGAAGGAGGAAUUAUUGGGGACUCGUCAUCUGAUUAUCUUUGGUGCAUUGAUCCUUUAGGUUUGUUCUACAGAUCUCUAACUUCAUGGCAAUGAAAGUAGCCACACAUAUUAGCUAGACACUCUAUUGAGGUUAGAGAACUUAUGUAGGUCCUCAAAAGUAGAAAUGAAUUGUCAAAGUUCCAAGUGGUUUUAACUUGUAAUGGUCAGGUUAUUUUAAUUUGAAGGGGUCACAUUUAACUAGUUCCGGUUUAACAAAUAUACAACUUUAACCUAAAUACUAGCAGAUUUUACGCACGCUAAGGCAUGUAAUUGCACAAGCAAUAUAUGGAUGAAUAUUGAGCAUCGUCCUAACUUCAUAGUCGAAAAUGGGUGGAAGUAUCGAACAAUGAAGUAAAGUAACUAAGUAUUGAAAAAAGGAAAGAAUAUAACUAACACUAACUAGCUAAGAGAAAAUCUUGUGGUAGCAACUAACAAGCCUAGUGUUUCUGACUUCACUUAAUUAUUUCAUUUGGACCUUUAUCAUCCUCUUGAUCUUACUGAUAAUGUGAGCUAAGUCGGAGUUCAUACUUAUUCAGGGUACAUUCCUAUGUCAAGUGAAGCUAACCUUCUUAACUAAUAACCUAUUUUUGAUGGUUGUUAAGACAAGGAGGAUGCAAUGAGUUUAGCUCUAUUUUCCAUGCCUCUGGUUUGAAGUAGAAGCCUAUUCUACAAUCAAAUCAUACCAUUAUCAUCUAUUUGAUUAGUAUGGAUCUCAAUCUUUUCAAUCCUGAUUCUAAAUGAAGAAUCUCUCCUGAGUUACCUUAAAAUCUAGAGAAGGAUCUAGUUGGUGGUCAAUCAAUGAAAAGCAUUAAAUACAAUAUUGAACAAACAACGUACUUGUUAGUAAUAAAGACCAGGAAAAAUAGUAAUUAGUUCAAGCUUCAUGAUAAUCCUAAAUUGGAAAUUAACAAAAUGAAAGAAAGAAACUCUAUUUGGUGUCCUAGUCUCUUCAAAAGCUCCUUGUCUUGUGUCUUAUUUGGCCUUGAAAAACUGAUUUUUGUUCCUUAUUAUGGUCUUGGAAGUUCCCUUUCUUUUCCCUUUUUUUUUUCUUCCUAAAAAUCUUGAAUUCAUUCAUAACCUUACGAAGUAAAACUGGUUCAUGCUAAGAGUUGAGAGCAUCAUAGACACCCAAGGAGGUGGUGUAGUAGUUGAAGAGUUGGAAUAGUAAUUCUUUUGAAACGGGUAACUUGUAUUCCUCAGAAUUAAGGGCUAUGCUGGCCACCUCCAAAAAGUAUGAACAGAGAAGAGAGAAAAAAAGAAGAAAAUAGAAACAGAAAUACUUACAAAGAACCUACGAAAUCCACUAAUUGGAUUUCCUCUUCUAUAUUUUGUUCUUUACACCAAAAACCUAAGGAAGUAUGGAAUAAUAAUCUUAGAACCAGUUUCUCAGUAAGGGAUGACAUUGAGUAAAUUAUUCCCUUAUACUGAAGACUUGUUGGGGAGAUUUGCUUGAAACCUGUAUUGUUAGGAGGUAGUUAGUGGAUUACGCGAGACGCAAGCUGACCCGAACACCACAGUUCCCAAAAUAAAAAAGAGAAGAAUUGAGAACUUCGUGGAGAAUCUCCUAAACAACAUAUUUUCAAAGUGAAAUUUAGAAGUAGAAGGAAGAAAUUUUGCUUGUGCUUUAUCUUACCUAUAAAACUGAAUUCCGGUGUCUCUUUUUUGUCUUGCAAGUCCCCUCUUUAUAUGCAAACCGGAAAUCCUAAGCCAAGAAGGAAACACUGAAAAUCUUGGACUCCCUGCAUAUAUUUCCUGCAGCAGCGAGUGAAGCUUGAUAUAGCUGUGCGAUUGCACAAGCGCAUGAACAGCCAAGUAGCUGCAUUGCACAGCCAUGCAGUCGCAUAAGCACGCGGAGUGGCUAGUGCAACCAAGCUAAACUUGCACAACUUUAGUAAAAUGGUCAUUACUUUGUUCAGGGAAGUCAAAAUAAUGAGCAAUUUGAAGCAUUUGCGACUAGACAUCAAGGUUGCAAUUUUACGAAUAUCAUGGCUUAACUUGAGAUCUAGAAUAAUCCAGAUUACUUUUUGAAGUUUUGUCAAAAUCUGACACGUUCAUUUCACAUUUUGGGUCUAUACAGUUCUUUCCCUAGUAUGCAAAAAUAUUUCAUAUCAAGUGAGAUAUCCACAGUAUGCUUCAAAAACUUUCCAAAUCUUUUGCUAAAAAUACUUAUUACUCUCUCUGUCCCAAUUGAUAUGAGACACUUCCCUUUUUAGUCAGUCCCCAAAAGAAUAACACAUUUCAUUAUUUGGCAAAUAUUUAGUGACACGAUCAACAUUUUACCCAUGUUGGGUCCCAUUUAUUUGUCAAAAAGUCCUUAAAGGUGUACUUUUCUAUUUAAAAGUAAUUUAUUUUAAGGGUAGUUUUGAAACAUUGCAAAGUCUCCCAUAUAUUUUGAACAUGUGCCCAAUCAAACUACAUCGCAUAAAUUGGGACGGAGAGAGUAAUUCUUUUAAUUCUUGUUUGUUAUUGUUCAACAGAACCAACAACAUACCCAGGGUAAUCCCAUAGGUGGGGUCUGAGAAUGGUAGGAUGUAUGUAGACCUUACCCCUAAGAGUACUUAAUUUUAUCUUGAUAAAUUCAUCUUAUUACUUAUAAAUAUAUAUCUUGCAUGUCUGAGUUCAAUAAAAUGUUCUUUCACUAGAAAUAAGCACCACAUAUUAUCUUAAAGACAACUCAACCAAGGAAUGAAUGUUAAUUGGUAACUUUGUAUUGCAGAUGGAACAACAAACUUUGCGCAUGGCUAUCCCAGCUUUGCAGUCUCUGUGGGUGUUCUUUUUAGAGGGAAGCCAGCUGCAGCUGCUGUGGUAUAUGCUGGGAUAGUUUCCGAUGUGCCUUUUAGAUUUCUUACCAUGGCUCAGUGGAAGAGCACUGUCUCUUAUACAGCGAGCUUGGUCUCUGAUAAUUUUAUGAUAGCUGAUUCCAACUUAAUGUGCAAGAAGAGAACCAAAAGCUUGAACCAUCACUAGCAACUUAAAUCAUGUAGUGCUAGAGAUUGAUUAUUGAUAUGUUAUAUACUGUAUUGGACAAAUUAUAUUAUUAAAACUAUGAACAUAAAUGAGAAUUCUUAUACUCUUAAGGGACCUGAACUGAGAGAUAAAAAAGAGGAAGGAAUUUUCAGCAAACCUUACAAAUGUUAUAUAGUUGAAAAGUGACUAGCUUUAACAUUGCUAUAAGAUUUUAUUUCUGAGGCUAUCCAUAAUUUAUGUAGGAUGUGUUAGUUGAACUAUAAUAGAUGCCGCCGAAUUCAACCCUGGCAACUCUGCAUUUCUUAAUUCACUGAAGAUUUGAAUUAGCUGACCAACCAAAAUUAUGUGACGUUUAUCUAAUAGUAACUUUUAUGUAGUAUACAGACUCUCAGAGGAAGACUGAGAGAAUGAAAUUGGAAACCAUAAAGCGGGAAGACUAUCAAUGACACCAAAUCUCUUGUUCUGAUAUCUGGUCAGAUAUGACAUCUGAAUUCCAUGUCCUGAACAUAAUAUUGUUAAGGUCUUUUUCUGUACAGGUUGAGUUUGUUGGUGGCCCUAUGUGUUGGAAUACUCGAAUAUUUUCUGCAGCUGCAGGUAAAGAAGUUUAUCUAUAACAAGUCAUUUAUUCAAUUGCAAACUCCAAAGAUCUACUAAUGACGUUAUGCAAUUUUCUUCUCCUAGGCAAAGGAGCCUUUGCUAAUGGUGAAAAGAUUCAUGUCAGUCGAACUGACAAGGUGAGAAUUUAUACAUGCAAAUGAGUAAAACUAGCUUAAUUCCCAUUUUCCACAGACCCAUGACUAGGAGUGAGAGUUUGAUGAUAACUUUCAGUACAUCUGAUAAACAUAGUUCUAGCUUGUCCUAUUGCAUUAGAGAGUCAGGUAAGUGUGGGCCUCUACCUGUUCUGUGUGACCUGUUAUGCGUCUAUACCCAUUUACAUGCAUGUGUAUUUAUUACUAUUUGAAAGUUGUGCUAGUUUUGCACCUUGUUUUUGGGCAAAGACAUUAUACAUGGCUUGGCUUUCAAGUUUUAAAUUGACAAUAGUGUUACACAUAAAGCUCACUAAAUGAAAGGUACACUUACUGUCAAUCUUCUUUCACCAAUUCUUUUGACUUAUUCGUUACUGUUCUUUAUUGUUUGGUGUUUGUUUAGGUGGAACAAUCUCUUCUAGUGACUGGAUUUGGAUAUGAGCAUGAUGAUCCAUGGGCAACCAAUAUGGAAUUGUUCAAAGAAUUUACUGAUGUCAGCAGGGUAGCAACUUUAUCCCUUAUCUUUAUCUGAAAUUUUGCACAUUCCCCACCAAAAAAAAAAUUCUUCCUGCCAUGUUCUGCAUAGGGUGUGAGAAGGCUUGGUGCUGCUGCAGUGGAUAUGUGUCAUGUUGCUUUGGGGAUUGCUGAAGCAUAUUGGGAAUAUCGUCUAAAGCCAUGGGACAUGGCUGCAGGAGUUCUGGUAUUCUUGCUUUCAUUAUUAUCGAUAUUUCCAGACACUCUUCUUCUCAUGUUUGAAGAAAAUUCUAGAGAGCUGAGUAGGCAGAAUUUGAUGCAUAAUAGGUCCAAUCAACAAAUUGUAGUUUCAAUAUAAUAUUUUGUUUUCCUCUCCUUACUAUUAAAUAGGAAAAACGGUUAAAAUGUAUUCUUUGCCACAAGUUUUCUUUUCUUUUUCUUUAUAGAUUUGUGAAAAGUGAUUUAGUCGGUGAAAGAAAGCAACAUAUUAUGUACUUAUCCAAAAAGGAAAAACAAUCAGCACUUACCAUUGUGUAUGUGUGUGUGUUAUUUUAUGUGGAUAAGUAGAACUAACCAUUGUGCAAUAAACAAGUAAUGCAGCGGGGCCAAGUGUGCAGGAGGAGUUAAGGUCCUAUAACAGGAACGCCUUUGUUAGAAUGAAACCUAAGUAGCAGUAUAUAAACUUAUCUCAUUUCUAAGUUCCGUAUGAUCCUAUUUGAUGCAAAUUUUUCAAGAUCAGUGAGUUGGUUUUUGAAUCGAAGAAGUGAAUGGUUCUCAUCUUUUUAACUUGAAGUAUCAGAUGUUGGUAACGUUGUAGUAAUGAAAUACCUCCAGGAUAUCCACUCAUGAAAGUGAGUUUGGCUCAAAUGUUGUCCUUCUCAAGUUUCUCUUAAGGGGGUUACUUCUAGUUUACGAACUAAUGACAAGUUAUUCAAGUGAUCAAAUCUAUAUUUAACACUGUGGUGUAUGUUUCAUGCAGAUAGUUGAAGAGGCUGGAGGGACAGUUUCGUGUAUGGAUGGAGGAAGUUUUUCAGUAUUUGAUAGAUCUGUCUUGGUAUCCAAUGGUUUGCUCCAUGCAAAGGUCAGCAUUUACCUAUGUUGAACUGAAAUUAACUUGCCAGCUGUUUUUAAUCUGCAUAUGGUUGCAGACUUGCAGUUGAUUUAACACAUAGUACGUCAAAUCUACUGGAUCAAUUUUGUUUUUAAUAUUUAUGAUAAGUAUCUAGAAGACGGAGUAUUCUUAUUCCUUUAAAUUCUGGUUAAAAUUUAGAGCAUGCAACUUUCUAAUGGAAAUGUGUUGCUACUCAUUGUCGUUUCCAUUAACAUGCGCAGCUCCUUGAGAAAAUUGGUCCAGCAACGGAAAAUUUGAAGAGCAAAGGGAUUGAUUUCUCAGUGUGGUUCAAGCCAGAAAAUUACCAUACAGAAGUUUGAUAUGUCCCUGCGUUUUGUUCUUUAGAUGUGCUGCUUGAAAGAAUCUUCUACAAUCAGAUUUUGAUUAGGUCGGUAUUUGCAUUUGUAUUUUCUAUUUUACAUAUCAUUGUAUGGAACUGAUCAAAUAUUCGUCGGUAUCAGGUAAAUAUUAAUAUAACAUGUCUUUUAGGUAAAAGGAUAUUGGCAGCGGAAAUAAAUUGUAUUAAAUUCUUACUGGAAACAACAUUGAGUAGAAAGACAUUUCCAUUAGUAGAACUGACUUUAUGACAUCUGGUCAAUCAAAUUAUACGAUUUUAUCUAUUAACAUUAUGUUAUGAUUCCCAUUUUUUUCCAUGUUAUUGUACAAGUGUACAACCGGCAAACAAAUCCAUUAAAUGUUCGUCUGUAACUGAGUAAGUGCAAUACUGGGCCUUAAAAUGUAUUCCCAGAUUGUACAAAUUUUAGUUCUUCUGGCAAAUGCUCUGAACCUGAAUUUGAUGUUUUAAUCGAGAGUUUUACUUUUUUAUUCUGGAGGUUUACAGACCCAUAGGUUUCUAUCUCUGCUAGUGGGGAAGAAGUUAUAUUUUUGAUCUAUUUGCUUUAUUAGUUUAACACAUGGUAUGCAAGAUUUUCCUAGAUAGGUCAACUCUUGUCUAUACACAUUUAUCACUUGAUACUAUUGAGUUCUGGGCUUAACGCCAAAUGUCUGAGGGUUCGAACAUAUCUGCAUAGCACAUGCAUCUUAAUUUACAUAUACAAAAGAAAGAACACAAUCUCAUGCUUUUUGCUGCUAGUUCAGUGCUCAUCAUUGUAAACAUUAGGGUGAAAAAGCUAAAAUGAAACUGCAGUUGCAUGCUAAAUUCGUAUCAUAUGCCAUAGAACUCAGGCUUUUGGACGGAGGACAGCACCUUUAAUGACAAGCCCCUUCUUCCAGUUCCCACCUUCAUAUUCAUAUAGAGAGAACUCUAUUUCUCCAUUCUUUUGAUCUGCUGAUGUCAUGAACUCCCCUGCUGGGAUUUCUAUCCAUUUUUCUCGUGGUUUUUCCACCAUAUUCUCGGUAUGUCCUUGUCUGCUACCAUCUGGGAGUAUGAGUCGAAGAUUCACUGGAUUUUCCCAUCCAUAAGCAGGAUCCUUCAACAUGACAAUAAACACAACCUCAUAAAUGAGCCCUGGUGAUAGCAUAGUUGUAUUGAAUCUUCCAUGGAUUUCUAGCCAGCAAACAUCUAGUAGUUCUGCUGCUGGAAGGAGGACAUCACUGCAUAAACAAUAAAAAGUGUCAUUUCAGGCCUUUUUACUUUGUUAGUCUUCAACUUCAAAAACCUUUUAGUAUGCAGUACAUGUUGGUUUAGAAUAGCUUCUAAUAGGAAAUGUGAAAGUUUUAGUUAGUUUUAACUCCUGAAUGCUGGUUAUCAUUUCAUGGCCUGACAGCUAACACAUGUUUACUAAUUUUUAAUCUCUUUUAGCACAUUACUUCCCCUGUUCUGCUUUAGAUGUCACUCCUAUUUUAGGUUUAUUCCAAAAAAAAAAAAAGAAUGACUUUUUCUAUAUUCAAUUUUUUUAACUUUAAACUUCUCAUUUUAUUCUUAUAGCCACAGUAUCAUGUAAUGCUUAUGACCACAAGUUCUAAGGAUAUUUUUGGUAUGUGCCAAAAGUCUUUCUUUCUAAAACUCCAUAACCUAUCAAAUACCACCAUAUGAAGUGAAACGGAGGGAUUAUUAUUUUUCUAUUCCAGCCCUAUGUGUGAUAAAGAUGCUUUGGAUCUACACUGAAGUUCAACUUGAAUGAGUAUGGUUUUCUUUGUCAAAUGAAACGUUUUCAUAUUACCUUGACUCUUGUACCAAGGGCCAGUGCCAGAAACGGUUGUUUUCUGCCCAAGUGAUUAAGAGAUCUCUUGCAUACAGCAUGAAGCAGUUGCCAUUUGACUUCUUAUCGACCCAGUAUUUCUGCAUGAAGUGCAAAUUAAGUAUAGCCAUAGCAGUAGAUAAGGCUACAGAAUAAAACUGUAAUUUCAAGUGAUUGGGCUUAAUUGACUAGUUGAACUUGCACAUCAGAAUUGGUCCAACAAGUCACAAGAGGACAUGCUUCUCUUGGGGUUAAGUUGAAGGCAGAAUUCUAAGCUUUAACAAAAUAUACACAAAGAACUCGACAUGAACUCAUAAAGUAGAUAUAAGCUUCCAAAUAGCAUGUAGGGACUGUAGAACCUGUAUAUACAAACAACAACAUACUCAAUGUAAUCACACACUGAAACCUGUAUAUCAACAUCAAAAAUAACAAACUUCUCAAGGAUGAACACUAGCAAUAUAUCUAUUACUCUGGACGAAUUUAGGUGCCUCAUUUGGUUUGGACAUGACUUUUAAGGUAAAAGUUGGAGUCUUGUUAAUCUUUUAUAUGAAAGAAGGUUCAGAAAUGGAGAUAAAGUUGACUUCUUGAAGAACAUGAAUGUUGUUAAGUGAGAGAGUAGGUUAAAAAAUCUUUUUGAAAAUUGGAUAAUAAAGAAGUUUUGAUAAAGGAAAAAUUUCCUUUUCAGAAGGGUGGCCAGUGUUUCAAAUUGAGCCUUAGACAAAUUUUUCUUACCUUGCGCUUUUGGUUCAGAUAUACUCCAGUAUAUAGCUGGUCAUAUAGUUUGUUCAUGGAGGAUCUGUCAACUGAAGAAUCUGCCUCUUUUAGGAUUUCUUCAUAAUUAUGUGGAAAUCUGAGUACUCUAGCGGCUUCCAUUGUCUUGUUAGUCUCAGUACUCUUGCUGCUCUGUGGCAUAAUCUUUCUUGGUUCUUCAUUGAGUACGGCAGCAUCACUAUGGUGGCCUUGAGGAGAAGUAUUGCUUAGUUCUUGAUUUUGUUUUAAAUCCUGAUCUUGUGACAAUCCUGACCCCAUUUCUCUGAAGAAGAACUCUUUGUGGAUGUUGGUGUAUGUAUUCUGGGAGGCCUAGUCAGUAGUCAUUCUCAUGAAUAAAGGGAGUUUUUAUUUUGAAACUCUCUUAGUUGAGCAUCUUUUGAUUUUAUCUUUCCCGAGUGGAGUCAGAAUCUACUUUAAGAAUUUAUUCCUGCCGUCCACUUUGCACUGUCUAUGAACAGAUUCAUGCCAGCAUGGAUAGGCCUUAAAAAGGUUAUUCCUUUACAAUAAGUUAUGACAUUGUAGAUAUCCAAUAUCUAUGCUGGUGGGAGGUAGAAGGUACCCCAUGGAAUUAGUCGAGUUGAACCCAGCUGGUCCAUACAUCAUGGUCAUCAAAAAAAAAGUAAUAUGACUCUAGAUUUUUCCUUUUCGGUGAUAAAUUCACUGAUGUUACUGGAUUUGGAGAAUGUCUAAACUUUGAAAAUUGCAUUACUCUAGCUAUUUGGCUACACCUCAUUGGAAAAACACCCUCCUAUCUGAAAAAUAGCUUGUACUUAGCACCUUCAAAAAAUUCCAAACUCCUGCAAUACCUUAUUAGACCUCCUGCACUUUCUGUUCCUGAUUAUACUUGGUCAUUUCACCCCUAGUCACUUGCUGCCUUCUUUUCAUAAUAUCAAUUUAUAUAGAGUUUUAACUUCUAUAUAGUGGUACUGUGGUAGUGUAAAAGAAUUUUUGCAUUACCGGGUCAAGUACAAGAUAACUACAUGUCUGCCCAUAAUAAGUGGAAUUAUUAUCUUGAAAAAUAAGGUGGACAACAUGCUAGAACAUGUUAAAUUGCAAGGUUUCAAAAUAUUGUUACUUUGAUAUAACAAUUGUGUGCCUUCUUUCAGAUGGUUGGUUUUUGUUUAUUCGUGGCCGUAUGUUGAACAUAUUGCAGCUAGAAUUGUGUAUUGCUUGCCAUUUGAUCUUCUUCUGAUAUGUAGUUAAAAUUAAAAAAUCUAGCUUUAUAGCAUUAAUUCUAGGACAUAGACCUGAGAGAUAAGAUUCAUGUUUAUUGAUCUAAUAAUAGUGCUUUUUAUUUUACUUAUUAAUUGCACUGUUGGUUAUCACUUUGUAUGGUCAAUACUUUCAGAAUCAGAUGCUUGUCCUGAGAUCCUGAUAGAAGAAGUCUUAUCAUACGGCAAGCUGCUGCUGCUGAGGAAUAUGGUGAUUUUAUUUAGUUAUGUCCAGAUCAGUCCUUAUCAAAUAUAUAUAUAUUCUCCCAUUUGCUAUUCAUAUUUCCAUAUUCCUUCUCAUCUUACAGAUUUCCUUGAGAUCAUAGCAUCAUAACCAAUGCAUGUGUUUUUCAUACUAAGUUAAAUAUUAUUUCAUAUUAAGCUUCUAGCAGGAAUGCAUAAUUAUGUGCUCAUCGCACAAAGAUCUUUGGACAAUUCAACAGAACUAUCUUUUUUUUAGCAUGAAUUGGUUUAAAGAAAGAGUGAGCAGAUAAUCUUGGAUAGAACGAAGGUAUAAUCCUUGUUUAUUCCAGUUACCGCAAUAUCAAGCCAUCAUCAACAUAAUGAUGUUUUCAAGACUAUUCUUAUAAGCUGAUGAUGUGUCACGCCCCCCAAACUGGAUGCAACGUGAUUGACACCCAGUCUAACUUACUUGCUGAGUGAACUCUGAAUUUAUCGUGUAUAAUUUAGUCCCAAAAGUUUCUGGGCUUUACGCUGUGGCAUGCAUUUGGUUUACAAGUUAAAAGAGUGUCCAACAAACCUUCAAAUCCUCAAAGGAGAUAAUUAUCCUUUAGUUAAGUCAUUCCAGUAAAGAUUCAAGCAUUGAGGAGAGACUUUGAGAUUUUUUUUCAGUGAAGAGUACAUAGGAGGUCAAGCCCAGGGGCUUUGGUGAAUACUAAGACUGCAACAUUUGAUGUGUGAGUUAGACGCAUAUUAUGGAUUACAAUUAAAUGUUGCCGCAAAACAAAGCUUGGUGGUAGUUAGUGGAAAAGGAUAGAGUGGCAGGUCAUUAGUCACUGAAUUUCGAACUGAACAACUUAUAUCUCCAAAAUAAAUUACAUAAGCUUCUUAUUCUUUAGGAAAUUAACACCUAAUGACCUUGGAAAUAGCUGGUCUUGAACUUUUGCCACAUGGGUAAACCUUCAAGGCCAAAAGUCGAAACUUGAUGUUCUGUUAAUGGGGCAAGCAAGAUUAUAAGUUCAAGAUCAUCCACCUCCAAAGUCAUUCUUGUAAAUCACCCAGACGGAAAAUCUCAGGACACUUUGGGACGAAUAACAAUACCUUUGAUGACUAAACCCUGUUUACAAUUCAGUUUCUCGGUUUCAUAUAGAAAAAUCUCAAUCUCCUCCCUCUUCUUCUUCCUCUUAAUCUCACUGAUCGUGAAGAACUCACCUACUGGCACUUCUAUCCAUUUUUCUCUUUCUGUUACAUUCAUCAGAUUUACUGUAACAUCGUUGCUUGACUUAUUUGGAAUGAUAAGCCUCAAUGUAAUUGAUUCCAGUCCAUCUGCAUUUUCUUUUAUCUUCACCAUGAACACUACCUCGUACAAUUUUUCUGGCGCAAGUGCUUCUGUAUCAAACCUCCCACAAACUUCCAGCCAACACACAGUUUUUAGUUCUGCUGCUAAAAAUUUUUCAUCACUGCAAAGUGGUAAAUUCAAAACCAUUAGCUAGGUUCUCGCAGCUUAUCAUGUCAUAAUAUUUGUGUGACUCCAGAACUUAUAAAACUUGUAGUUUCAAACAUGUCCCAACAGUUGUGUGAGUAUAAAACUUCAUCAUCAUGGGUAAAAUAUGAAGUUUAAGUUAAAACUAUUUCCAAAAUUUUAUUCUUUUUUGCAGGCCGAAAAGGAAACAGAAUCACAUAAAUUGAAACAGACAAUAUAUCUUUGAUUUGGUCACCUUGUCUCUUUUAUAUCUACCCAAUCCCAGUAACGAUUGUCUUCUCCCCAAGUGAUUGAGAGAUCUUUUGCAUAUAACAUAAAGCAGUUUGCGUUAUUCGUUCUGUCAAUCCAGUACUUCUGCAUAUCAUAUCACUAAUAUUAUCUGUAAGAUUGCAUAACACUGUAAACUUCAAAUAAAUGAAGAAUUAUUAGAAGAAUAUCAUAAAAACGGAGUAUAUAAUUACAACUGCUUAGCUAUUUUGAAAUAGGAUCAUACAUACUUCUGUAUAAGAUAAGGAUAAAAAGAAGUUCGCAGAGAAGAAGAAGAAGGGAAACUUAAGUUGCUCUACCUUCUUAUUUUGUUUGAGGUGGACUCCAUUAUAUAGCUGUUCAUAUAGUCGCUCUGUGGACAAUAUAUCAAUCUCCAACGGAGAGUCUGCUUCUUUCAAGAUCUCAUUCAGAUAAUAUGGAAGCUGAGGUCUUAUAUAUGGAGGCUGGACUCUUAUAUUUGUAGUUUCUGCAUUAUAAUUGACAUCAGUUUUGCUUCUUUCUGGUCUUAGCUUGCUUGGUUCUUCUGUCUUCACAGACGUUCGCUCUCUAUUUUUUGGAUUCUUAAUUGAUUGCUUUGCACCCAUCUUAAGAGAUUAUUAACAAUUUUCUCCUAGUCUAAUAUUAUAUUAACUAGAUAUGGAGAAAAACAAGCUUGAUGACCACUUGAUAUUUUGCCAUAAAGUUUGAUGCUAUGCUGUUUUUUUUUCUUUAUAUAAGUGACUCAAAAUCUUAGCUUAAAGCAUCUGAUUCUCUUCUUCCUUGACAAAUUCACCCUGUGUACAAGUUAUUCUUCUACAAAAGAAUUAUUCCUUCAAUGGUCGAUGAAAUUGCUUUGUGAAGUCACUUAUCUUUUCUUCUUCUUUGUGUAAAUUGACACUCUGAUUUGAAUCCUUGAUUAUGCUUGUUACGAUGAAUUAAAUUAACGAUAUGGAAAUUCAAUCAGUUACAAGAGGAUCAUGGAUUAAUACUUGGCAAGAACCCAAGUGAAAUCAUUUAAGUAGUAGAGAAAAAUGGGGUUCACUAUGGGUUUUUGCAUUGUUUGGCAUUUGUCAACAACACCAUACUUAUUGAAAUGAUAGUUUACGAUCAUUGGUGUAACUUAACAUGUUUUUUUUUUCUAGAUCGUCAGUCAAUACUAUUACCCUAUAAAUGUGACCUGAUUGUGUAACUAUUUUUACAUGGUCAGUGCAUAGAACUUUUUUGCACUUUUGGCAGCGAACACCCUAAUGGCAUUGAAAUGCUGUUUGAGGAAUAUGACAUCUCUAUUAUUGUAAGUUUUAUUUUGUUACUCAUAAUAUUUAGUAGAAGAAUUUAGACAGAAACUUCAACACCUUUAAUAACCAGUCCCAUCUUAAGUUUUCUACCUUUCCUUUCAUGCACAUAGAAUUCCAAAUUUGUGAUACUUUCCAUUUCUUGUGGAAUGAUGAAAGUCCCUAGUUGAAUUUUUAUCCAUUCUCUUUUUGGUUUUUCCAUAAGAUCUUCAAUACUUUGAUGUUCUUUGGUACCAUCAGGCUUAACAAGUAUUGUUUGCAGUGGAGAUUCCCAUCCUGAAAGAAAUUUCUUCAAUAACACCACAAGUGAAACCUUGUACUCUACUCCCCUUGAAAGCUUUUCUGCAUCAAAACUUCCACCAACAGCUAGUGAUAGAACUGUUUCCAUUUCGUAAACUUGAACAGGUUGAUCACUGCACACAUAAUCAAUUGAAAAUAAGUGCAUUAGUGUGUCUAUGAGUGGUUUUAACAUUCUAUAUCUAAGUGUAGAAAUGCCCCUUAAGUGCUUUAGUGGGAAUGCAGAGGAUUGAUUAAUACUUCCUAAACAUGUCACGAAUAUAUUUUUUUUCUUCAUACAUUAUCCUACACACAUCCUUAGCGACCUAUCCUUCUUUCCGACAUACAAAACAGGUGCGCCUCAUGGUGAGAAGGCUUGGCCUAAUAAAGCCCUUCUCAGGGAGAUCCUUCAACUGCUCAUUUGUACUCAAGAAGACAUUGGAAAUUGAUGAAAGUCUACUAAAAGGUAAGAGAUAUAUCUCAUAAUGCAGAUUAAUUACCUUGGAUGCUCUUUAUAUUGGGGCAGACUCCACUUGCUGCUUUCUUCUGACCAUAGGACAUGUAGAUUUUUGGCAUACAAGAAGAAGCAUUUUGCCUUUGUCCUUGUAUCAAUCCAAUACUGUAGCAUAUAUAAUACAUCAAUUAAUAUAGACGAACACGCGUAUAUAUAUACAGUAUAAAACAUGGAUAGUUUUGUAAUUGGGGAUAUACAUAUACCCUGAUUUGUCCAUCCAAAAGUACUUCCACACCAGGCUCUGCAUAUUGUAAGAUUUCUUCCAAUUUACGCGGAAGACGACUAAUAUUGUUGCUGCUACUGCUGUUGUUCUUUGGUUUUGCUCUUUUGGGAAGUAUUGCACAAUUCAUGUAGAAAUCAAUUGCCUUGAUAAGCUUACAAAUGAUGAUAUUUUUUGCAAAGAAAAUUCUCAAAGUCAAGAGUAAUCUAUCUUAAAACCAGAUAUAUGCUGCUGCUCUGAGUGGUAACCAAGUUAGAAUUUUUAAAAGAAAGCAUAUAUUCUUGUGUCUGUUUUUGGCUUAAGAACCUCCCAUCUGUGGCGUGGAAAUCCUAUUGCUAACAUCUUCUAUAAUACAAAAGUCACCAAAAAAAUAUAAAUCUCUAUUUGAAGUUGAGUAGAGACUCGUAUUGAUAACAUGUUAUCGAGAAACAUGAACCUCUACUUGAAGUUGACUAGAGACUCAUACUAGUAGCUUGUAAAACAAGAAAAAUUAGAGAUGCUUAGAUGGAAAAAAGAAGUGUGGAGAUUGUUACUAUUAGAUAAUUUCAUUCAAUUAUGUUUCUCGUAGGGUAGGAAUACAGUAAAAAUUUAACUGAUUAUACAUAUUAUCACCUUAAUAUAUGACUUGACCAUGUAAAUUAGUAUGGUUUGGUGUAAUAAACACUAGGUGUGGGUAAGCUUUUAACAUAAGGAACUCUAUAUGACACAAAAUUCCCCCAGAAUUCACAAGAAUUAAGUACAUCGUCCAUGUAAAAUUACAUGGUUCAUGGUAUAAAUAAUAUGUAAAAGUACUCAAAUGUUUCAAAAAAAGUACUCAAUGAACAUCCAUUAGCUCAAUUUAUUCAUAACAACAACAAAGUUUCAACACUACAAAAGAUACCAUAUCCUAAGACCAACUGGUAUGAUGCUCUUCUUCACAUGAUAUGUUACAUUCCUAAACUUUAGUAAUAUAUCGAUUCGAGCCUAGCCAUAUUACUAGCUUGAUUUUCCUCAUCAGAAUCUUCAAAAAAUGAAAACUGAGCCAUGGAUCCACAGUUAGCACCCAACAACCAGAUUAAGGAUAAAAUUUCACCACCUCUCACAAGAUAUUGUGCAUGAGCACGCGGUGCAGAGCAUUUGGCAGCAUCAAAUAAUAUCGCGAUCCAAGUUUUAUGAAUAAUCUCCCAACAUUUAACUCUGUCUUGACACCAAGGAGAUUCAGUUUGCAAACAGUUGACAACCUUAAAAGCUUCAUACAAGAACGAUUCCUGAGGAAUUCUCCCCUCAGCAGCUUUUUUCAUGAUCUCUUGGCAAGCUUCUUGUUGGCUUGAAUUUUUCUUUUCAUGAAGCAAUUCUUUUAUCUUGUUGUUGGUCUCUUCUAUCUUCUUCUUGUUAGGAACAGGCAUGAAGAAAGGGCGAAAAAUAAGAAUGUAAAUCAUGUAGUCUGAUAGAGACUUUGAACAUUCUCUAAACUUGUUCAACUCUCUUGAAUCAGGUCCAAUAUUUUCCUCAGGUACAUCCACAACAUUAUAGAAAAUCUCCGUCACAAUGUGCCAUACUAUGAGGAACUCGUUCUUGUCAAGCUCCUUCGACACAGGGAACUUGCUGGUGCAUUUAGUGAAUGUAGAAGCAUACGAGUUACAAUCCCAAUCAUGCCUAUUUAGACGUAUUUCUACUUGUCUUAGAAUUUCAGCUUCCAAUAUAGGAGAAAGACUCUUGUUUUUCACAUAUAUCAUCUCAUCAAGAUAAUUUGUAAGGUGUAGGGAAUCAAUUAUGCAUUCCCAUGCUUUUGGAGGUCGAUUUAAACCAUAGGUUAUGAGGUUGAAUUGUUGGAGAGAUGGUCUCCAACACCAUAGAGCACGUGGCCGUGGCCACUUUAAAGCUUUGAGGAAUUUGACCACCCAAGUGAUUGGCCUCGACGUUGCCCUUGACAUUGUGGCAAUUGUGAAAGUUGAGGAAUAAAGCAAGAUAACAAAAGCAAUGGCAUCCAAAAACAUACCUCCAAUGAGUAAGCUAUAGGUUAGUCCUACAUCGAACGGAUCAAAUUGCUUUUGCUUGUUGUUCCUCACCAACAAAGAGAAAGAGGCCAAUGCUGCAGGAAGCAGAACCCAAUAGACAGAUCGAGCUGAGUUCCCAAAACUUUCAUGGAAAAUUUGGGCCUUAGUGUAUAGAACAUCAUGUAGAAUCUCGAGUUCAGCCUGCGCGAUUCUAAAAGCAAACAGAUCAGUUCUGUUUUGCAAGAGUUGUUGAAUUCUACCAUACUCCUCAAAAGUGAACUUGUGCUCCACCAGAACACCUUUAUAGGCCCUGAAUAUUGUAUAUGCAAGUUGUAUAACCUCCACAUCAUCCAGCUCUCCUGCUCGGAAAUUGUGAGGUUCUUCUGACGACUUCCUCUUCACAACAUCUUCGUACUUAGGAUUACUCAAUGUUAUGGACUUAUCCAUACUCCCAAUGAACCUAGCACGUGCCCUCUCGUAACAUUUGAUGAUUCCAGCCAGGAACACUAGGACAUUUGGGAUCCAAAGAUAGUUUACUUGGGAGAACGAUAAGUAGAACACGUAGGCAGAGGACAGGAACAUGAAAACAAACGUGAAAGCAUACCUAAACCACAGGUCAUUGUCCUCGAGGGAAAAUGCUAUUGCAUGAUCAGAACCUCCUAAAUGCAACAACAUACAAGAAGCCCAAAAUGACAUAAGUUCUGUCUUGUCAUGUCUUGUUUUGCUGUAAUUUACAAUGAGAUUGAGAAUGAAAGCAGGGGCCCAAUCAGCAGCCAUGUAUGCUGACCAAACAAACACCAUCAGGAUUUUACUGCCUGUUCUCUUCCUGAAUGGUGCUAAAAGAAGCAAUAGAGCUUGGAUUAAGAGGCUUAGAAUGCAAAAAGAUUGCACAUUAUAGGCAAUCCAGGCAGCCUUGAUAUGAUUUAUAGACAUCAUUCCUGCCUAGCAAAUGUUUCAAGUAUUUGAUCAAUGAAGAAUUGGUGAAAUGAUAUUUAUUCUCGAUCGUGUUUUGCAUGUAGAAAUUAUAUGUAUCGAGUAAUCGGAGAUGAAAAAGGAAGACCUGAAAUUUUGUGAACAAUGUUUAAGGAUGUACCUUCCUCUGAUGUCAAGUGUCCCUUACUUGAAUAUGAUCCUUUUCUUGUGUUUCUUCUAUCAUUAUUAUGGGAUCCUUUACUCCAACUUCCUCUCUUUCUUUUAAACCUUUUUGAUGAACUUCAAUACAAGAAUAUGCAAAAGAAUAGCACAGAUUCAGAUACUCUCUCCGAUCACUUUUACUUGUCCACUAUUUCAAAAUUAGAUUUUCACUUUUGUUUGUCAAUUUUAACAUAUCAAGAAAAGACAGUUAUUUUUUUUUCUAGUGUUUUGUCCUUAACAUUAAUUACUUAUUUUUUGACUUAAACUAAACAUCAAUUAAUAGGGGUAGUAUGGCAAGAUAGUCAUAUCGAUCAUUAUUUUUUUAAUGAGCAUAAUGUGAUAAGUAAAAGUGAAUGAGUAUAUACAAAGUUAUAAGUAAAUCAACCAUGGAUGAAGGCAUUGGUUUCUAGUGAGGAACAUUAUAGAUAUUUCCCAUAAUGUUAGUUGAUUAGUGUCUGUCAAUUUUGUCACUACAACAGUUGCUAUCGUAGUUGAAAAGGUGCAAUGAUAUCACACUCACUGUGACAAGGCUAAUUUGGGGAAUCAUUUUUCACUUACUGCUAUGAAUAAUUUGAGGCGAAUCAAAACAGUUCUCAUGUGAAUCGACCCUCAUAUUAUAUAUAUAUUCUCCCUCCCAUCUCAUAUUACGUGAAAGUAGGGGUGUCAAAAAUGAACCCAAACAUAGGUAAUCCUUCCAUAAUUUUAAGGGUUGGGCUCAAGAUAAUUUGAAUUGGGUCCAAUCUCAAGCCUAAUCCAUUUUAAGGGAAUCCUUAAUUGAGUCCAAUUCAAUUUCUAAUUUCAACCCGUUUUAAAACUCUUUACUAAGAUAUGUUCCUAUAUUAAAGGUAUGAAUUAUUAUCUAUUUAACAUCUUUUAGGAUUUAUCUAUCCAUUUGUUACUUUUUUGGGAAAAAAUCUUGAGCUGAUAUUCGAAUUGUGAUUAUAAAAGUUAAAUAUCACUAUGUUUAAAUUAUUGAGAUUAAUCGGGUCAAAUUGGGAGGAUCAAGACCCAACCCCUUUUUUAGCCCAUUUGAACCCAACCCAUUUGAGCCCAAAGUAAACUUGGGUGGGUCAAGAUCCAACCCAAUUUCUAUUUUAACCCAUUUUAAUAUCUCCAAUUUCAAUUCAAUCCGCCUAUUUGACACCCCUACGUGAAAGUAUUCUUUAAGUAGGGGUGUACAUGACCGGGUUGGUUCGGUUUUUCAAUUAUCAAACCAAACCAUUUGUAUCGGAUUUUUAAAUCUAUAAACCAAACCAAACCAAACCAAUAAAACUCGGGUUUUUUCGGGGUUUUCAGAUUUUUGGGUUUUUCCGGUAAAGUAUUCAUACAAACAUAUAAUUUACUUGUACUUCAAAUAUUUCUUUAGUCCUACCAAAAUACAACUAUCUAAGGUGUUUCUUAAGAAAAUAACACAAAAUAUGAUAUGAGUAAUGACACUAAAAUAUCCAAACAAAAAAAUAAUAAUAAUGAAAUCACGUAAAACAAUUAUUGCAAAUUAACAAGUCAUAAUGAAAAUGAUCAUAAUUUAAAAGUACUAAAAUCAUGCUAAAAUAAGUUUAAUACGUAUUAGUUACAUGACUAAAUAUUAAAGGAAAUUAAAAUUAGAUUAUGUAUUUGAAUUGUCUAAACCAAUGUAAAAUCAAAGAAUAAAUAUUCAAUAUUAUUGUCAUUCUUAGUGUUGAAUUGAUUUUCUUUUUGCAUUAGUAUUAAUUUGAUUUUGAUUUAAGCUUUAUUAUAAAUAUCAACAUAUGUAGACUAUAAUUUUUAUUGAACAAUUCAGAAUUCUAAGUUUCAAACUUGAAAUAAUAUAUUAAAAAGAUAAAAACUAUGAAAAAGUAUAAGAAAUAUUUAAAAAUUAUAUCAAAGUAAAUAUUUUUAUGUAUAAAAUAAAAUUUUAAAAUUAUAUAUAUAAUGUCGAGUUGGUUUGGUCUCGGGUUGGUUUUUUUCAAUUAAAACCAAACCAACCCAAAUAUAUAUAGUCGGGUUUUUUUUUCAAUAUCAAACCAAGUCAAACCAACCACUAGUUGGGUUUUUUUUCUCGGUUUGACUCGGCUGCGAUUUGGUUCGGUUUUGUACACCCUUAUCUUUAAGUAUAAUUUUCUCAACUUUUUAAAAAUAUUUUUAAUCAUUAUUUAUGUUGUCUUGUAAUAAUUUCAUAUUGUUUUCUAAUGAAUAAAUUUUAUCUUAAAGAAUUAUAAUCAAAAUCAAAUAUUUAACUCUUACAUUAAACCCAUGAGAGGAAGGGAAUAUAAAAAAGAGUGAAAGGAAAAAUAUUCUUAAUUUUCUCAUCUUACCCCGAAUAAUCAAUAAUGUUUCUACUUAUUUUCAGUAUCUAUUCCGUAAGGUAUUUGUGGUGCAUGUAAUGCACUUCAACACACGCAAGAGAGCACUGAUAAAAUUAAAAUAUGUGAGUGCCUUUUCCAGAAAAAGUUGAAGGGUAAUUUGCGUAUUUUCACUUCUUAGAGUUAAACUUGAUAUAAUAUAGUUUUAACAAAAAGGACAAACUUGAAAAAGUAUGAAAGAACAAACGUAGUUUCAUUCAUAAUGUGAGCAAUACAAAUACAAAUACCAUCACAAAUUUUAUUUAAGAAAAACACGCUCUAAAAAAAGUGAACAAAAAUAAGACUUUUAACUUAAGCUUAUCCUAUUUUAAACUCUGAUUUACGGAAUGACAACAUUCGAUUUAUUCAUAUAACUUUCUUGUAGUGCUGCUCUUUCACACAACUAAAUUAGCUUCUAGAUUUCUGUUAAGUUUACGGAAUGAAUUUUGAGACCUCCUUUCCACUUUUUGUUCCAAACUUCAUACAAUCCAAAAUAAAUCUUAUCAACAUUGUUUCCCUUCCCUUUUGUUAUCGUAAUAUUUUUUGGUGUCAUCUUUUUGCUGUUAAUCUCACUUGUCAAAUUCAUCUUUCUCCAUUGAGUGUUAUCUCCCCAUUUCGCCAUAAGAUAAACUGGUGAAUCUCUCCAACCAAAUGCAUCAGUCAUCAAUGACACGGUAAAUUCAAUAUCGUACGAUGCUUUCUUCACUACAUUAAUAUUGUUAAUGCAACCAGUUACCUCCAACCAAUUUACUUGUACAAGUUCUAUACCAUCUUUUCUGUAAUUCAAAAUACAUUUAACAACAUGUUAGUUGAGAUAUUACAAAAUAUAGCAUAUGUUAGCCAAUUAAAUUAAUUUAUAUAACUUAUUAAUUAGCACCCUUUAGUUCUUACUCAUAUUUGGGUAACUUCCAAAAGCGUUUAUCAUUUCCCCAAACAAUGUCAAGUGCUUUCGGAUAAACUAUAUAACCCUACAAGCAACAAAAAAAACAUAAUUCAAUUUUUAAAAAAAAUAGAAACUCGAGCACAACUUAAUAUAUAUUGGAAGAAAUCAAAUACAUGAAAUUUCAUGCACCUUUUGUGUUUUAGAGAAUGUGUGAUUGCCUUGAUAGUGAAGAGCUUUUGAAGCCAUUUGCUAUAUUAAGUUGAAUUACUCAAAAUUACUAAGAAUUAAUGUGGAGAUUUGAGUGAUGCCUUGUGAUAUAUGCUAUUUGCCCUAUAUAAUUAAUAAUCAGAUAUAUAUAGAGAUAGGAAUUAAUUUCAUGCAUGCAUGGGAAUCAACUACGUCGUAUGAAAGAGGCAUUUAGCUAAGCAUACUACCGACCAAAGUAGAAAUGUCAGACUUCAGUCGUAUGAAACUUAAUUUAAAUAUCGCAUAUUUGAUGUUUGUCAAACAAUUAGGUGCAAAUUAAAUAAUUUUAAGAAAAAAAUAGUACAAGUUGAACAGUGACGUUCAAAUAAGAUACACCAUGGUUAUUUUUUUUCAAAAAAAAUGUUGUAGUUAUCCCUUAUAGGGUUUACUACAUGCAAAUCUGAAUUAAUCGGAGUAAUUAGCUUAACAACGUCGGAGACGAUUGGACGUAAAAAAAAAGUUAUACUAUAAGUUGACAAAAUUGAACGCAUUAAACUAGAACCGUCCUUUGUUUUGUAGUACUACUAAAGAUUAAUGACGCCAAAUUGCAAAAGAUAGGAUAACACACCCACUACAAAAUGACUUUGUAUUAUAUUCUCACACGUUUAGUACAUUACGACAUUAUUCUCUCCGUUCACUUUUAUUUAUGGGAAAAUUACAUAAAUCACAUACUUUUAUUUGAGGAAUAAGUAAUUAACAUUGGUGAUAAAAUAAAAGAUUUUUUUUUUGUCUUUUCUUGCAUAUGUAAAAAAUAACAAAAAAAAAAUGAGAAUUUAAUAGUAGACAAGUAAAAGUUAACGGUAGGCGUAUAUAUCUUUUUCAUUGCUUUUGUUCACAUCUUCCACUUUUAGACCUUUGUUUUCAUUGCCUUUUUAUUACUUAGUUAUCAAAUACCUAGUGCGAGUUCUAGAAAAAAAAUUGCAAAGUUGUAGUCUAAUUGACUCUUUUUUUUCUAUUUUCUUAAAAAUAUAUAAUAAAUAAAAGAAACAUGUACAUUAGGGGUGGGGGAAGGGAAAAUGGCCGGAAGGGAGAGGGGGAUUACAAGAUAGAAAAUAGAAUUUUCACAAAUAUGAUAAAAGUUUGGAAAGUCAACAAGUUACUAAGAUUUUUCUUAUUGAAUUUUUAAUAUUAAUUAUAGUUGUUUUCUUAAAAAUUAAUGAAGCACUUAAUAUUUGGUGAUAAGGAGGCCACAUCAGUUUAUGCUUAAGCCGACAUAAAGAAUAAUAAGUGAAAGGACUAAAGUUGGACUAAAAGAGUCAAAAUUCCUCGGUGUUAAAUACUUGUUCCGUUCACUUUUAUUUAUUCACUAUAUUAAAUAAAUUAUUAAAUUUUUAUCUUUCACUUUUAGUAUAUCAAUUUUUUUUUUAAAAUAUUUUAUCUUCAAUACUAGUUACUUAUUUUUCAAAAUUUAAUAUUAUACAUCGAUUAAUAUAAAAAUUGUGAUGAAAUAGGCAUAUUAAUCACAAAUUUAAAUAAUAUAUAAAAUGGAAAAAUGAACGAAUAAAAAUAAACAAAAUAAAUACAAAAUACAAAUGGAGCUAAGAUUAAUGAACCCAAGCAAAAAGUUUUCAAACUUGAAACUUCAUAAAUAGAUUCACAUUCUCAUUGAAGCAGCCAAGGGGAAUAAGCAGGCAACAUUUAGAAGACGUGUUGACGGUUUGGCGCUCGUUUAUUUCUUUCUUUCUUUCAUAUUAGUUAUUAAUAGUCUAUGCUGUGUAGUGUGUAGUACAAGCUAACAAUAUUAAUUUUAUAUUUUUAAAAUAUAUUUUAAACAUGUCAAUUAUUAUGACUUAUUACAUUUUUUACAUAAUUUUUAAAUCUGUAUAUUUCAAAUUUAAAAAUUAAUUAAAUUAAAUAAUAUUGCUGAUUUUUAAAAAUUAGUGGUACAACUCAUAUUUAAGAAAAGUACAUUCAAACUAUAUAUAUUUUUUGUGAAAUGUAUGGCUAAACACAAGUUCAACACUAAUUCAAACUUUUUUUUAAAUAAUUAAUUAUAUAAAAAUAAAAAACAUAGUUCUAAAUAUUUAUAUUUUUAAAUAUAAAAAUUAAUCAAAUUAAAUAAUUUUGAUAAUUUUUUUAAAUUAGCAGUACAAAUCAUAUCUAAGAAAAGUACAUUCAAACCUAUAUUUUUUUGCAAAAUGUAUGGCUAAACAGAAGGUCAACUUUAAUUCAAACUUUUAGAAAAACAAUUAAUUAUAUAAAAAUAUAGAAGAAAAAUGUUAGUAUAUAAUAUAAAAAGAUAGAAGCAAAAUGAGCAGUGGAAUAAAAUAAUGCUGCUAAGUAAUUCAAGUUUAAGAACCGGAGACCAGCAUGCCAAACAGCUGAAUCAUUAAAUUAAAACAAAUAAUUAAAAUAGAUGGAGCAAUAAUAACAUUCUUUCUUUUUUUUUGGUAAAAGAUAAUAACAUUCAAUAUCGCUAAGAUAUUACCUUUGUUUUUUUUAAUUAUGCCUAGUAUUAAUACUCUCUCUAUCCCUAAUUACCUGUCAACUUUUAAAUUGACACACCUAUUAAUAAAAUAAUUAAUGACAUGGUGAGAUUACUAUUUUACCCCUAUUAAUUAUGAAGUAGAUGAAUUAAAAAUUUAAGAUUUUUAAGAAGUUCUAUCUUUUUCAAAGUAAUUAAUUGAGGAUAUAAUAGAUUAAAAAAAAAUUGUCCUUUCUUGAUUUGUCAAAAUGGAUGAGUAAUUAGGGACAACAAAAAAAAAAAAAGUGGAUAAAUAAUUAGGAACAGAGGGAGUAUAUUGUACACUUAGAUUUAGAUAAGUGAAUUUUAAAAUGUUAUUGAUCUCAUAUACCUUAAUGUAUUCACAUUUUUUUGCACGACUCUUAAAUAACUUUUGGCAUGGGAGAGAUAGAAGCCACCUUGAAAGGUUCAGCAAUGAUUUUUUUUUUCUUUUUUCUUAAUUAUGGAUUAAUUUUAUUAUUAUACUUUUAUAUAUUUUUAUGAAUAGCCAAUUUUCUAUUUUGGAUUUUGAUGAAACCUUUUAUAGGAUGAAUUCAUUUUAUUUAUAUAAUUGAGCCAUUAUAUUUUUCUACUUGUUGACUAUGUAUGUGCUUAUUUUUGUUGAUCGAAUAGAAUUGUCAUCGAUAUUAUGAGUUGCUAGAGAAAAAAAAUGCAUAUUUAGAUUGUUAUUGAACAAUGUCAUUCUUAGGUAUAUGAGAGAUCACUUAUAAAAGUGGGUUUAGAGAUAACAAAGUUUUGAUGUUGUCAUAAUGAGUGACGAGAAAUUGCUAGCUAGAGAGUAGUUUGAAAGAAUAUAUCUAGUACUAAAUGACGGUGAUUGAUCGAGAGAUAAUCGUGAUAAGUUAAAGUAUUCACAACAUGAAUCGAUCAACAUAACUAAAUUAAACAUAAUUGUCAGGAUACUCCUCCUAUUGUCCUAUAUUAUGUGAAACUGUUACCGUUUAGGAAAUUAAUAAUUUUUUCUUCAUAGUUUCAUUUAUGAUCUGAGCAAUACAAAUACAAAGUUACAAACGCGAAUUCAUUUAAGAAAACCCACUCUAAAAUACAUGAAUAAAAAUAAGACUCUUAACAAUUGAGUUUCCCCUAUUUUAAACUCUCAUUUACGAAUGACAAUAAUCGAUGUAUUUCUAUUUUUACAACUUUUUUGUAAGACUAUUUUUUUCACUCGGCUAAAUUAGUUUUUAGGUCUCUAUUAAGGUUACAGAAUGAAUUUUGAGACCUCCUUUCCACUUUUUAUUCCAAACUUCAUACAAUCCAAAAUAAAUCUUAUCAGUAUUGUUCCCUUUUCCUUUUGUUAUCGUAAUAGUUUUUGAUAUCAUCUUUUUGCCAUUAGUCUCAGUAGUCAAAUUGAUCUUUCUCCAUUGAGUAUUAUCUCCCCAUUUAGCCAUAAGAUAAAGUGGCGAAUCGCUCCAACCGAACGCAUCAGUCAUCAAUGACAUUGUAAAUCCAAUGUUGUAUGAUGUUUUCUUCGUUAUAUUAAUAUUAUCGAUGCAACCAGUUACCUCCAACCAAUUUACUUGCAUAAGUUCUGCAUCAUCCUUUCUGUAAUUCAAAUAUAUUUAAUAAAAACGUCAGCAUGCUAAAAACAACAAGAGAUUUAUGUAGUCCUAUAUUGUCUUCAUUAUGCAAAAUGUAGUCCUUUUAGAAAAUUUUAUGUUGAUAAAAAUAAAAUUAAAAAAAUAGUAUUCUUACUCGUUUUUGGGUAGCUUCCAAUAACGCUUAUCAUUUCCCCAAACAAUAUUAAGAGAUUUUGGAUAAAUUAUAUAACCCUGCAAGCAACAAAAAUAACACUAUUAAAUAAAUAACAUAACAUAACAUAAACUCGAUGGAUCGAUGGAUUAAGCAUAAGUAAUAAGAGAAACAAGAAUUGCAAUAUAGGAAGAAACUAAUCUAUGAAAUGUCCUGCACCUUUUCUGUUACAGAGAAUGUUUGAUUGCCUUGAUAGUGAAGAGAUUUUAAAGCCAUUUAACUUGCUAUAUAAGUUGAAUUGUAAAGAAUGUGGAGAUUUGAGUGCCUUAUAAUAAUUUUGGCUACAAAAAUCAGAUAUAUAUAGAGAGAUAGAAAUGGAAUCAAAUCACACGUAAUAAGAGACAUGCAUUUAGCAUGGAAUAUCAACCAAUCAAAUGGAAUAAAAUAUCAUGUCUUAUAUUCUAAUAUACGUUGGCAUGCAUUUUUCUACAAGAUUUUUUUGAAGGAAACGUUUUAUUCCAUAUGGGCUUACUUAGUGCGAAUAAAUCAAGAGUGUCACGCGCGGAAUUAGUGAUCAUGGUCGAUUAAAUUCAAUAGUUUUUAUUCAAUCAAUAUAUUCUUAUUUAAAAUAAUUAUUAAAUAUAUAUUAAGUUUAAAACUUAAUUAUAUUUAAUAGAAAGUCGUCAUUUUAAAAUUUUAAAAUUUAUAAAAUUAAAAUUAUGACUCUGCCUAUAUAAAUCAGAGCAAUUAUUUUGAACACGAAAAAUAAUCGAACCGACAACAAAAAAAGUUAGAGAAUAUACUCCUCACUAUAGUGAGUUGUCAAAAUUGAAUGCAUGAGGAUAGAGAUUGAGCCCAAGUUGAUUAAGGUUGAAUAAUAUAAUAUAUUACCCACAAAAAAAUUGGCAUUGUAUUAUUCUCACACGGUGAAUAUUAUUAGUUCACAUAUUCCACUUUUAGACGUUUUCUUCAUUGCCUUAUUAAAAAAAAAUGAACUAUCACUUGAUUCUAGUCGGCCCAAAUUACCUCGAGCUAAUUAAAGCCACAAGUUUCAGAAUAUUUUUUUUGCAAAGUUAUAGUUUAAUUUGACUUUUCUACUUAAUCUUAUAGUAUUUCCCUAAUUACUUGUCCACUUUUAAAUUGACACAUCUAUUAAGAAAACAAUAAUUGAGAGUUUACCAUUUUACCCCUAUUAAUUAUGAAGUUGAUGAAUUAAAAAUGUAAGAUCUUCAAGAAGUUAUAUUUUUUUUUUCAAAGUAAUUAAUUAAGGGUAUAAUAGGUAAAAAAAAUUGUUCUUUCUUGAUUUGUCAAAAUAAACAAGUAAUUAGGGAUAACUAAAAAAGGAAAAGUGGACAAGUAAUUAGGGAUAGAGGAAGUACUAAUGGUUUUUAAAAUUCACUUUUUUGCUUUGAUUUCUAAGUUCCAUCACUUGAUUAGUCUUAAUUUCAUUAUGUGAAAGCGGUAUCUGAAAAUCAUAAAUAUUUGAAUUUCAAAAUAUCAAGAAAUUUAAUAGACCUUAGUAACAUGUAUUCACAUCUUUUGCAUGUCUUUUAAAUAACUUUUGAUUUGGGGAAAGCUAGAAGCCGUUGUGGAGUAAGGAAAAUAAAUUUGGCAACAAUAUUUUUCCUUUCUUCUUGCUAUAUUUCGCUAUUGGUUAUGCAUUGUACUAUUGUGUUACCACAUACUUUAAUAAAUCAAGUAUUCAUGAUCCGUAAAAAAUAAAUUAGUGAGGCUAUAAUUAUUGUAGAAAAAAAAAUCGAUCAUUAGAAAAGUUACAACUCUAGCUCUCCUCAAUCAUAUAAUAUAAUUGAGAAAAUGCAAUUGUGUCACACUCACUCUAACAUGCUAAUUUGGGGAGUCAUUUUUCACUAAUAAUGAACAAGUUAGUGGCAAAUCAGAACAAUUCUAUAUAAAUCAUUCAUCAUAAGUAACUACAUCAAACAUAAUUGUUCCAAGAUACUCCUCUAACCGUCCCAUAUUUUGUGAACCAAACUAUUUUUUCUUUAAUUAUAAUUUUUUUCAAAGUUCAUUUUAAUGUUUUGAAUCAUUCACUGUAUUAGCUUGUAAUGAUUUUCGUAUAGCCAGCUAUCAUAAAGUUAUAAAUUUAUUUGUUUUAGCUGAUAUAGAAGAGAAGAGUGUACGCAGAGAAGUGGGAGGAAAAUCAUAAUUUCAUUCAUAACGUGAGCAAUACUAAUUAAAAUACAAAGUUACAAACCCAAAUUUAUUUAAGUAAACACUCCAAAAUACAUGAACAAAAAUAAGACUUCUAACAAUUGAGCUUUCGCUAUUCUAAAUUCUGAUUUACGGGAUGACAAGGAUCGACGUGUUUCUAUCUUACAAUUGGCUAAACUAGCUUCUAGGUCUCUGUUAAGUUUACAGAAUGAAUUUUGAGACCUCCUUUCCACUUUUUGUUCCAAACUUCAUACAAUCCAAAAUAAAUCUUAUCACUAUUGUUCCCCUUCCCUUUUGUUAUCGUAAUAGCUUUUGAUAUUAUCUUUUUACCAUUAAUCUCAGUUGUCAAAUUCACCUUUCUCCAUUGAGUGUUAUCUCCCCAUUUAGCCAUAAGAUAAAGUGGCGAACCACUCCAACCGAACGCAUCAGUCAUCAAUGACAUUGUAAAUCCAAUCUCGUAUGAUGUUUUCUUCGCUAUAUUAAUAUUGUCAAUGCAACCAGUUACCUCCAACCAAUUUACUUGCAUAAGUUCUGCAUCAUCCUUUCUGUAAUUCAAAUAUAUUUAAUGAAAACGUUAGCAUGCUUAAAUUCCAAAUUAUAAGGUAGUAUGUAGUAUAACCCAUUUAAUUUCUAUAACUUAGAUAAUUUGUUUUGAAAGUCUCUUUCAGCCAUUUUAAUUUAACGCUUUUGUAUAUACAACAAGAGAUUAGUAUAAUUAAAUUGACCUCAAGAUGAUUUAUGUACUCCUUAUAGAAAAUUGUAUGUUCAACUUCUUUAUGAAAUCGAAAUAUAUCUCAAAGUUCAAUUAUAACUUACAAGUAUCUAACAUAUUAUAGUCGGCAAAAAUAAAAAAUAAAAAGCAGUAUUCUUACUCGUAUUUGGGUAACUUCCAAUAACGUUUAUCAUUUCCCCAAAUAAUAUUAAGAGAUUUCGGAUAAACUAUAUAACCCUGCAAGCAACGAAAAUAACAUUAUUAAAUUAAUACAUAACAUAUCAUAAACUCGAUGGAUCGAGCAUAAGUAAUAAUGCAAGAAGGAAACAAAAAUUGCAAUAUUGGAAGAAAUUAAUGCAUGAAUUUCAUGCACCUUUUCUGAUUUAGAGAAUGUGUAAUUGCCUUGAUAGUGAAGAGAUUUUAAAGCCAUUUUUUGCUAUAUAAGAAUUUUUUUUAACAAAGAAUAUGUAGAAAGGACUGUUUCAACAUGUCAGCUUUCUGGUAUUAAAUUAAACUUUAAGGGUAUUAAAAUCUUUUAAAAAAAUUUGCAAGAUAAACUUGCUUUAAAAAGUUCUAUAUCUUGCAUUGUUAUUUGAUCCUAAGUAAAAACUCUUAAAAAGGUCCUCCUUUUUCAAUUCAACUACAAACUAUACCAUGCCAUUCAAGAAUAUGAUCGGUCCCACUUUCUUAAUAUGUCAUCGAAGAAUAUGACAGGUCCCACUUUCAUCUCUUUUUUUUUUUUUUACUUAAUUCAUUAUUCAAAAAUAAAUUUCAUUUUGAUUGUCAUUUUUCAUAUUAAUAUUUUUUUUUAAAUCACAUUUUAUCUAUCGUAUUAAUUAAUUAUUAAACAUCAAUUAAUAGAAAUAGUGUAAUAAAAUAACUAUAUCAAUUAUUUUUUAAUAAAUAGGUCAAACUUAAAUAUGACAAGUAAAAAUGAACAGAUAUACUAUAUAAUAAGAAGAGAUUGUAGAAAGGAUAAAUAAUGACAGAAUUAAGGAAAAUGUUAUCAUCUUAUUGACUGAGAUUUUUAUGGGAAAUUAAUUCACAUGCUCUAAUUAUAAUUAAUAAAGUAAAUAAAUGGUAUCAUUUAUUUUACUCUUAUAUUAAAAAUAAAAUAAAAUUGUUUUACUUUUUUAUUUUAAUAAAUUAAGAAAAUUAAUUAUUUUUGACUGACUUUAUCAUUAUCGUUAAGUAAUUAUAUAAAAUACUAAUAGUCAAAUUAAAAUUUUCAAAAUAUAAUUAAUAAAAUAAAUAAGGCAUCUUCCCCUAUGCUUAAUAUAUAUACUCUUAUUAUAUAAGAGAGAGUUCACACUGAAGCAAGCACGUCUCUGUCAACGUGCCCUGCUUCAGCAUGUUUCGAAAAAAAAAUUAAAAAAUGAUUUCUUUUGUUCUAUUAUAAUUUAACUAGUGUAUAAUAUUUUUGAAAUUAUGAGAUCCGUUUUAGCUAUGACUUUUAGUUUUGAAUUCAUAUUAUUUAGUUAUAGCUUUAUUAUUUUUAAUGUCGGUAAUAUUUGUUUAUAUCUUGUAUCUACUUUGAGUAAAAAAUUAACGAUUGAUGACGAAAAAUACUUUAAUUAUGGGGAUCUUAAUGGACCUCUUCACAUUAAAUUUGCACAAACCAAAAGUAAUUAACAAAUUAAGGACCUCUUCACAUUAAAUUUGAGCAAACAAAAAAUAAUUAACAACUUAAAAAAUAAUUUUAAAUUUUAUCUAUAUAACAUUAAUUAAAAUUAAAAAAUAAUAGAUAUUGGGCCCGUACUAGCACGGGCACCUGUGUCUAGUAUAAAUAGAAAUGGAAUCAAGUUAAGAUCAAUAUCACCAACCAAAUGGAAUAACACAGUCUUAUAUUUUCUAAUAUAAGUUGAUAGGCAUUUUUGUAAAAGUUUUUUUUUAAGGAAACGUUUAAAUUAUUCCUUCUGGGCUUACUCCGUACAAAUCUGAACUAAUCAGAGUGAUAAAGUGUCAUGGGCAAAGCUAGUAACUCGGAUAUUGAUUUGAUCUAACUCAAUAGUUUUAAUUUGCUCAAUCGUUAUAUUUGGUUGAAAACACUUAUUGGAUAUAUAUACAAUAUUAAAUUUAAAAUUCAGUUAUUAUUAUUUAAAGUCACCUUUUUAAAAUUCAGAACUUAUAAAAUUGAAAUUGUAACUCUACGGAUAAAUCAUACUAAUUAAUUUCGAACGUGGAAAAUGAUCGCACAUACAAAAAAAGUUAAGAAAAUAUACUCCACUUAAUAAUUAGUUGUCAAAAUUGAAUGCAAUGAAGGUAGAGAUUGAUUCCAAAUUGAUAAAGCUCGAAUAAUUAUAUGUCAACUGCAAAACUGGCUUUAUACUACUCAUAAAUAUUCUCACACGGUAAUUGGAAUAUUACAGUAGUAGUUUAUUAAAAUAUCGUUUUCAUUGCUUAUUUAUUAUUAGUUCACAUAUUCUACUUUUAUUAAAACCUUCUUUGAAUGAAAUAUAUAUCACUUGAUUCUAGUCAGCAUAUAUUUAUUCCAAAGUAAGUGUAAUUGUUCAAUGAAUACUUGUCUUAAUUUUAUUAUGUGCAUGAAAGCUGUAUUUGAAAAUCAUAAAUAUUUAAAUCAUAUUCUUGUAAAGAGUGAUGAUCAAACCAAAUAUCAGUCGAUGAAAUAACUUCGAAAUGUUGAAAAAACAUAAUGAAUUGUACAUAUAGCAAUUGUAUGAUUAAGUAAAUCAAAUAGAUACACAAGUAAUCUCGAUUAAAUUAAUUGUAUGAUAAUAAAAUGAAUUUUGGGGUAAUUGAAAUAUAUAGAAGAUCAAUUAUGCUUUGCCCGACCAUGAGUAUGUCAUGGUUAUUGUGGGAUGUUGUGAUGAAAAUUAAAUAAUCAGAUCGACUGAAAAAUAAUUCACAAGUGAUUAUACGUUUUUAUUAUUAGUGGAAAAGCAGUACUAUGGAAGUCAUCCAAGUAGAUGUGUAUCCCUCACUUUACAAUGGACUUAUGUACUCAGAGCUUUAGACAAAGUCCAUGAAGAAUCUUAAGAGAUAUGAUGUCAUGAUCCAGACCGUUGUGAGUGACACACACUAACAAUAACAACCUAGUGGGAGAACCAUGUACGAACCCAACAUCGUUCAAAAACCAAGUUUAUCAUAUAAAGAGUAAAACAAUUUAACAACCAAAGGAUUGAGUCCUCAUAAACUCAACUAAAUAGUUUUAAAAUGUUUAAUGCGGAAAAACCUCUAAGAACUAAAAGUCAUCAUAACCAAAAUUCUAAAAUAGUCAAACUGGGGAUGCAACCCCCGAAUCAAUCAAUAAACUAAAGACUAGUGUCUAUCUCCGAAAAGAUGGACAAGAAAAGCAGAAGACCCCAUGGCAACUCGAAAGAUGUAGCACACCCUUGUAUUCAAGACAUCUCUCAACUGAGGUCUUGGAUUAGCUGGUAGAAGAUGUGAAGUACUCAACAAAGAAAAGAACAAGUACAACAUCACUACACAAACCACAGUGUACUACUAGGAGCACACAAUCAAUCCAACAUAGGAAUGUAAACAACUCACCACAAGUAGUAACACAAAACAAUGCACAUGACAACAAUUAUCAACCACAUAAACUCUCAGUCACAUGUCAUGGAACAACAAUACCUAAGUCAACCAAUGCAUGACAACAUGUCCCAUAUGAUCACAAUGCAAAUGAUCAGUCCUUUCAUGGAACCACAAUCACUUACCUGGUUCUCUCACAUAACCCAAACCCAAAUUGUUAGUGUAUGACAUGGUAUCCGAUCGAGUCAUCCAUAGUUAGUAUAUCAGCAUGGUACCCAAGUCAACCAACAAUCACAAACAACAUGCACAAUCACAUAGAACAAUAAACAAUACCACUUGAAAACCACAAGUCGCAAUAACAAGUUCGUGGCAUGAGAUUACCUAUAUGAUGUCAUUUCAUAUGUCUUUCUGCUUUGCAUUGCACAAAUGAUACUACAAAGCAGCAGACAUGCAUACAUACAUUAUAAACUGGAAACAUACGACUAUAACCUACCUUGAAUCAAGCCUCUUCGAAACUAAAUAACACGAAUUUUCCCCCUUGCGAAGUGCAUCAACUUAUUCUUGGUCUAAAACAACAAUCAACCACUAAUGACUUCGAUUAUUAACAAAUCCUAACCCUUGGCCAAAACAUGAUCAUCUUCCCUAACUUAAGGUUCUUUCCCACCAUGGAAUUAUGGCAAACCUUCCCCUAAUAGCAAUAACGUAGAUUCUAAGGCUUAAGAAGCAAUGCAUAAGGUUGAGGAGUCGAAUUCUUACCUUUAUCGAAUAAUUUCGUGGGAAAACAUGUGCAAACUAUCCGAAAUUGCUCCUCUCAAGUCCCAGAACUCAAAGUGCAGGAAAUAAGAGUUUUGGGAUUGUUUCUGCACUAAAACUCGAUUGGGUCCAUUAUAGCGGCGUCGUUAUAGCGUACUAACCCAAUUAUAGCGGUCUGCACACUCUGUUGUAGCAGGAUGCCUUCCGCUAUAGCGGCCUCAACGAAACCUCCGAAACUCAAACUCUAGAAAAACGUCAGUUUUACAACACAAACUGCGCUCCCUUGAUGUCCCGACACAUACCUUUCACUCCAAAAUCAAUUUCGAGAGUUAAACUUAUCCGAAUUUGAUUUCGAAAGGCCCUAUGGACUCUUCGAUGUCUUGUCUACAAGAAUACAUCAACCAAACCUCAAAAAUCACAUCCCACCUAUCCCUGGAUGACCCUAGACCUCACCUAGCCCAGAUUUUAUCUAAGGCUAGUCUAGCCACAAAAAAAAAAGUCACUACCAGAAAAGUUUUCUAGCCCAAAUUAUUUCACUAUUGGCUUUGUAACAUAUCGCACUUAUAAAUGACUAUAAAGAAUUUAAAAAUAUGAAAUAUUGAUUUUUGGAAAGAAUAAGGAAAAUCUGGAAAUUUUUGUCUAAGUUAAGAAAAUGAGUUUUGGCCAUUUUCAAAAGGCCAUAACUCCUAGCUCAGGAUGAGUUAGGAUCAGCUCUUGAUAUGGUUGGAAAUCCCUUGGAGAUAUCUUUCCAACGCCGCAAAGUUUGCGCUAUUUUGACAUCAUAUGAGUGAGCUAUGCCUUUCGGAAGUUGGGUCUUCGAGUGCCAGUUCCGUCGAGGGUGUAGGCUCGGAGAGUGACAGGCUUACUCAUAACGACCGGGUUAGGUCGUUGCAUAUGAUCGUUUUAAAUUGACCCUUGCAUAAUCUCAUGUAAAAAAAUUAUCGGUAGGAAAACUUUGAACUCGACUUGGUGUUAGAGGUUCAUUAUGACCCUAAUUCACAUUUAAUACACUUCCAAUACUUAGAAAUUAGUUUAACACAGAUACAAAAUUAGAAAUCAUCGGAUUGGAAUAUAUACAUAUAUAUAUAUAUAUAUAUAUAUAUAUAUUAUAUAUUCAAAAAAUAGUUUGAAUCGUAGCUUAUAAUUUGUGGGUGAAUCUAGUACUAAUUUAUACUUCUUACACUUGGAUAAGUGAGUUUUAAAAUGCCACUAAGCUCAUAUAUAGACCUUAGUAACAUAUAUUCACAUCUUUUGCAUGACUUUUAAAUAACUAUUGAUAUGGGAAGAACUAGAAGCUAGCCGUCGUCGUGAAGACUUAUUGUUUGGAAAGUCAAUAAUUUUUCUUCAAAUAUGAUUUUCUCGUUUUUUUUUAAAUAUCAAUUUUGUUUUUAAACUUUUGAAAUUUUUCAUAUUCAAAAUAUAGUAUUUUAACCCUCAUAGAUCCCUACUACUUAUCCAAUAAAAUACGACAAAGGGAAAGGGUGUGAAGUCCCGAAGGAGAGAAUAUGAGAGGAAAAUCAAAUUUCAUUUAUUAUACGAACAAUAUUAAAUACAAAUACAAAUUUAAUUAAAAGAACACAUGACUCUAAAAUACAUGAAUAAGAUUUUUAACUUAAGUUUUUCCUAUAUUAAAUUAUGAUUUAUGAAUGAUAAUAAUCGAUGUAUUUCUAUCAUAUAAUUUUCUUGUAAUAUUGUUUUUUCACUCGACUAAAUUAGUUUUUAGGUCUCUGUCAAAUUUACAGAAUGAAUUUUGAGACCUCCUUUCCACUUUUUGUUCCAAACUUCAUACAAUCCAAAAUAAAUCUUAUCAGUAUUGUUCCCUUUUCCUUUUGUUAUCGUAAUAGUUUUUGAUAUCAUCUUUUUGCCAUUAAUCUCAGUUGUCAAAUUCACCUUUCUCCAUUGAGUGUUAUCUCCCCAUUUAGCCAUAAGAUAAACUGGUGAAUCUCUCAAACCGAACGCAUCAGUCAUCAAAGACAUUGUAAAUCCAAUCUCGUAAGAUAUUUUCUUCGUUAUAUUAAUACUGUCGAUGCAACCAGUUACUUCCAACCAAUUUACUUGAAUAAGUUCCGCAUCAUCCUUUCUGUAAUUCAAAUAUAUUUAAUAAAAACGUUAGCGUGCUGAAAUACCAAAUUAUGACAUGUAGUUUUACAAUCUAAUUAAUGUACAGAUUUAAUUUCUAUAUAUAAUUUAGAUUUGGUGCGCCCAUAAUUUGUUCUGAAAGUCUCUUUGCGCUAAUUUAUUGCCUACUUCACAUUUUUGCAUAUAUAUACCAUAAGAGAUUAUUAUAAUUAAAUUUAUCUCAACAUGAUUUAUGCACUCUUAUAUUGUCUUCAUUAUGCAAAAUGUAUUCCAUAUAGAAAAGUUUAUGUUCAACUUCUUUAUGAAAUCAAAAUAUAUCUCAAAGUUCAGCUAUAAGUUACAAGUACGUAACAUUAAAUAAUUGGCAAACAUUUUUAAAAAAAGAAAGAAAAAAAAGUUGUAUACUUACUCGUAGUUAGGUAACUUCCAAUAACUCUUAUCAUUUCCCCAAACAAUAUUAAGAGAUUUCGGAUAAACUAUAUAACCCUGCAAGCAACAAAAAUAACACUAUAUUAAAUAAAUAACAUAAACAUGAUGGAUCGAGCAUAAAGGAAAGUAAUAAUGGGAGAAACAAGAAUUGCAAUAUUGGAAGAAAUUAAUGAAUGAAAUUUCCUGUACUUUUCUGUUUUAGAGAAUGUUUGAUUGCCUUGGUAAUGAAGAGAUUUAGAAGCCAUUUAAUUUGCUAUAUAAGUUUGAAUUAUUAAAGAAUGUAGAGAUUUGAGUGCCUUAUAAUAAUUUUCGCUACAAAAAUCAGAUAUAUAUAGAGAUAGAAAUGGAAUCAAAUCACACGUAUUAAGAGACAUUUAGCAUAGAAUAUCAACCAAUCAAAUGGAAUAAAAUAUCAUGUCUUAUAUUCUAAUAUAUAUGUUGGCAUGCAUUUUUCUACAAGUUGUUUUAAGGAAACGUUUUACUCCUUAUGGGAUUUGGCUUACCUUACUCAGUGGAGUAGCCUGGAUACGGGUUCGACUGAACUCAAUAGUUUUAUUUAAGUAGUAUAUUUAUGUUUAAAAUAAUCAUCAAAUAUAUGUAUAGUAAAUUUAAAACUCAAUUAUUAUUAAUGAAAGAUCGUCAUUUUAGAAUUCAGAAUCCAUCAAAUUAAAAUUGUGACUCACUCAAAUUUACCAGUUAUUUUAAACGCGGGAAAUGAUAAAACCGACAAAAACAAAGUUAAAAAUAUACUCCUUACUAUAAUGAAUUGUCAAAAUUGAAUGCAUGAAGGUAGAGAUUGAGGCCAAUUGAAUAAUAUAAUAUACCCACAACAAAUUUGGCACUGUAUAUUAUUCUCACACGUUGAAUAUUUACAGUACUAUAUAUAGUUCACAUAUUCUACUUUUACAACUUUUUUUCAUUUAUUUUUUUAAUCAACUAUCACUUGAUUCUAGUCAGCCCAAAUUACCUCGAUUUAAUUGUAGUUAAAUUUGACUUCUCUACUUAAUCUUGGUUUUUAAAAUUCACUUUUUUUGCUUUAAUUAAACUUUGACAUGGAAGAUAUUAAUUAAUAUAAGAUAUUUGGUGAUAAUCAAUUUAUACCUAAACCGAAAAAAAGCAUAAUAAGUGAGGGGCCUAAUUAAGUUGGACAAAACAUGGUCAAAAUUCCUAUUAUUAAAUUAACCAGUAUACAUUCCCGCGCGUUGCACGGAUAAUAUAAAAAAUUAUUAUAUAUAUAUGAAAUGAAAGAACAAAUCACAUGAUCAUUUAAUAACUUGUACAAUAUACUUUGCGUUUGUUCGUUACUACAUUAUUAUUAACUACUUAAAAUCAUAACAUUAUCGACUAAAUUUUGAUUAACUUAUCACUUACUUUAAUAUUCUUUUUCGUUAAUCUUCUAUUUAUAUAAUACAAAUAAAUAUAUAUAUUUUCAUUAUAAAAUAUUAUUUAAUUUUAAUAAUAUUUUAAAUAUUAUAAGUUUAUUGUUAUUAUUGACACUCUUUAUUGUUUUUUUUUUUUUACUUGAAUUCAAGUAAAAACAUUUGCAAAUUAUUUGUAUUCUUUUGAACAUUUUUUGCACUAAGAUAUUUUAUAAGUUUUAUAUUUUUGUAUGUUAACGUAUUAAUAUCUUACUUAAUACUAAAUUAUGAUUUUAAAUUUGUCCCAAAGUACGAAUAGAGAUGUUUUUAAUAUUAUCAAAAUUGCAAGUGGUAUUUUCUCAUGGAUAAUGCUAAAGAAGUUAAAUUUUUUGAUGAAGGCAUUAGAUUAUUCCGAUCAUUGUAUUACUUAACAACACUAAUGACAUUCCUUCAAAUAUAAAUACUACCUUAUACAAUAAGAAAAGUAUAUAAUAUUUGAAGCUUUAAGUAAUAUAAAAAUUGAAUUAUUCUUUGUUAUGAUAUUUUAUUUUUAGAGAAAACGAAAAAGUAAGCGAAACUUGAUUUAUAUACGAAAGUUAUUUGUCUGCACAAUCAAGUGAAACUUAACUUAUAUACGAAAGUUAUUUGUCUGCACAAUAAUCACGUCAAAGUUGAUGUGUGACUUUAACACCUACAUAUCAAGAUCAUAAAACAUUAUAAUACAGCCAUGCAAACGAUUUAUACAAAGACAUAUUCACACACACCAUAUAUUUAAUUAGUAUCAUUUGAAUAUCACAUGCAUUUGAAUGAACUAUAUAUAUAUUGCCAGUAAGCUAGAGUUCAAGGAUCAUGCCCCAUUAAAUAUAGUAUUCAAUUAUAAGCAAACAGAAAAAAGAAAAAAGAAAAAAAAAAGAUAUGAAUUCAAUAUAACAAUAGAUAGUAUUUUGUGCUAGGAGUCAUCCUAGUAAAUUUGUCAAGUCAAUAUUUAAUACUCUUUCUAUUGCCAAAAUAAAUUAAAGUUAUCCAACAAUUACCAUCGCUAUAAUAUAUAAUGGAAAUUAAGAAUGUUUUGUUAAAUUUUUUAUUUCUUAUACAUUAAAAAAAUACACAUGUAGACUUGUAGUUGUUUAGUCUUCACCUUCAUAAAUUUUAAUAAAUUAACAAAUGUGACAUUUUUUCCAUAUCCAGUAUUACUCUUUAUUCUCUUUUUUAUUUGUACUAAGUUUGAAAUUACGCACAAAAAUUAAAGAAAUAAAUUAAUAAAGUGAACAAACUAUCUAAAUUUCAAAUAUAUGAAAUAUAAAUACAUACAUUGUCAUUAAUUCAAGUAGAUUUGGAGUUGCUCUUUUACUUCAAGAAUCCCCCAAACACGAAAAUCUCACUUUUUGUAUUCAACGGCAUAAGCAGAAAAGAUAUAGAAUUUAACACUUGAAUUCAAAAAUUGGAUCAAACGCAUUAUAUUAGAAUAUCUUAAGUUAAGAAAUAUCUAACUAUCAUCAUAUUUUUCAAUGCAUUAAAUAAUAUAUAUAUAUAUUCACUUUAAACUAUGAAUUAAUUAUGCGUCAGUAUGACUUACCAAAUAAAUUGAUGAAAAUAUAAUCAAUUACUAAAAUUUUGAGUGAUAUAUUCAAAUAUUUAUUGCAUUAAAAGAUCAUCAAAAAAGUAGCAAAAUAUUGCAAAAGAAAUAGAUUACCAAAAUUUUAGGAGAUACAAUUAGUUAUUAAUUUAUAUUACAAUAAAAGAUAGUCAAAAUCUGCAAAAGAAAUUUUAAACACUGCUUUAUAUAUAGCAUUGAUGCAAAAUUGGAGAAAUUUUUUCAGAAGUAUUAGAUUUGAUUAUGUUACUACUGAAAUAACAAUACAGUCACUCAUAUUUAUCUGUAUUAGAUAGAAAAUACAUGUGAUGCUUGGACAGAGAUUGAACAAAAUUAAUAAAUUACAUAAAGUUAUGUAUGAACAAUCAAGGCUCAAGAUAUUUCCUCACUAUCAAUAUUGAGAUUUGAAAACAUACAGUAAGUAAAGAGAAAAGAAGAGACAGAUAACGUAGUGGAUAGAAUUAAGGGUAAAUUUGAGAAGUUAUAACUGCUUUAAAUUUUAAAAUAUUUUAAAAUAGUUUAUCAAUUGUAGAAAAAUAUUAAAUCUUUUUUUAAGAUGCCGACAUUUGUCAUUAUGUGUGUAUGUUGAUGACAUGUGUCUAUUUUUAUUUUAAAUUUUGAAUUUGUAAUAUUUAAUUAGUAAUAUAAUAUUUAAUUAUUUAUAAUUUAAAAUUCUGAAAAUUUAUGAUAAUGACAUGUGGCGUUUUUUCUUCUCCUAUUAUAUAUAGAUAGAUUAGUUGGAUUCAUGAUAAUGUUUUAAAUGACGAAAGAAGUGAUUGUGUAUUUCCUUUAAUAUUUGCUUAUUGGCAUAUAUUUAUUCCAAAGCAAGUGUGAUUGUUCAAUGAAUACAACAACAGUAGAGUAGGUCUAGUUUUAUCUUAAUUUCAUUAUGUGAAAUCAGUAUUUGAAAAUCAUAAAUAUUUGAAUUUUAAAGCAGUAAGAACUUCAGUUGAUUUAAUUAAAUUAAAUUCUUGUAAAGAAUGAUGGUCAAACCAAGUAUAUAUCAAUUGAAAUAAGUUUAAAUGUUGGGAAAACAUAAUGAAUUGUAUACUACAUGGUAUAGGAAUUGGCCAAAAAGUAAAGUAAAUAAACAAAGUAAUCCGAUCAAAUUUAUUUGAGGAUAAUGAAAUGAGGCAUGAGCGUAAUUGAAAAUUGAAAUAUACAAGAUUAAUUUGCAUGACAACGUUUCAUAUUUUAGUAUCAUCACUCAUCUCAUAUUUUGUGUUAUUUUUUUAAGAAAUAACUUAGAUAGUUGUAUUUUGGUUGGACUUAUAAAGAAAUAUUUGGAGAACAAAUUAUUUAUAUGUUGUAUGAAUACUUUACCGAAAAAAUCCAAAAACCUGAAAAAACCCGAGGUUUAUUAGUUUGGUUUGAUUUAAAAAUUAAAAAAUUCGACACAAAUAAUUUGGUUUGGUAUUUGAAAAACCCGAACCAACUCGAGGUUGUAAAACUCGAAAAAAAAACCCCAGUUUUAUUAGUUUGAUUUGGUUUAUAAAUUUAAAAACUUUACACAAAUGGUUUGGUUUGAUAUUUGAAAAACGCGAACCAACCCGACCCUGCUAAUAAUAAACAAGUUGUGGCAAAUCAGAACAAUUCUAUAUAUUUCCAAACGAAAAGGAAGUUGUUGGGAAGGCUACAGGGAAUUCAAUCCUCUCCAAACUACCCUGGUAGCAACUUCUCCUAGACCUAGAAAAUAGACUUAUAAUCGAAUACAAUGAAAUCUUAAAAAGAGAGGAAGAAUAUUGGAAGCUCAGGUCCCGAAUAAAUUGGUUAGCAUAAGGUGAUGCUAAUACUAAGUUCUUCCACUCUACCACCCUAAAUCGUCGUAGAAGAAAUAAAAUCUUGUCCUUACAAAUAGACGACGGCAGUUGGUUAAGCAAUCAAAAUGACAUCCUAGAGUUCACCACCUCUUACUUUGCCAACUUGUUUAACUCUAACCACAACCAGUCCCCUAGAUGCUUCGUAACUCAAGAUCAUUCCUUAUCCAGAGAAGACCUUACCUCUAUGGGUGACACCUUAAGUGAAGGAGAAAUUGCACUUGCAGUCUUCUCCUUCAAGCCGCAUAAGGCGCCUGGGCCAGACGGUGUCCAUCCUUUCUUCUACCAAAAAUACUGGAAAACAGUAGGACAUUCAGUAAUAGAAUUCUGUAAAAAAAACUUGGGCAGAUGAAUGCAUCAACCCAGAAAUUAACAGCACAAAUGUGUGUCUUAUACCUAAAGAGAAAAAUGCUUCGAACCUAAAAGAUUUUAGACCCAUUAGCCUUUGUAAUACCACCUACAAGAUAAUUACUAAAAUCAUAGUAAACAGAAUUAAACCUAUUCUUAACAAAAUUAUUGGCCCCUGCCAGGCAAGUUUCUUUAAGAACAUGCAGGCUACCGAUAACGUUAUUAUUGUACAGGAGAUUCUAAACCACUUUAAAAAAAUGAAGGGUCAGUACGGAAAUAUGAUAUUAAAGAUAGACCUAGAGAAGGCCUUUGACAAGUUAGAAUGGUCUUUUGUGAAAUAUACCCUGCAUUUUUUCAAUUUUCCCCUAAAGAUCAUAAACCUCAUAAUGUCUUGCAUCUCUUCUAGUAAGAUUGCUAUCUUAAUUAACGGUACUACAACAAAAUAUAUUACACCCAACAGAGGAAUUAGGCAAGGGGACCCUAUGUCCCCUUACCUAUUCAUUAUGUGUAUGGAGGUACUUGCAAGAAAAUUAAUAGCCAAGUACUCCAGAAAGUGUGGAAACCCGUACGAAUCGCAGGAAAGGGACCUAAACUAUCCCAUCUAUUCUUUGCAGACGAUUUAGUACUUAUAGGAAAAGCGGAACUUGAAACUUGCUUAGCAAUAAAAAAAUACAUUGCAAGAUUUCUGCUGUAUGAGUGGACAGAGUGUAAACCAUGCUAAAUCAAAAAUUCUAUUCUCUAAUAAUUGUAGUAACUCACUCAAUCAAUCCCUAUCGGUAGCUAUAGGAAUCCAAGAAAGUAGUAACUUUGGGAAGUACCUUGGGUUCCCUAUUUUUCACCAAAAGCCCACAACUAGGGAUUUCCAAUUCAUUAUAGAUAAUAUGCAGUCAAAGUUAGCUAGUUGGAAAACGAAAUUCUUGAACAUAGCGGGUAGAACCACGCUAGCAAAAUUGUCCCUUAAUAGCAUCCCAACGUAUAUAAUGCAAUUAACUAAGCUGCCUGCUUGUAUCACGAAAAGGGUGGAUCAAAUCCAGCGUAAUUUUAUCUGGGGGUCCACGGAUAUUAAAAAAAAAGCUUCACCCUAUUAAUUGGAACUUAGUUACGACAAGCAAAAAAGAUGGUGGUCUAGGAAUCCAAAGAUGUAGCAUAAAAAAUAGAGUCAUGUUAGCAAGACUAGCCUGGAGGGUAUUUAAAAACCCAAAUGCCCUAUGGGCAAAAACGCUCCUAGACAUUUAUACAAAAUCAAAUGGUCUAAGGAAUAACUCAAAUCAUAAAAAACAAAAAAGUUCCUACUGGAAAAACAUAAUAAACGGAUGGGAAGAGUGCAAAGAAUGCAUUCACUGGCUAGUUAGGGACGGAAAACAAAUAAAUUUUUGGACGGACCAUAACUCCACGACGCUAAGAAACAUGCUUAGUGGGCCCCUUCCUAUGGAAGAUACGGAGAGGUUAGUUAAUUCAGUCAUUAUAAAGGGGCAGUGGAAGCUUGAGAAUAUUCCUUACCCUUUACUACAAAGUGUCAUUUAUCAAAUUAACAUCCCCCAUAUUCCAAAUCCAAAAGAUAAGCCUUAUUGGGCACUUACAGCUAAUGGGUCAUUCACCACAUCCUCAGUGUAUCAUCAUAUUAAGGGAAAAUUAAUCAAAACAUAAAGUUUCUUCCAAUAAGGAAUUUAACGGGAUCUGGAAACUCCAGUGCCCGAACAAAAUUAAAUUCUUCCUCUGGCUUAGCAAUCAUAGGUGUAACGACCCUAAAAACGAACUAGUGAAACUAGAGCCUCACAUGUGAGUUUGGAGUUGAGAACUUGAUGAAAUGAUGAGAAAUGACCAUGACGUUCGGAAACUAGUCAUUUGAACUAGUGAGUUGUAAGGGUCAACUUUAAAUGGUCAUAUCUUUUAGCUCAAAAUGAAUUAUGUGGACCUUUACCUAUCCAAUUAAAGGUCUCUGAGUCCUCUUUCCAACGCCAUUGAGUUUGCCCAAUUCCGACCUUGGAGUAAAACGUUAUGCCUGAAAUAGUGAAGCACUGUCCAAAGGACGAGUUUAGACGGGAAUGGGCACAAUUUUUAAGUCAAGACUUUAUGGGUCCUUAGUCCUUUUCCAAAAUUGACCCUAUGCUAUUCUUUUCCUUUCCUAGCAACUAUAAGACCUUUUUAUGACCCAAUUCCUUUCAUUUAAGUCACUCCUCUUAGAAUUUCCAAAAAAAAAUGAAGCUAUAUGUGAAGGUAUGAUGUGAAUGAGUUUUAUGUGAAGCUAUAUGUGAAGGAAUGAUGUGAAUGAGUUUUAUGUGAAGCUAUAUGUGAAGGAAUGAUGUGAAUGAGUUUUAUGUGAAGCUAUAUGUGAAGGAAUGAUGUGAAUGAGUUUUAUGUGAAGCUAUAUGUGAAGGAAUGAUGUGAAUGAGUUUUAUGUGAAGCUAUAUGUGAAGGAAUGAUGUGAAUGAGUUUUAUGUGAAGCUAUAUGUGAAGGAAUGAUGUGAAUGAGUUUUAUGUGAAGCUAUAUGUGAAGGAAUGAUGUGAAUGAGUUUUAUGUGAAGCUAUAUGUGAAGGAAUGAUGUGAAUGAGUUUUAUGUGAAGCUAUAUGUGAAGGAAUGAUGUGAAUGAGUUUUAUGUGAAGCUAUAUGUGAAGGAAUGAUGUGAAUGAGUUUUAUGUGAAGCUAUAUGUGAAGGAAUGAUGUGAAUGAGUUUUAUGUGAAGCUAUAUGUGAAGGAAUGAUGUGAAUGAGUUUUAUGUGAAGCUAUAUGUGAAGGAAUGAUGUGAAUGAGUUUUAUGUGAAGCUAUAUGUGAAGGAAUGAUGUGAAUGAGUUUUAUGUGAAGCUAUAUGUGAAGGAAUGGUGUGAAUGAGUUUUAUGUGAUCUUGUGAUGAUCCUAUGUAAAGUGGAUAGCAUUGUGAGUUAAAGUAUGAUUUCUCAUGAUGUAUAUAUGAAAUGAUGUUGGAUUAUGAAGUAUCCUUAAAUGAAAAUGUUGUGACUUGGUUGGUAGACUAAAGUGUCCCUCCUUGUUACUUAAAGUCUUGAAUGCAUGAAUGUGUGAAAUGGGCAAAACUAAGAAAUGGUGCCCUUUCAUAAGUCUAGCUUUCCUAAGUAAAUGUAAAACCAUGAAAUCGGUAGACCUAAUGGUGGUAGCCCUUCUCAUGUGUGAAAUGAUGAACCUUGGAUCGGUAGGCCUAAGGCACCCUUCUAGGGGGAUUUAAUGAGCUAUCCUUAUGAACCUUGAUUGGCCAUGACUAAGAAAUGGGGCCUUUCUUGGGAAGAGGUACUAUGAGUUGGUUGAACUAGAAAAGGAACCUUCUCUAAGUACAUAUGUGAUUGAAUACUCUAUGGGAAACAAGGCUAGCACCGAGUGGAUGUGGUUAGGAAGGUGGCCUAGUUGAGUAUGAGAUUAGGCACAAUGAACUUCCUUGGACAUCCCUUAACCAUGUGCCUACAUGGGUUGCUUACUAGUUCUACCUUUGGCAAGUAGAACAACCUCCACGGAGUAGGAUAGACUCCGGAUUCCAUACCUAGCUAGUAUGGUCUAUGUCGGUUAUGCCUAUUCCCAUCAUGUGGGAUGUGCACUCUAGUUAUUGGAUAGGUUCUACAACGUGUAGGUAGUAGUAUGGGAUGCUAUCUACACAUGGCACGAGUAGGCUUUGAAGAUACUAAAGUGAGUUCCCUAAGUCUAACGACUAUUAUGUGAAAGUCCCCUUAUGUGCUUGAAUGUCUCCAAAAUGGUUUCUUAAAGAAUGUUGGUCUAUUGAUGUUAUGUUGUAAAGGAAAUGUCCUUAUCUAAGGUAAUCUUGGGGAACACUUAAGUGUGCUUGAAGAGGUUGUAUGGGCGGUCACUUCUUGUCUUACUCAAGUGUGUCUUAAGGUUUAAUUAGGUAGAGGUCCUAUGGUAAUGAAAUGACAAUGUGUUCUUUUAUAGCUAAGCAUGGGUUGUAUAUGGACUUAUGUUAAGUAUGUGUGUGCUUGGCUAUGGUCUUAUAUGUUAAUGUUGACUUGUUUUAUGUCUUUUAUACUUGUGAAGUGAAGGUUUUUAUCAAAAUGAUAUGAAGGCAUACAUUCCUUGUAAAUGUCCGUUGUGCAUAUUUUCUUGCAUGGACUCCAUACUUAGUACUUAAUUUUGCUAAUCCCUUUCUUUCCCUUUUUGGACUAAAGUGUAGGGAUUUGGAGAUGGUGACAUGUCAUGGCUACUUGAUAGGUUUCUAAGUGUUGGAGAUGAAGACUUGGUGAGUCCUCAUAGAUUCGAGGACAAUACCCUACAUGUUCCUUUUGAUGUAUUUCUAGUAUUGUUUAAGUUGUGUACGAGAUUAGUCCCAAAUUUUGUACUCUAAAGUAUUAGAUGGUUUUGAGACAUCAUGUAUAAAGUCUAGAAAGUCUUCCGCUUGCUAUUAUUUUGAUUUUUUUUAUGAAAUGUUUUCUUGGUAAAGAAAGUUUUAAAUUCCUUAUAGUUUUAGUGUCUAUGCGAUGAAUGAAUGCUAAGAGGCUUGUAUUAGACCUCUUCGAGGUCGAGUACGCCGGUUACGAAUAGGGGGUGCUCCCGGGUCGUGACAAUAGGAGACUACCGACAAGCCAGCAUCUACACUCUAUUGGGAUCAACAUCAGUCCAAUUUGUCCUAUAUGUGGAGAUGUAGAAACCGAUACACAUAUCUUUGUAGAAUGCCCCAAAGCAUUAAAACUUUGGGAAAAAUUAGGCCUAGUCGAUCAGUUAAAACCUAUCCUAGAUAAGAGAGAAACAGACUAGCUUUUUACAAUUAGGAAAAUCAAGAAUUUUAACAUACAUUGACUCGAAUUACGCUUUUCCUUACUAUGUAUGGAGCAUAUGGUUGAACAGGAACCAUAAUUUCCAUAAUGAAAAGAAAGACGACAUCUUAACUUCCAUACCGCUAGACAGAGCAUUAGAGUUCUUCUACCUAGGUUUAAAGGAAAACGUUGGAAAUAAGACUAGAACUAAUCUAAAGUGGGUGGUGCCCGAAACGGGCUUUAAACUAAACACGGAUGGUUCUUUUAAUUAUCUCACGAGGAAGGGGGGAGCGGGAGGAGUUUUACGGGAUACUAGGGGUUCUUGGAUAACAGGGUUCUCAACAAAGACAAACGUUAUGAAUGCGCUCCACACUGAAAUAUUAGCUCUCCUAAUGGGAUUAAGAAUGGCAGAUAGACACAAGUUAACACCACUUCAAAUAGAAACAGACUCAUCAGACAUCCUUGUGCUGAUUUACGAAGGAAACGAUUCUUUUUCUAACAUAAUCCUUGAAUGCAGGGCAUUGCUCCAGAGGCAGGGGAACCCACAGAUCACCCUUAGACGCAGGGAGCAGAACCAGGUGGCGGAUAGAUUAGCUAAAGAAGCGGUUAAGCUAAAGGAAAACAUAGAUUUUGUGGAAUGGUCAGCCCCACCCAUGUUCAUCAUGAAGAAUAUCGAUGCGGACAAGGAGGGAGUAACCUUUAUUAGGCCUGACAUGCCACCUUCAUCACCGAAUAGUGUAACUCUAGUUGAUAAUGUAGUAGGUAUUCCUGUAUUUUGUAACAUGGAGCGGACAUCUACUUCUUUGUUCAGCACGAAUACUAUAGAUGCUGGAAAGAAGGGAGCAAAUUUUCAGACCUUUGACAUGCCUCCUCCAUCUUCGGAUAGUAUAGCCUUAGUAGCUAAUUUACCUAGUAUUCAAGCUGAUUGUAAUGCUUCUAGCCACCUGAAUUGUAUGGAUGCAUCAUAUCAUAUUAUACUAAAAGUGGAAAGUCACAAACUUAAAAGUUGAAAUACCAUUUUAUCCUUAUCCUAAUUUAAAAUAUCUAAUUAAAUAAUAAUAUUCUAAUUACCUAAAGAUUGAAAUAUUUAAUUAAAUAAUGAUAUUAAAAUCACAUAAAUGGUGAGUGAAUGAAAGUUCAGUAGUGUUUUUUUGUGUGUUUAAUUUUUUAGAAGUUCAACAGUCUCAUUUAAUGCUGCAUAUUCAGUUUUCCCUCAAUAUGCCCACAUAAUUUAUUUACUACAAUCUUAACCAAGCAUCCUUAUUAAUCUUUUUCCUCAAUUUUUGUUUUUUUUUUUCCUUUUUGAUGUAAAAUUUCUGCCCUUUAAUUUCUAAUUUCCAAAUAAUAUUAUUUUUUACUAUUCAUGUUAAACGUAAUACCUCUAUAGCUAAAAGUUGUCUGUUCAAUUCAUAUAACUGCAUCUUUAAAGGUAAUGUACAUUGUACUGACUUUUUCUUUUCCCAACCAUUAAUUUUUCCUCACAAUUUAAUAUAUUCUUAAUUGCUCUCUAUAAAGGUCCGCAAUAAGUUGUUUUCUUUUUAUUGUUCUAUUUGUCUUCUUCUCAUAUACAUUUUUUCCAGGUAUGAUCACAACUAUUAUUUCACUGUUAAUAUGUCAUUGCUUUUGUUUUGUUACUUUCGUUUCCUCUUGAAUUUCAUUGGAUGUCACUUAAUUUAUCGACAUGUUUUGUUUUUGAUUUCUUUCCACCUUUACCCUUUUGUUUGAGCAAUUCUCUAAUUGAGGCUUUCGACUUGGAAAAUGUUUGUUGUUGAGAUACUUUCAUACAUAUAUUUGUCAAAAUAUAAUCCCUAUCAAUUAUAUAGAUUUUGUUCGAUUAGAAAUUACAUUUAUCAUUGGUUAACUCAUUGUCUCUUUAUGUGUAAUUAUUAAUACUUUUACAGGUUUCUUGCUUAUUACUUCCACAUAAUUGGCAUGGUAACACUUUCUCACUUUGUAUUUACUUUUCAAAAACUAAUUUGGUAUUUAUAUUAUUGUUGGAUGAAGUAUACCAACUGCUUGAUUAGUAUCUCUCUAUCUUCAGAAACUCAAAGUAAUCAAAAUAAAAAAUUUAACUUUGAACAAAUAUAUUUAUAGAUUACUAAAACUUACUAAUUAUUUCUAGCGUUAUAUCCACAGCCUAAUCUUAUCCCACAACUUUUAAUUUUCUUCGGGCUAUCUGCUUCUUUUAUUUUCAGUUAAAUUUGUUCAUAUCCUUUAUUUAGAUGCAAUAAAAUUUUACAAUACUCCAAGUUUUAAAUGUAUCAUAUUAAUAUUCUUAUGUCGAUAGUUAUUAAGGAUCUCUAUAACCAGUAGUUAUUACUUUCUUCCCCAGGUGUACAUCAUAAAAUUGACAGUGAUCCCAUGCAUCCAAAUAAAGAUAUAUGUUAAUUGAAUUUCCGUACAACUUUAACAUAUGACUGUAAUAUGGUGGAGGUUACAAUUUUGUAAAGACAAGACACAAGCAUUAAGGCAUGAAGUAUUUGUAAUCAUAAGUGAUGUUGCUCAUAUUCAUAUUUGAACUAUGUAUUGUUGAACUAUCACAUAAAUUAAAUAAUUUGAUAAAUUAAGAAAACCUCAUAAGAAAACGUCAUAUAAUUUGUGGAUUGUGUACAACUACCGACUAUAGUAAUAGUGGCCGAAGUAAAAGAAUAACACUAAAGAAACUUUUUCUUUUUUUGUUUUGAAAAUAAACACCUCUUAAAGUGAAUAAAUCACUUUUUAUAUGGUAAUUUAUUUAUUGAAUUUGUACUUACCCAAAUUAAAGCCUCAUCUUUAUAAGUUUGUGUAUAAGAAUGCUAUUAUGUUGUUAUCAGAUGAUGUAAAGUUUGUUUUUUCAUGCUACACUAGCUAUGCCAAAAGGCACAUGGAUAGCUAUAGAUAAUAAGAAUUUAUUUUAAUUUGAAUGAGACUAUAACAAAUUUAAUAUCACGAUACAUAUGUAUCAUCUAAAGUCUUGAGAACAAAUACUUACUCUAUUUAUGUUAAAUUAAUAUCUAAUAUAAUGUUAAUAUACAUUAUUUAAGAUUUUUAUUUGUACGUUGUUGUGCCGGAGAGAUUCUUAGAAAGAGUUUGAGUCAAUUUUUUUAACUUUAAUAAUUAGUUUUAAAAUAUAAUUGUUCUACUCAUUCAUCUCAAGUUCAACUAUGAUAUUGUUUUGACAUAUAUGAACACCAAUUAUCAAUUUGAGUUUUUUCCUCUUUUAAUUUAAUUUUGAAUCUCACACUAAUAUUUUAAUAGUAUUUAUUAAUUGUUAGGAAUACACGUGCAACGCACGUGUCCAGGACUAGUAUUAUAUAUAAAUAAAUUAACUCCUUCUCAACCAAAAAAAAAAAAAGAACAAUUCUAUAUAAAUCAGUCAUCGUAACUACAUUAAACAUAAUUCCACGAUACUACUCUAACCGUCCCAUAUUGUGUGAAAAUGUAAUACUAUGUUGUGAACCAAACUAUUUUUUCUUUAAUUAUAAUUUUUUCCAAACUUCAUUUUAAUGUUUUGAAUCAUUCACUGUAUUAGCUUGUAAUGAUUUUCGUAUAUAUAUAGUAUAUCCAGCUAUCAUAAAGUUAUGAAUUUCAUGAACCUUUUCUGUUUUAGAGAAUGUGUAAUUGCCUUGAUAGUGAAGAGAUUUUGAAGCCAUUUUUUGCUAUAUAAGAAUUUUUUUUUACAAAGAAUAUGUAGAAAGGACAGUUUCAACAUGUCAGCUUUCUGGUAUUAAAUUAAACUUUAAGGGUAUUAAAAUCUUUUAAAAAAAUUUGUUGCUUAAAAAAUUAGUUCUAUAUUUUGCAUUGUUAUUUGAUCCUAAGUAAAAACUCUUAAAAAGGUCCUCCUUUUUCUAUUCAACUACAAACUAUACCCAUUCAAGAAUAUGAUCGGUCCCACUUUCUUAAUAUGUCAUCGAAGAAUAUGACAGGUCCCACUUUCAUCUCUUUUUUUUUACUUAUUCAUUAUUCAAAAAUAAAUUUCAUUUUGAUUGUCAUUUUUCAUAUUAAUAAUUUUUUUAAAUCACAUUUUAUCUAUCGUAUUAAUUAAAUAUUAAACAUUAAUUAAUAGAAAUAGUGUAAUAAAAUAACUAUAUCAAUUAUUUUUUUAAUAAAUAGGUGAAAUUUAAAUAUGACAAGUAAAAAUGAACGGAUAUACUAUAUAAUAAGAAGAGAUUGAAGAAAGGAUAAAUAAUGACAGAAUUAAGGAAAAUGUUAUCAUCUUAUUGACUGAGAUUUUUAUGGGAAAUUAAUUCACAUGCUCUAAUUAUAAUUAAUAAAGUAAAUAAAUGGAAUCAUUUAGUUUACUCUUAUAUUAAAUAUAAAAAAAAAAUUGUUUUACUUUUUUAUUUUAAUAAAUUAAGAAAUUAAUUAUUUUUGCCUGACUUUAUCAUUAUCGUUAAGUAAUUAUAUAAAAUACUAAUAGUCAAGUUAAAAUUUUCAAAAUAUAAUUAAUAAAAUAAAUAAGGCAUCUUCCCCUAUGCUUAAUAUAUAUACUCUCUUAUUAUAUAAGAGAGAGUUCACACUGAAGCAAGCACGUCUCUGUCAACGUGCCCUGCUUCAGCAUGUUUCGAAAAAAAAAUUAAAAAAUGAUUUCUUUUGUUCUAUUAUAAUUUAACUAGUGUAUAAUAUUUUUGAAAUUAUGAGAUCCGUUUUAGCUAUGACUUUUAGUUUUGAAUUCAUAUUAUUUAGUUAUAGCUUUAUUAUUUUUAAUGUCGGUAAUAUUUGUUUAUAUCUUGUAUCUACUUUGAGUAAAAAAUUAACGAUUGAUGACGAAAAAUACUUUAAUUAUGGGGAUCUUAAUGGACCUCUUCACAUUAAAUUUGCACAAACCAAAAGUAAUUAACAAAUUAAGGACCUCUUCACAUUAAAUUUGAGCAAACAAAAAAUAAUUAACAACUUAAAAAAUCUAAAAAUUACAUUAAAAUUUAAUCAACUUUUUAAAUUUUAUCUAUAUAACAUUAAUUAAAAUUAAAAAAUAAUAGAUAUUGGGCCCGUACUAGCACGGGCACCUGUGUCUAAUAUAAAUAGAAAUGGAAUCAAGUUAAGAUCAAUAUCACCAACCAAAUGGAAUAACAUAGUCUUAUAUUCUAAUAUAAGUUGAUAGGCAUUUUUGUAAAGUGUUUUUUUAAGGAAACGUUUAAAUUAUUCCUUCUGGGCUUACUCCGUACAAAUCUGAACUAAUCAGAGUGAUAAAGUGUCAUGGGCAAAGCUAGUAACUCGGAUAUUGAUUUGAUCUAACUCAAUAGUUUUAAUUUGCUCAAUCGUUAUAUUUGGUUGAAAACACUUAUUGGAUAUAUAUACAAUAUUAAAUUUAAAAUUCAGUUAUUAUUAUUUAAAGUCACCUUUUUAAAAUUCAGAACUUAUAAAAUUGAAAUUGAAACUCUACGAAUAAAUCAUACUAAUUAAUUUCGAACGUGAAAAAUGAUCGCACAGACAAAAAAAGUUAAGAAAAUAUACUCCACAUAAUAAUGAGUUGUCAAAAUUGAAUGCAAUGAAGGUAGAGAUUGAUUCCAAAUUGAUAAAAGCUCGAAUAAUUAUAUGUCAACUGCAAAACUGGCUUUAUACUACUCAUAAAUAUUCUCACACGGUAAUUAGAAUAUUACAGUAGUAGUUUAUUAUAAUAAUAUCGUUUUCAUUGCUUAUUUAUUAUUAGUUCACAUAUUCUACUUUAAUUAAAAUAACCUUCUUUGAAUGAAAUAUAUAUCACUUGAUUCUAGUCAGCAUAUAUUUAUUCCAAAGUAAGUGUAAUUGUUCAAUGAAUACUUGUCUUAAUUUUAUUAUGUGCAUGAAAGCUGUAUUUGAAAAUCAUAAAUAUUUAAAUCAUAUUCUUGUAAAGAGUGAUGAUCAAACCAAAUAUCAGUCGAUGAAAUAACUUCGAAAUGUUGGAAAAACAUAAUGAAUUGUACACGAUAUAUGAUAUAGCAAUUGUUUGAUAAGUAAAUCAAAUAGAUACACAAGUAAUCUCGAUUAAAUUAAUUGUAUGAUAAUAAAAUGAAUUUUGGGGUAAUUAAAAUAUAUAGAAGAUCAAUUAUGCUUUGCCCGACAAUGAGUACGUCAUGGUUAUUGUGGGAUGUUGUGAUGAAAAUUAAAUAAUCAGAUCGACUGAAACAAAAUUCACAAGUGAUUAUAUGUUUUUAUUAUUAGUGGAAAAACAGUAUUAUGGAAGUCAUCCAAGUAGAUGUGUAUCCCUCACUUUACAAUGGACUAAUGUACUCAGAGCUUUAGACAAAGUCCAUGAAGAAUCUUAAGAGAUAUGAUGUCAUGAUUCAGACCGUUGUGAGUGACACACACACUAACAAUAACAAUCUAGUGGGAGAACCAUGUACAAACCCAACAUCGUUCAAAAACCAAGUUUAUCAUAUAAAGAGUAAAACAAUUUAACAACCAAAGGAUUGAGUCCUCAUAAACUCAACUAAAUAGUUUUAAAAUGUUUAAUGCGGAAAAACCUCUAAGAACUAAAAGUCAUCAUAACCAAAAUUCUAAAAUAGUCAAACUGGGGAUGCAACCCCCGAAUCAAUCAAUAAACUAAAGACUAGUGUCUAUCUCCGAAAAGAUGGACAAGAAAAGCAGAAGACCCCAUGACAACUCGAAAGACGUAGCUCACCCUUGUAUUCAGGACAUCUCUCAACUGAGGUCUUGGAUUAGCUGGUAGAAGAUGUGAAGUACUCAACAAAGAAAAGAACAAGUACAACAUCACUACACAAACCACAGUGUACUACUAGGAGCACACAAUCAAUCCAAGAUAGGAAUGUAAACAGCUCACCACAAGUAGUAACACAGAACAAUGCACAUGACAACAAUUAUCAACCACAUAAACUCUCAGUCACAUGUCAUGGAACAACAACGCAUAAGUCAACCAAUGCAUGACAACAUGUCCCACAUGAUCACAAUGCAAAUGAUCAGUCCUCUCAUGGAACCACAAUCACUUACCUGGUUCUCUCACAUAACCCAAACCCAAAUUGUUAGUGUAUGACAUGGUAUCCGAUCGAGUCAUCCAUAGUUAGUAUAUUAGCAUGGUACCCGAGUCAACCAGCAAUCACAAACAACAUGCACAAUCACAUAGAACAAUAAACAAUACCACUUGAAAACCACAGGUGACAAUAACAAGUUCGUGGCAUGUUAGGGCUUGGAGAAAAGAGAAAGGAAGAAAGAAAGGGAGAAAAGCCAAGAUUUCGCCAAGAACACUCAAGCCUUGCGAGUGGAAUUCGUCGGGGGUGAUCCCUACAAGGUAUGUGAGAUCACAUAGUGUUGGGUUAGUUCACCCACACGCCAAACUUGUUUCAAUUCAGCAAAUUUGGAGUUGUUUGAAUGUUAAGAAAGUGAAGUUCUUGAAGAACAUUGUUGAAUUCUUGUUGGUUGAUUGUUGAAUGCCUAAUGUUGAUUUGAUUCGUGGUUCCGGGUUGUUUUAGAGUUAAAUAUAUUGGGUAUUGAGAGUAAUAAUGAUCCUAAUUGUUUGGGGAAAGAACUAUGGAAGUUUAGAGAUGAAAAACGGAGAAGAAAAAUCGUCAAAAACCUGGGGAAGGAGGUGGGGCGUCACGCCAGCCAGCGCACCCCAGAAGCUCCUCUGACGUUUGAGGACUGGCGCCCCGCGCCUCACAGAGCACCAGGGACGCCAGUUCUCUCCAUUCUUUCCCCACCUUUUUGUACAUGUUCCUUAGUGAUGUACCUACGUUUUCUAGUUGAUUCCAACACUCUAAGGUACAUCUAAAUAUCAUGAAAUCAUCCAUAAAUAUGAAAUCAUGAACCUUGAAUCCAUAAUCCAAUUCAAGGAAAGUUAAGAUCAAAGUCAAGAGAAGUAAGAGUCAAGUCAAGAUAAGUUCUUAGAGUUUUUCAAGUCUUUUUCAAAUGUUUUAACUUUGUUUUAAGACUUAAAGUUCAAGUUGAGUAAAGAGUAAAGAGUAAAGUUUGAAGUUCAUUUCUUCAAAAGUAUAUGAGGACUAAGUAUUCCCAAAGAGAUUUAAAAUGUUUUCACAUUUAAAUAAGACGGAAACUGAGAUUUCCAAAGAGGCUUCGGGCUAGUUUUCAGAAAAAGUAAUCGCUUUCUAAAAGAAGCAAGAAGGGAAAUUUUGAUUUCCAAGAUAGCCUUUGAGCUAAAUUUUUGAGCACUAAUCUCAAAUCACAGAAGAAGUAUGUUUUUAAAACAUAAGAGCCAGUAUAUUUUGGGAGUAGUAUUGAGCACCGAAUUGGGGACGAGCAUGAGUUUAGAUAACUCAUGUCACCAUAGAACCAUGUAGCCAUCAUGGGUAGAAAAGGGUCAUACUUUUUAGAUGAAUCCUUUUCGCAAUAGACUAGUGGAUCCAUUAGGUCAUUUCAGGUUCUAUACCUUUGGCCGGGUAUAGGAUGUGCUGGCAGCGUGAGGUAGAUCGUUGUAUCAUCACUAUAGCUCUUAUGUGAUGGUUGUCGGUAAGAGAAACUCCCACAGAAGUUAUUGUAUUUUUAUAUAUAUCAGUUUAUUGUAUGUUACAUACAUUUAAGAGUUAUGUUGUAUCCUUGUAUAUACAUAGAGUUGACAUCAUAUUUUUAAACAGUUUUUCUUUAUAUUGCACUUGUUUAAACUGCUUUAUAUUGAAAUGAGUUCAGUUAAGUAUUCAUGAGUUGAAAAAAGCCAAGGUAAGUGUUUCUUUCAGAUUCUCUUUCCAGCCUAUAUUGUUUUAGCAUUCCAACUCGCAUACUUGUACAUUCAAUGUACUGAUGCCAGUUGUCCUGCAUUUUAUUAUGAUGCAGACACAGGUAACUAAGAUCGGUAUUCCAGCGCACCGUUGAUCUAGUGAGCAGUUCAGAGUCAGUCGGUGAGCCUUUUUGCAUUCCAGAGGACUCAUUUUUAUUGCUUUCUAGUUAGUUCAUUAGGAUGUUGUGGGUUGUCCCAACAUCCAUCUCAGUUGUUUUAGAGGCUUCAUAGACAGUCAGAUGUUAGUCCUUUGAGUCUUUUCAUUAUUAGAUAUUAUUGUUAAGACUUCGGUUGCCACUUUUGGCCAAGUUGAAUGUUUAAUCUUUAAAACAUUCUCAGUUAUUUUAUUUCAGUUCAGUUAAGUUCAUUUAUCAUUAUAGAUAUGAAUAUUGUCUUCCGCUGAGUUAAGUAAGCCAGGCCAAGGGUUCGCUUGGGGCCAACAAUGGUCUUCGAGUGCCAGUUCCGCCCAGGGUGUAGGCUCGGAGAGUGACACGCUUACUCAUAACGACCGGGUUAGGUCGUUACAUAUGAUCGUUUUAAAUUGACCCUUGCAUAAUCUCAUGUAAAAAAAUUAUCGGUAGGAAAACUUUGAACUCGACUUGGUGUUGGAGGUUCAUUAUGACCCUAAUUCACAUUUAAUACACUUCCAAUACUUAGAAAUUAGUUUAACACAGAUACAAAAUUAGAAAUCAUCGGAUUCGAAUAUAUACAUAUAUAUAUAUAUAUAUAUUAUAUAUUCAAAAAAUAGUUUGAAUCGUAGCUUAUAAUUUGUGGGUGAAUCUAGUACUAAUUUAUACUUCUUACACUUGGAUAAGUGAAUUUUAAAAUGCCACUAAGCUCAUAUAUAGACCUUAGUAACAUAUAUUCACAUCUUUUGCAUGACUUUUAAAUAACUAUUGAUAUGGGAAGAACUAGAAGCUAGCCGUCGUCGUGAAGACUUUUUGUUUGGAAAGUCAAUAAUUUUUCUUCAAAUAUGAUUUUCUCGUUUUUUUUUUAAAUAUCAAUUUUGUUUUUAAAGUUUUGAAAAUUUUCAUAUCCAAAUUCAUAUUCAAAAUAUAGUAUUUUAACCCUCAUAGAUCCCUACUACUUAUCCAUAAAAUACGACAAAGGGAAAGGGUGUGAAGUCCCGAAGGAGAGAAUAUGAGAGGAAAAUCAAAAUUUCAUUUAUUAUACGAACAAUAUUAAAUACAAAUACAAAUUUAAUUAAAAGAACACAUGACUCUAAAAUACAUGAAUAAGAUUUUUAACUUAAGUUUCUCCUAUAAUAAAUUAUGAUUUAUUAAUGAUAAUAAUCGAUGUAUUUCUAUCUUAUAAUUUUCUUGUAAUACUGUUUUUUCACUCGACUAAAUUAGUUUUUAGGUCUCUAUCAAAUUUACAGAAUGAAUUUUGAGGCCUCCUUUCCACUUUUUGUUCCAAACUUCAUACAAUCCAAAAUAAAUCUUAUCAGUAUUGUUCCCUUUUCCUUUUGUUAUCGUAAUAGUUUUUGAUAUCAUUUUUUUGCCAUUAAUCUCAGUUGUCAAAUUCACCUUUCUCCAUUGAGUGUUAUCUCCCCAUUUAGCCAUAAGAUAAACUGGUGAAUCUCUCCAACCGAACGCAUCAGUCAUCAAUGACAUUGUAAAUCCAAUCUCGUAUGAUAUUUUCUUCGCUAUAUUAAUAUUGUCGAUGCAACCAGUUACUUCCAACCAAUUUACUUGGAUAAGUUCUGCAUCAUCCUUUCUGUAAUUCAAAUAUAUUUAAUAAAAACGUUAGCGUGCUGAAAUACCAAAUUAUGACAUGUAGUUUUACAAUCUAAUUAAUGUACAGAUUUAAUUUCUAUAUAUAAUUUAGAUUUGGUGCGCCUAUAAUUUGUUCUGAAAGUCUCUUUGCGCUAUUUUAUUGCCUACUUCACAUUUUUGCAUAUAUAUACCAUAGGAGAUUAUUAUAAUUAAAUUUAUCUCAACAUGAUUUAUGCACUCUUAUAUUGUCUUUUCAUUAUGCAAAAUGUACUCCAUAUAGAAAAGUUUAUAUUCAACUUCUUUAUGAAAUCAAAAUAUAUCUCAAAGUUCAGCUAUAAGUUACAAGUACGUAACACUAAAUAAUUGGCAAACAUUUUAAAAAAAAGUUGUAUUCUUACUCGUAGUUAGGUAACUUCCAAUAACUCUUAUCACUUCCCCAAACAAUAUUAAGAGAUUUCGGAUAAACUAUAUAACCCUGCAAGCAACAAAAAUAACACUAUAUUAAAUAAAUAACAUAAACAUGAUGGAUCGAGCAUAAAGGAAAGUAAUAAUGGGAGAAACAAGAAUUGCAAUAUUGGAAGAAAUUAAUGAAUGAAAUUUCCUGUACUUUUCUGUUUUAGAGAAUGUUUGAUUGCCUUGGUAAUGAAGAGAUUUAGAAGCCAUUUAAUUUGCUAUAUAAGUUUGAAUUAUUAAAGAAUGUAGAGAUUUGAGUGCCUUAUAAUAAUUUUCGCUACAAAAAUCAGAUAUAUAUAGAGAUAGAAAUGGAAUCAAAUCACACGUAUUAAGAGACAUUUAGCAUAGAAUAUCAACCAAUCAAAUGGAAUAAAAUAUCAUGUCUUAUAUUCUAAUAUAUAUGUUGGCAUGCAUUUUUCUACAAGUUGUUUUAAGGAAACGUUUUACUCCUUAUGGGAUUUGGCUUACCUUACUCAGUGGAGUAGCCUGGAUACGGGUUCGACUGAACUCAAUAGUUUUAUUUAAGUAGUAUAUUUAUGUUUAAAAUAAUCAUCAAAUAUAUGUAUAGUAAAUUUAAAACUCAAUUAUUAUUAAUGAAAGAUCGUCAUUUUAGAAUUCAGAAUCCAUCAAAUUAAAAUUGUGACUCACUCAAAUUUACCAGUUAUUUUAAACGCGGGAAAUGAUAAAACCGACAAAAACAAAGUUAAAAAUAUACUCCUUACUAUAAUGAGUUGUCAAAAUUGAAUGCAUGAAGGUAGAGAUUGAGGCCAAUUGAAUAAUAUAAUAUACCCACAACAAAUUUGGCACUGUAUAUUAUUCUCACACGUUGAAUAUUUACAGUACUAUAUAUAGUUCACAUAUUCUACUUUUACAACUUUUUUUCAUUUAUUUUUUUAAUCAACUAUCACUUGAUUCUAGUCAGCCCAAAUUACCUCGAAAAUCAUAAAUAUUUGAAUUUUAAAGUAGUAAGAAAUCCAGUUGAUUAAAUUAAAUUAAAUUAAAUUCUUGUAAAGAAUGAUGGUCAAACCAAGUAUAUAUCAAUUGAAAUAAGUUUGGGAAAACAUAAUGAAUUGUAUACUACAUGGUAUAGUAAUUGGCCAAAAAGUAAAGUAAAUAAAUAAAGUAAUCCGAUCAAAUUUAUUGGAGGAUAAUGAAAUAAGGCAUGAUGCGUAAUUGAAAAUUGAAAUAUACAAGAUUAUUCUUAAUUUGCAUGACAAUGUUUCUGCGAGGAAUAUAGUGUUGCAAAUUGAAUCACCAGGUCAACUGAAACAAACUUCAUAAGUGAAUGUACGUUUUUAUCAUUGAUGGAAAAGCAAUAUCAUAGAAGAUGUUCAAGCAAACGUGCAUAUAUCACCCACUCUGACUUCAAAAGACUUGGGAACAUUAUGAAUAAUGGAAAAUCUCAUCACAUACGACAAAGAUAUAAUUGUUAGAUAACUAUUUUACUGAAAUUAUCGCAAGUGACUAAAUCACUAUAAUAAGAGAUAUUUUCGUGUCAAUAAUUACCACAAAAUAUUUUAUAUAUAUAAUAUAUAAAGUCAAAAGAUAAUAUGGACACUUAAAAAAAAAAAAAUUAGAGAGAGCAUUUGAAAAAUCAACGAAGAAUAAAAUGAGGUUAUGAUCAAGAAUAAAUUAAUAUGACGAUAAUUCUGAUAUAUCUAAAAGAUUAGAACUAUCAACAUCUAAGUUUAAGAAUUCAAAUAAAGUUAUAAUUGAUUGUUCGAAUAUUAUAACUAUCUUUCCAGGACAAGGUCACGUGUAAUUGAUGUAUUUUCACUUCUUACGAUGAGUUACAUGAAAUUAGUUAAAUUGAACGCAUGUUAUAUAUAUAAUUAUUUUAUUUUAUUUUAAAAGGGAUAAAACUUGAAAGAAAAUAAAAGAACAAACGAAAUUACGUAAUUUUCAACUUUAAGCCAUGAUAGGUGUUUUUCAAUUUAUUAUAUAUACAAGUAUAAAAGAAGCAUAUGACUGGGAAUUACAGUUCAUUCAUGAUGCGAGCAAUACGUACAAAUACAAAACACAAAUUUAUUUAAGAAAACACACUUCUAAAAUACAUGAACAAAAAUAUAUAAGAUCUUUAACUUGAGCUUUUCCUUCUUUUAAAUUUUGAUUUAGGGAAUAACAACGAUCAACGUAUUUUUAUUUUACAACCUUUUUGUAGUAUUGCUAGCUUUUUCACUCAGUAAAUUAGUUUCUAGAUCUCUGUCAAGUUUAUAGAAUGAAUUUUGAGACCUCCUUUCCACUUUUUGUUCCAAACUUCAUACAAUCCAAAAUAAAUCUUAUCAACAUUGUUCCCCUUCCCUUUUGUUAUCAUAAUAGUUUUUGAUAUCAUCUUUUUGCCAUUAAUCUCAGUUGUCAAAUUCACCUUUGUCCAUUGAGUAUUAUCUCCCCAUUUAGCCAUAAGAUAAACGGGUGAAUCGCUCCAACCAAAUGCAUCAGUCAUCAGUGACACUGUAAAUCCAACGUCGUAUGACGUUUUCUUCGCUAUAUUAAUAUUGUCAAUGCAGCCAGUUACCUCCAACCAAUUUACUUGUAUAAGUUCUGCACCAUCUUUUCUGUAAUUCAAAUAUAUUUAUUGACAAUGUCAGCCAAUUUACAAUUGUAAGGUAGUAUAUAUAUAGUAAAUUUCUAUAACUUAGAUUUGGUACACCAAUUAAUUCUUACUCGUAUUUGGGUAACUUCCAAAAGCGUUGAUCAGUUCCCCAAACAAUAUUAAGAGCUUUCGGAUAAAUUAUAUAACCCUGCAAACAACAAAAUAAACGCUUUAAAAAAAAACAUAAACUCGAGCAUAACUAAGUAUAAUGGGAGAAACAAGAAUUGCUAUAUAUAGAUAUUGGAAGAAAUUAAUGCAUGAAAUUUGCUGCACCUUUUCUGUUUUAGAGAAAGUGUGAUUGCCUUGAUAGUGAAGAGAUUUUGAAGCCAUUUAAUAUUUGCUAUAUAAGUUAAAUUAUAAAGAAUGUGGAGAUUUGAGUGCCUUAUAAUAUUUUGGGGUACAAAAAUCAGAUAUAUAUAGAGAUAGAAAAAUUUUCAUGCAUGCAUGCAAUAACCUAAAGAAGGAAAUGGAAUCAAGUCAUGACACGUAAGACCUUACGCAUUAAAGCUAAAGAAUGUCCACAAACGGAUUUUCAAGAAGAUAGAAUAUAUGCACAUGCAUCAUGUCCCUAGGAUGAUUGGACAAGGAAAAAAAUAUACUCCAAAGUCGACAUCUUAACUAUAAUUAGUUGUCAAAAGUUGAAUGCAUGAAGAUAGAGAUUGAUGCCAAAUUGAUAAAUCUCGAAUAAAUACUCUCAUGAUGCGGUAAGAAUAUUAGAGUACUAUAUUAUAUCGUUUUCAUUGCUAAAAUAUUACUCCCUCCGUCCCAUUUUAUAUGUCACCUUUUUACUUUGUACUUGCAUUAAGAAAUGAUGUAACUUUACCCUUCUACCCUUAUUUAAUGUUUUCUUAAGUCAACUUUAUAAUAAAUGAUGAGUACAUUUUUAACAUUAAUUAACUACUCUAUCAAGGGUAUAAUAGGUAAGAUAUGGUAAUUUAUGAUAAUUUUUAUAAAAUAACAAGUAUUGUGGUCUAGUUAUUUAUAGAAAGAGAUACAUAUAAAAUGAGACGGAGGGAGUAGUAAUUAAUUGGUUCAUAUAUUUCACUUUUAAAACUUCUUUUCAUUCCCCUUUUUAUCAACUGUCACAAAGUUUUAAAGGAAGGGCCUAAGUUUGACCAAAAAGGGUCAAAAUUCCUCCUAUUAAAUUAGUUGCAUUAAAGUAAUGUUUAAAUAACGCAAAAAAUGAAUGUGGAUUUCCUUUUAUAUUCCAAAGCAAAGCAAGUAUAUAUGAUUGUUCAAUGAAUACAAGAACAGUGGAGUAGUCUAGCUAGUUUUGUCUCAAUUUCAUUAUGUCAAUGCAAUAUUUAAAAAUAUAAAAUAUUUGAAUUUUAAAGUCGCAAGAAUUUUAAUUAAUUCAUAUUAUAUAUUUUUGUAAAUAUUAAUGGUCAAAUUAAGUCUCAAUUUUUGUAUAUAUAAUAUUACUUGACCAAUAAGUAAAUUAAGUCGAUAAACAAAUAGUUUUGACUAAAUUCACUAGAUGACAAUGAAAUGGAUUUUAGGGUAUUUAAAACAUCUAAGACGAUUAUGGUUUGCAUAACAAUGAGUAUUUCGUAGUUAUUAAGGGGUGUAGUGAUGCAAAUUGAACCACUAAAUCAAGUGUCUAGUGUGUAAUUUGUUCUGCCAUAUAUAUUUGAAUUCACUAAAAUUCUGAAAUUAACGAGGGGUAAAUUACUUAGAGGACACACAAGAAAAUUAUAAUCCUUUAAUUAUAUAUUUUUUUCUUCAAUUUUUUCUUAAAUAUUUUAAAUUAUUGAUUACGUCAAUUGACAAUAUUUUUGGUAUAAUUUUCAUAAUUAACAAUAUUGUAUUCAUAAUUAAUAUCAUUGUAUUCAAAGUUGCUAAAGUCUUUAACAACAUUAAGUAUUGGUUAUAAAUACACAUAUUAUAUUAUUGCUACUAAUAAUAUAAAGAAAAUUAUACUAUUAGCGUAAAAUUAUUUAUUUGUUGCGAUGAGUAUUUUAAACUUUUUCCAGUGAAACUAGUUAAAUAGAAUAUAUGUAAUAUAGUUAUUAGGAGGGGGGAAAAGAGGAAAAACUUGAAACAAAUAAAAGAACAAACGUAAAUCAACUUAAUUAAAGUUAUAAUUGAGUUCAACAUACGAGUUUCAUUCAUGAUUGGACAAUAAUUGACUAAUUAUUUUUGUCUUACAAUUUUCUUGUAGUACAGCUAAAUCAAUAUCUAGCUAAAUCUCUGUCAAGUUUACAGAAUGAAUUUUGAGACCUCCUUUCCACUUUUUGUUCCAAACUUCAUACAACCCAAAAUAAAUCUUAUCGAUAUUGUUUCCCUUUUCCUUUUGUUAUCGUAAUAGUUUCUACAACUUAGAUUUUGUACACCAAUUAAUUCGUACUCGUAUUUGGGUAACUUCCAAAAGCGUCUAUCGUUUUCCCAAACAAUAUUAAGAGCUUUUGGAUAAACUAUAUAACCCUGCAAGCAAUGAAAAUAACACUAUCAAAUUUUUUAAAAAGAGAAACAUAAAGUCGAACAUAAGUAUAAUGCCAGAAGGAAAGUAAUACGUAAAAGGCCAAAAGGAAUAAUGUCACAUGAUAGAUGACCUAAGGCCAUAGCUAAGACCUAAGUUAUCGUUAAACAAAAAUGCAUGUCUGAAACUUUAAUCAUGUUGCGUAUCUGGUAAAUAGCACUGUCCAAAUAAGAUAUUUCGUGAAAAUUUUAUAUUUUUUUAAGGAAAUAUUUUAGUUGUUCAUUAUUGGAUUACUCAAUGCAAAUAUGAACUAAUUAGAGUCUAUGGGCGGAGCUAGUAGCCAGUUGGAUACGAGUUCAACCGAAAUCAAUAGCUUUUACUCUAAAUUUCAAAUAAUAUGUACUAAAAAAAACUCAUUAAUCAAAUAGCUUUUACUCAUUAAUAUACUAUAAUUAAUCAAAAAUUGAAUGCGUAAAACUAGAAUCGUCCUUUGUUUUUGUAAUUGAUUCUAGUUACCUCGAGUUAGGGGUGUCAUGGCCGGAUUGGUUCGGGUUUUUCAAAUAUCAAAUCAAAUCAUUUGUGUCGAAUUUUUAAAUUUAUAAACCAAACCAAACCAAUAAAACUCGGGUUUUUCAACCUCGGAUUUUUUUGGGGGUUUUCGGUUUUUCGGUUUUUGGGGUUUUUUCGAUAAAGUAUUCAUACAAACAUAUAAUUUACUUGUACUUCAAAUAUUUCUUUACUCCUACCAAAAUACAACUAUCUAAGGCGUUUCUUAAAAAGAAACACAAAAUAUGAUAUGAUUAAUGACACUAAAAUAUCCAACAAAAAUAAUAAUAAUGAAAUCACGUAAAACAAAUAUUGCAAAUUAACAAGUCAUAAGUAAAAUGAUCAUAAUUUAAAAGUACUAAAUCAUGCUAAAACAAGUUCAAUAAGUAUUAGUUACAUGACUAAAUAUUAAAGGAAAUUAAAAUUAGAUUAUGUAUUUUAAUUGUCUAAACCAAUGACAAAACUAAAGAACAAAUAUUCAAUAUUAUUGUCAUUUUUAGUGUUUAAUUGAUUUCCUUUUUGCAUUAGUAUUAAUUUAAUUUUGAUUUAAGCUUUAUUAUAAUUACCAACAUAUGUGGACUAUAAUCUUUAUUGGNNNNNNNNNNNNNNNNNNNNNNNNNNNNNNNNNNNNNNNNNNNNNNNNNNNNNNNNNNNNNNNNNNNNNNNNNNNNNNNNNNNNNNNNNNNNNNNNNNNNNNNNNNNNNNNNNNNNNNNNNNNNNNNNNNNNNNNNNNNNNNNNNNNNNNNNNNNNNNNNNNNNNNNNNNNNNNNNNNNNNNUUAUAUAUAUAAUGUCGGGUUGGUUUGGUCUCGGGUUGUUUUUUUUUAGUUAAAACCAAACCAACCCAAAUAUAGUCGGGGGGUUUUUUCCAAUACCAAACCAAGUCAAACCAAACCACUAGUCGGGUUUUUUUUUCGGUUUGACUCGAUUUGCGGUGUGAUUCGAUUUUCAGUUCGAUUUUGUACACCCCUACCUCGAGUUAAUUAAUAUGUAGUCCAAAUUUGACUUUUCUACUUAAUCCUAUACGUAAUGGUUUUUUUUAAAAUUCACUUUUUUGCUUUAACUAUGUUUACUUAUUUAUAAAUAAUCCGACUUGGUCACAGGAGGCAAAUAAUCAAUUUUAUAACUAAGCCGACAGAGAGCAUAAUAUAGCGAAGGGCCUAAGUUAAAUAUGACCAAAUUAAAGGGCCAAAAUUCCUCUUAUUAAAUUAGUUGCAUUAAAGGUAAUGUUUUUUUAAUAAUGAAAAAAAAAAGAAUAUGGAGUUGCUUUACAAUAUUAGAUAUUGUUCAAUGAACACAAGAACAAUAUUUAGAUUAGUGGUUUAAAGAUGAUAAUUCUAGAGAACACACUGAUGAUUAAUAAAAACGUGUUCAUGAAAGCAAAAGUUGAUGCACUUUGUUAUUUGACAUAGAACACCAAAUGCUUCAUGAUGCCUUCAUAUUUACUGUUAGUUCUUAUAAUAUUAUUCAUAUCAUUGCUACUUCAAUUUAUUAAUCAUCUGUGUUUUUUGUGCUUGGAUUAUAUAUUUAUUGUUUUCUUUUCUGAAUGUUAUGUAAUGUUUUUCUUAUCAAUCAACAUAUCUACUUUAUUUCCUUUUAAAAAAAAAAACUACUUUAAAAUAUUUUAUUUGAGCCAAGAGAGUCUAUCAAACAUAAAUUAAGAUUUAAAAUCAAAUAAAUUAUGUAAAGAACUAAAAUAAAAAUGAUAAAUUUGGACGCUAGAAGGAGGGCUUGAACCUCCGACCUUGUGGUUAACAGCCACACGCUCUAACCAACUGAUCUAUUCCAGCUUGUUUGAUAGGGAGUUGUUUUGCUCAUUAGAAUAACCAAUAUCUGUCCCAAUUUAUGUUGACUAUGCACACAGUUUUAAGAAUAAUAGGAAAUCUAUUCGAACUCGAGGUCUCAGGUCUCAGGUCUCAGGUCUCAGAUAAGUCAUUUAUAUUUGUAUAAUUAUAAAUAAAUGAUAAAUGAGGGAGUAUAGCAUUUCCAUUUGACAUAACCAAGCAAAUCUAUUAAUCUAUUAAUGAGUACUAUUACAAACUGCAAUAUCUGUAAACAUAGUUCCUAUAGUAUCUGCCCAAAUUGCAUAUGCUGGCUGCUGCAAUCACUGAAAAAAAUACCAAAAAUCUUGGCCUAUUAAAAACUUAACGAUGUACCCUUUAGCCAGCUGAUUCGUCACUCUAUUUUGCUCCCUAAAUAUGAGUAAAUGCUGGAAACCCAUAUUUUUCUUAUAUACACAUAGGGUGUGCUUAGGAAACCAUAUUCUAAUAUCGUUAUAUUUGGUUGGUCAAAAUAUUAAAAAUAAGAAUAAUUACUUCCCUAGUGACAUUCACAUUCACAUUGGUAGUCUGCUCCCUACACUCUUAACACAUGACCCCAUCCCUUAUAUCCUACAUCCUCACCACACCAUCCUUCAUAGUAUUUGAAUAUACUGGUGUACAAAUAUUUUUUGUCUACUUACCAAACACUUAAAACUAAGUAAGAAAACCAGGUACUACUUGUUAUGUCACAUAAAAUGGGUAUAAAUCUAUGACUAUACCUCGAGAAUGUACAAUCUUGCAGAAACGAAGGGAAUUUUUUGAGAUAUACGAAAUACAUGUGUUAAUAUGUUAGCGCUUGUACAUGUUAGACACAUGAUAAAUGGAGUCCUGAUACUAUAGAUAGAUAAUGAAGAACGCUUUCCAUAAACUGGCAAAGAGCAUAAACGAGCUCGAAAUGUACUGCUCAUUGUGGAGGUUAUCUCCUCAUAUUGCCAAUUUAUACCUCUAGUUCUUGAUCGAUUGAUGCAGCUUCCAGGUCUUCAAGACUGACUGGUUGGUGCAGCUGCAUUGAUGAAACACAAGUUUAAUAUAGGCUCAACAGAAGACUACAUCGCUAGGUACUCAAAGCAGCAUAAAUAAGCAUGUAACAAUGAUAAAAAGUCCAUAUAAAUGCAUCCAGACCAUUUUAAUUGCAGCUCCUACAUCGACUUCCUCUAUAUCCUCAUUUUCCAACAUUAGCGUUCAUAAGCAUUUAUCAGAGGAAAGACAACUAAAGAGAACCAAAAUUAGCCAAACAUUUGGUCGCAGAUUUGAGACUACUGGUGCUUAUUUGAUACUGUAACAACUCAAGUUACCAACACAACAAUGAUAUGUAUUAUAAUCGCUAAAGAACACAAAAUACAAUUGAGAAAUGGAAACAACAAGCUAAUAACAACUAACGUCCUUAAAUCGAAACUGAGAAGGUUAACCGAAGGGGAAGAUGAUCAGAAAAUAUAGAGAUAGAUAGAAGGGGAUGAGAAGCUCGACUAAGAAUGGAGAUGAGAGAAUCAGACUCUUUACUCAACAAUUUGUAUAAUCCUUGAAUCACAUCCCACUACCCUUUUUGAUGGAACCGCUCCCAUGCCCAUUUCUCAACCCGAAUCCAAAAUUAACCUGACCCUAUUGCUUGUUCUAGGCCCAAUAGCUCUUAUCAGCCCAAUAACUACUUUUGCGACCCUGGUAUCCACAUUGGCCUGGACUUGGUUCAUACAAGAUACUCCUCCCAACAAAACCAAGUAAGGUAGAUUAAAAAAGUAGUCAAACUUUGGAGAGGUAAAAUAGCUGACUCGAUGAUGCAUGUUUGGACAUGAAAGCCACAAUCUGAAAAACAUUUUAGGCAGCCAGGGUGUCAUGUCAAAGCAGGUACCAUAGUCAGUAGAAACUGUUGUUUGUCUAAGGAGCAGCUUUCAUAUGAACACUUGCUUUAGCAACUUAACAGAAAAUCAAACAGAUAAAUAGCAGGAAAGGCAUCUCCAGAUAACUAGGAUCAAGAAGAAACAUACUGCUGUUGCAACAGAAAAUAGGUGGAAGGCACGCAAGGAAGCAUCAUUUUCUGAGGGAAGAGAAUCAUGGUUCCACAAUGUUAUGUUUUGGAACUUUGCCUUCAUCUCCCAGCAACUUGAAUCUUCCUCGGACCUUUUUCUUUUCUCAACAGGCAUUUUCUUUCCCAAGACAAACCCUGAAGAAGCAAGAAAAUGGUUUCAAAUAACACAAAGUUAAGUAGAUUAAGAAGUCCCAAUAUAAAUUUGAACUACAAUAAUCGUAAGACUUUAGGUGGCAGAUAAGUGAUGUAAGUAAAUUUACAAAAAACAGAAAAAGACAAUACAACUGGAAACAGCAAUUCAUGCGAUGAUACAUAAUUAGAAUUACGUAUCUCAGAAUUGAGCUAUCAAAAUCGGGAUGGAGAGACUAGCACUUCCAGUCCAAUGCAAAAGCUGUAAGACAAUAGACUAUCAUUCCAAAAACAUUUAUCUUUAUUCGUUUGGACAUUUUCCUUCCAGACAAUUGUUCCAAGAUUGACACAAGUGUCUAAUGAAACCAAAAGCUUAACCAAAAUUUCUGUUAAAUCAUCAAAAGUUGGUAGCCAAACUACAAUCCAUGUAAACUAGCUAGGAUAAACUCUUGAAAGAUGAACAAGCAAACAGUUCAUCAGUCUAGUUGUUCCCCUUCGCCUUGCCCCUCCCUCAACCCCACACGCCAAAAGAAAAAUUAGAAAAUCACGUGAUUAUAAUCCUAGUUGCAGGUGUGAGAAUUCAAUCACAUGUCAUUUAUACAGGAUUUCACUGUAAUUACAUGGUAUUAGGCUCUGCCACCUCAACAACUAGCUUUUGGCAUGUGAUUCUCAUAAAGUUCAUAACAAUCGGUGUUUGAGCCAUCCAGUUAUGAAGCCUCCAAAAUCAAUCAUGCUGGAUGGGAAAUAAUAUCAACAUAACAGUGUUUCCUCAGUCCUACAGCAUAUAAAGCACAGUUGUAUGUGCAGCCACUCACCAAGAGCACAAUGUAGUCAUUGAUGGUUAUUAUCCAAGCAGCAAGUAUUGAGACUUUGAUCCAUCACUUGGGAUCCGAGUAUUUAGCUUUGAAUUAUGGUCCCCUUUGCUUAAUUUCUGACCAUACUGUUUGCACAAUAUUAUUUUACUCCCUCCAUUUCAAUUUAUUUAUCCUACUUUCCUUUUGUGCUGUACUAGGUUACCUAUUACCCUUACCAAUAUCCCCUUUCUAUUCAUUAUGUAUAUAUAAAUAGAGAUGGACCAGCGGCUUAUUGAGCCUUUUAUCACUUCGUACCACUUGUUUCCUCUUCUUCAGAUGUCUCGCUUCCUUCUUCUACAACAGAUAUUAUACCUACUCAAUCAAAAUUUGUUGUUUUGUCAGGAUCGUCUACUUCAUCCUUUUCAAUUCCUCCUUUGCCUUCUUUUUCUCAUUCUCUUCCUCUCCACACUGUUGGGCCAAGCAUUCUGCUAGGUUCUUCUAUAGGCCAGAUUGGCCUACCUUCGCUCCCACCUUGCAGUGGAACAAUAGAACCAACAGUUCCAUCUCCCUUCCACUCUGCCGCGGCUUUCACCAUACCUAGUAUCACUAAUUUGGUGACUAUCAAACUUAAUUCUGUUGAAGAUUAUCUCACUUGACGUAGUCAAGAAACUUAUUUACAUUCUCAAAUUUCGUGUCAAGUCAAAACCAAACAAACAAAUUAAAACAGAGGAAGUAAUAGACAAGCCCAUCCAACACCAUUAUUAAAGGAAAAUAAAUUAGUUUACCAGAAUAGCCAUGAGGAAUUACAACAGUAGUACCCUGAAGCUUCCUUCCUCUAAAAUGAGCUUCCUCCACACUUAACCCAUCAACAAUUACACCUUCAUUUCAUUCACAAAUUCAAACAGUGAUUAAAUAAAUAAAAGCAAAGUUCUUUCAAAAACUACGUUUUUAAUACCCAAAACCAAAAAUUCAAGUAGAGUAUGAACUUGACUUGCAUAAAUAGAAUAAUUAUACCGGUGGAUUUGGGUUUGAAGUACUGUGAAACAUCAGAUGGACCAUUGAACUUGAUACAGCACGGCAGCUGGUGCACUUUUCCGGUGAGUUCCACCACUUUCUCCGGCGAAAGAUUGCCGGUUAGAUCAAUUGUGCCUGAAAUUCCGUUGUUGCUUCUCGCCAUUGCUCGGUUGAACUGGUAACAAGUAUCAAAAGAACCCUAAAGGGUGUACCAAAGCUUAAGCCUUUAUUCAGAGUUGUUCCUGUGUUCAUAAUAUGGCAAAUUUGGAAAAGAAGGAACAAAAUUACACAUGGAGGGAAAAUGUCUAAAUUCUCUAUGAUUGCUGAAAUUAACAGGAAUCUACAUCUGUUGGCAGCAUACAGUUAUCCCUGGCUAGAUAAAAUUCCUGUGUUUUGGCCGUUAAUUGUAAAAGCAUUUGAUAAUUACAUUCCUCUAAUCUCUAGCAAAAUUGUUAAUUGGAAGCUCCCCGAGGAAGGUAAAUUUAAAUGCAACAGUGAUAGUGCUUACAAGGAUACUAUGGACUUCAUUGUCUCUGCAUUUUGUAUUAUUUCAUGUAUGCAUAAGUGAACAAGGUAUUGGUAGGAUCUGCACUUGAGGCAGAAGUGAAAGCUUUGGGUAGAAUAUUGCAUGACCAAUAAUUUGCUUGCAGAUUCACUUAUUGGUAAGAAGAUCAUAGAUGGGAUUUGGGAAAUUCCUUGGGCUAUUGUAGUUGAUAUAAGGAGAAUCCAAGGGAUGGUGAGAGAGCAUACAGUGGAGGUGUUACACAGAGAAGGGAAUAUGUUAGCUGAUUUUUUGACUGAACCAUAUCUUCAUUGCAGGUAUUAACAACAAACAAUUUCAUACUGUUACCACAGAGGGCCAAGGCGAUUAUCCAAACAUGAGAGUUACAAGGUGUCAAAAUAGAUUUCAAAGUCAUGACACAAUACACUAUACAAGCUUCACUGAAAACACAGGUAGCGCAAACGAAGUCUAUGAAGAACAAAGCAUUUCUGCUGAAGCAAUUCUCUUGAAAUGUAGGCUUACCUGAUGCUCUAGAUCCUUAUGCAGUGCUUUUCUGAGCUCGAGGAUAAAGAAACAAAGGGUGAGGAGGGGACUUUUCAAGCUUUAAAUGCUUCCAUUCAGCGACUUUUGAGUUGAAGAAGUGAGUCGCUCAAAUUCAAAAAUCUGUGUUUGUGUUGAAGAUAGAGAUCGGAAGUGAGGUUGCUGCUAGGGUGAUGGUCUGAUGGAUGAACACCGAUUCGUCACUUCCCUUUUUUUUUUUCUGGAUUUCUUUUGUCUACAUGGGCUUCGGUGGGGCACUUUUGGACCCAACCACUCUAUAAUUAUUCGAUUAAGCAAAUUUAUAGUACUUAAUUACUCAUCAUGGGCUCAUGGCUAUAGUUUGAUAUAAUUAUCAUUCGCGACUAACAUUAAUCAUUAAUUACUUGAAUAAGUCCCUUUUAAUUAAUGUUUACUAUUUUUAAACAUAUUUUUUAAUUAUUACCAUUUAUAGCAAUAUAUAAUAAUAUUAUGUAUACUUAUUUUAUUAGAUCUAUUAUUUUCUCUUGCGCUAUUUCUCCGUUUGUUUUUUCUAUCUCUCGCUAUUUUUUUCUUUUUCUCCCUGGCCCUGCAGCCUCUCUGCACCCCCCCUCUCUCUAUGUUUUUUUUCUUUCUUUUUCUCCCUGUACCUCCUCUAUCUAUGAUUUUUCAAUAUUAUAAAAAAAAAGUUAGGCUUUUAUCAAAGGCAAAAGAACUAUAGAAAAGUUAGGGAAAUUUUCAAAAAUCGAAGAAUUGGGGCUGCUUAGUUUAUAGAAGAAGUCGAUUAGUUUUUUAUUUGUUGCUUUGGCAUUGUUGACGAUUUUCAUUCUAAUAAAGGUUAUAUAAAUAAUUGUAUUCAUACCUGAUGAAAACUUGAAGAUUUGAAUAUUUGUAUAUAUGAAGAUAUGAAGAUAUGAAUGUUUGAAGAUAUGAAAGUUUGAAUAAAUGAAGAUAUGAUGUCAUAUUUGUGCCCCAUACUUCCUCAUAUCUAAAGGCGAAUUCACAUGAGAAAGUUAGAUUUAAAGAUAUGAUGUCAUCUUUGUAACAAAUAAAGAGACAUAAUAAACUGCAAAAUGAAUUAAACUUGAAUCAAAUAUGUAUUACACACAUAUUAAAGUUGAAUUAAAAGAGAAUUAAACAUGAAUACAAAAUGUAGCAAACGAAAGAACAUUUUAUGAUCAGUAAACUGAAUAAAAUUUGUAUCAAUAAUGAUUUAAACAAGUAAUCCAAUCAUAACAAAUCAACCAAUAAACUGCAAAAUGAAUUAAACUUGUAUUAGAAGUGUAUUACACAAAUAUUAAAGUUGAAUUAGAAAAGAAAAUUAAACAUGAAUAAAAAACGCAACUAAUAAAAGACCAGACAUUGAUCUAUAGAGUAAAUUAAACUUGUAUCAAUAAUGAAUUAAACAAGUAAUUCAAUAGUAACAAAUCAAUCAAUAAACUGCAAAAUGAAUUAAAUUUGCAUUAAAAGUGUAUUACACAAUAUUAAAGUUGAAUUAGAAGAGAGAAUUAAGAAUUAAUGAAAAAUGUUACUAACGAAAGACAAGAGAAUGAUCUAUAGACUGAAUUCAACUUGUAUUAUUUAUGAAUAAAAUGUAUUAUAUGUGUCUUAUAAAUUAUUUUGAUUGUAUCACUAAGAACAUGAAUGAUGUUUGCAAUAUGUAUUAUAAAUGUAAUAUAAGUAUGUUACCUAAAUCAUUUGGUUGGUAUCAAUAAGAAGAGAGUGAAGUUUGCAAAUUAUAAAUGUAUUGUUCACGAUAAAACUUAUAUUAUAUGUGUCUUGUAAAUUAUUUUGAUUUGUAUCACUAAGAAAAUGAGUAACGGUUGCAAUAUGUACUAAAAAUGUAUUGUGCAUGUCUUAAAAAUGUAUUAUUAAUGUGCUACCUAAAUUAUUAUUGUUGGUAUCACUAAGAAAGAAGUGAAGUGUGCAAUAUGUAUUAAAAAUGUAUAAUUCAUGAAUAAAACAUGUAUUACAUGUGUCUUAUAAAUUAUUUUGAUUGACUAAGAAAAAGAGCAUUGUUUGCAAUAUGUAUUACAAAUGUAUUGUGUCUAUGUUAUANNNNNNNNNNNNNNNNNNNNNNNNNNNNNNNNNNNNNNNNNNNNNNNNNNNNNNNNNNNNNNNNNNNNNNNNNNNNNNNNNNNNNNNNNNNNNNNNNNNNNNNNNNNNNNNNNNNNNNNNNNNNNNNNNNNNNNNNNNNNNNNNNNNNNNNNNNNNNNNNNNNNNNNNNNNNNNNNNUUAUGAAACAUAUAUAAUACAACUUUAAUACAAUUGAGAUACAGUUCCGUAAACUUCAUAUUUUUCGAGCUUCAAUCUAAUAUUUCUCCUAAAAUCAAUUCUAAACUUAACCAAACCCUGUUAAAAUUGAGAAAUAAACUCCAAACGAUAUUUUCAAUUAUUUGUAGGAACAACCUAUCUAAACUAAUCACAAAUUCAUAAAACUUAAAUAAUGAAUUCAAAAUUUGAAGUUUUAUAAUGACCAUCAAUGGUGAACUCUUGAUGCUGUGAUUUUAGAGAUUUGAAAUUCCUGCUUGAGCACAUGAUUCUUAUCGUAUUUUUGGGUGAAAUUGCGAUAUAUGGGCAAAAACUGAUUUGAAGAUAUUUCUUUAAAUGAAAAUUUCAAAGAAAAAGAAGAAGAGAAGGAAGAGAAAAAAUGGCAGAGAAAGAGGGAAAGAAGCGAGAUAGAAAGGCUUUCACUGUACCAUUUUUUAGUUCCAAAUAAUUGCUAUAUCAAGUUAAAAAUAUUAUAUUGCCAUAGAUGGUAAAUAUUUUCUUAUUAUUGCAUAUUUAUGUGAUUUACCCAUAAUUAUAUGGGCUGACUUCGAGUUUGUAUAAUUAGUCACGUUUGUAUAUGUAUAAUUCGCAACUAACAAUUCUUUGUAUGAUUUGUAUUUGCAUACGAUGGUUUGUAUUUGUAUAUGACAAUGAUUUCCUUUGGUUUUUCAGUUUUGUCAUCAUAUACAUUCAAUCUUUUUGUGUAUAACUUUUUAAAGUUUGUAUAAACGUGUAGCUUUCGAAUUUUUAUAUAAUAUAAUUUAUAUAAUGUAAUUUGUAUAAUAUAUUAUGUAUAACUGUUUAAAGUUCAUAUGUUAUGUUUGCUAUAACUUAUUUUAGAAUAUAAAUGUCAAAUCUCUUUUUCUUUCUUAAACCUUAUGCCAUAGCAAACUAAGUCAUAUAUUUAGAUGGAAGAAAUAUUGUUUAUAGCCCACUUCAAUUAGAAACAGAAAAGCUUGAAAAAAUUGGAAUGUUAGGGUGUGUUUUGUACAAUAGAAAAUGUUAUAUUACACAUAAGUGAUUUUCUUAGUUGUUUUUUUUUUUUUCGUUUGGUAAGCAGAAAUAUUAUCCCAAGAGCGGUGGUGAAGCUAUGCUAUAUAUACUAGACAUUGAAUCUCUGUAACAUUUUUUGUGCUUUAUUUUUUUCUAUUUUGAGUUUCGUUUGUGAAAAUCUCACCUCUUGUCCAAAAGUAUCUUAUAUAUAAUCUAAACAAAUAUGAAAAAGUAAUAGAGUGUUGUAAAAGGAACUAGCUAAUUCUUCAUAACAGAAUCUUGCAGCAAAUAACCCUUUAAUGCCUACUACUCCAUAAUUAAUUGAUAACAUUUGCUACUAUUUGGAUACAACAGAACCUAACACAUGUACUUGCAACAGAUACAACUUCUAAAUGCAAUAAUUCACUUGAAGUAACUAGACAGUAUUGUUUAACUCUCAGGAUCAGAUAAAUACACAGGGCUAUCCAAAUCACCCAUUUCUGCUGAGGCAAAUGACUCAGAACUAUCUGCACUUGACAGGGAAGAAGGCGAUCCAUCAGAGUCCGACAUCCCCUCAUCAUGCAUAAUGAUGUGUUCAUCAUCAAUCUCAGAUGUAUCUGAUCCAGAACCACCUAGCAGAAGCUUGUUUAUGGCUCCUUUUGCGGUUUCAGUGAACCAUUCGUCCUCGGGUAGGGCACUGAAAAGAAAGACAUUUUCAUUAAUGAGGCUCACACAUAAAGAAGAUGAGAAGUAGUGAGCUAGGUGAAUGAGGUAUUUAUACCUUUGUGGAUCUAUGCCCCUGGCAGAAAAAGUCCUGACUGCACGUGCAAUUAUGUCUGAUGAUAUUUGAUGCACGUGCCUUGAUGGAUAGCCCGCAAAUCGUGCAAUUUCAACAGUGAAGUGCAUGUCAAGAAUUAACUGUCAAACAAAAAGUUGAUAUCAAGAUACAAAGAGGGUUUUAUCAUAACUCAAAUAUAGAACAUCAAAAUAUUUGCUUAACAAGAGAGCAAUUCACGUUGAAUAUCGCAAAUGAAUGUUAGUAUGACUUAGUCCGGUCAAAGACUAAGGUAUCUUUUUGGAAUUUCACCAAGUUAACGGCUAAUGAGAGAAUACCUUAAGCUCUUAAACUCUAAAACCAAUUAACAUAUUAUGCCGAUUGGGCUGAGGAAGUAAUAAGGGCAUGGACAAGAUACCUUCAUUUUCUUUCUUUUGACAAGGAACAAGAUACCCUUAUUUUCAAACACCCAGAUACUCGGAGAGUUACUUUUAGAAAGAGGUAGCACACAAAUGGCCGUCCUAUGCCCAACGAUGUAUCCUUUUAAAUUGUCCAUCCAGGAAUUUCUAACAGUUUUGAACUUUAAUCUGCAAUAGAGCCAUACAAUAUAUUCUGUUGCAGAGUUCAAAUUAAACAAAGCUAUAACAGCUCCUACACACUAUCCCAAAUUGAAUGAAAAUCCGGGUAGCAUGCCAACAGGUGAUAAGGUGAAAAAGUAGAAUGAAAUUGUGAUAAUACUCUAUUAUCUUCAGGUAGUACAACUAAAGACAGGGAAGUAGAUAUAACAAAAUACCUGCUGCAAACCCAGCGGCUGCAGAGGAGCUGACUCAUCCUCUAGAACACUCCAAAAUUCUUGUUCAUCAGACAACCACAUUACCACAGUCUCUGUCAGUCUGGCAAGCAAAACCUUCUGUAUCUUCUCUCUUCCUAAAAGAACAUCUCCUGCCACAGUUGCUAAUUGCUGCAGCUUACCAAAUAAUGCCUACAGGUUUGAAGAUUUAUCACCUUUUAGUUACAUGAAAGUGUUGGAAACAUAAGCAUUUUAUAAGGUUCUAUUUAGCAGAAACUGUUGAAAGCAUUUCGCAAGAAAAUACCGAAUAUUAGCACUUGGAUAGUCAGAUAAGAAUUGACAAACAGUUGUAAACCACCAUCAGAGAGACAAUGUAAAACUAUGCUUCCGCUGCUUGAACUUUAAAAAAAGUCAAACGAGCAUCUGCUGAAUAUUAUGAUGAAUGAUUGUCUAAUUUAUUUAUUUAAAAAAAAAAGAAUACUUAAGGAGGCAUUUGGCCAUGAAAUUCUUUUCACUUUUUCCAGAGUUCAACUCUGGAAAACACGUUUGGCCAUAAAACUCAGGAAGAAGUUGAAAAAGAACAAAAAGGUUUUCUCACUGCAAAUUACUCACAGAAAGUCAAAAACAACUCCACUUUGUAUUCACGGCCAAACACAACUGCCAAUUUUCAAAUAUCAUUUUUCACUUUAAAACAAAACUACUUUUUUCAAAUUUCACAAUGAAACAUGGUCAAACACCCACUUAGAAUCUCCUUAAAGUUGCUACUAUAAAGCAGUGAUUGAUGACCAAGCAGAAAAACUGGAAUUGAAGGUUUUGGAGGGCGAGUUAUAUACUAACAGCAAAGCAACACCAAUGAUGAACCAGAAACUCAACAGACACAGCAUUAACCUACUUGGAUAAAGGGAUAUUACACAUUCAGUCGCCCAAUUCACAAAAAGGAAAACUUAAUUAAUCUUAGACCGUUUUUUGUGAAGGGGGAAAUGAAGAGAACAAACUAAGACGGGCAAAAGAAUUAACUAGGGUGUGCUAUUCAUAGCACCAAUCAUUUCGGAAACUAGGACACAAAAGGAUUACAGUACCUGAAAUGGCAAUGAAGGUAGCGGAUCAGUGUCCCAAAUUGUAUCUUGUCCAACACCACUCAAAUAAAUCUGAGCAUCUAAUCGUGCAUCACCAUCUCUUGAGUAUAUGAAAUUAACAACAUAUUGUCGACAGAAAUUAUCUCUAAGUUUGUCUAGUGAAUGCUGAAGUUGACGCCUCCAGUCCUUGAGUUCUACAGUAUUGUUUGCGGCAGGCAUCAUAUUUUCAGACCCCACUUCCUUGCUUUCAUUAAGAACAUUCCAAAUUCUAGAUACAACCAUAGGCAAUAGUUCCUCAGCAAUGGUAAAUGCAGUUCCCAAUAGUGCAAGCUGCUGAGAGUCUGUUUCAGCUCUAAAAGGAACAGGUUCUUUCAGCUCAGUGAGAUUAUCAUCCUCAGAAAGACCAGGUAGAGCUUUAAUCAAUGAAUCCACAUACUUGUCAAAAAGAUGUGAAAUUCUGGUCAAUAUGUUAGCUCCAAAAUGUAGAAUGACUAACUGGGUGAGCUUCUCCACCAUUUCCUGCAGAGGAGGUCAAAGUUGGAUCAAAUUAUUAUUAAGCCAUCAUUACAAGAAACAGACAUCUGAUGCAGUGCUAUUGUUCUUGUCUCUUUUUUUUCCACAUGUUGCAGUUCAAAGCAAUCUCAAACAUCUAUCGGUGCUCCUACUUGAGCAAUGACAACUACUUGAGACAUCUAUUUAAGUGGCACCCCAUUGAAGGUUGUCCUAAAAUUGCAGCUAGCAGAAUCCAGCAGAAAAAGAACAAAAUCACGUGCAUUUAUGCAAUAUACACACGCAGACACAGAUAUUCAUAUACUGCACUAUUGAAAAUGGUAGUUAAGCCACCAUGCUGAAUAUGCAGCAAUAAGUGUGUUACAUACAAGACAGCUUCUUUUUCCCCUUCUUCAUUGGCAAAGCAGAAACGGUCCUUUGACGGAGUGGCCCUUUCAUGUUUUUAUACUAUUUUCUGCUCAAGAAAUAUUUCUUUUCUUGGACCAAGGAGGCACACUUUAACCCCCAAGGUUCUUUCUAUUUUUGCUAAUGAAUCCAGUAGUUGAAUAUACAAGAGUGUGUUCGUGUGUGUGGAUGGAGAGCAAGAGAGAAGAGAAUAAAGUAUCUAGAUUUAAUCUUCCAGUCUCUCAGCAGAUUCAGUUGUGCUAGAAAGGCCAAUCAUAGAAGUCUAUCAAAAACAAUAUUAUAGGUUACAAAUUGGUUAGAGUUCUUGCUGAAUUACCAAUUUUCAAAAAAAAAUAAAAAAUGGUUAGAGUUCUUGCAAGAAUACUUGCACACCUAUACGCCAAGUUAUGUAAAAGAACUUGCAUAGCAACUAUAACAAGGUGAGGGAGGUCUUUAUCGAGGGGAAUUAAUUUUAAAAAAAAGAAGGGAGAUUUAAAUCUGCACUGUGCACUUCAUAAAUCUAAGUCCUUUGAGGGAUACAGUAAUAACACUUGAGCAAUCAGAUGACCAAACAUUAAUAAAUAAGGAUUAAACCUUACUUUGACUAUAUAUAUGAAUCUCAUUCCACUUUCAACAAGCAGAGUAUCAGAUGUAGUUGCAAAUGUAGAUAAAGGAGACGCAAACCGAGGUGACAAUGGUUUCCCUUCAUCACUUGAAGCAAAAUCAAGAACCGCUUUCCUGGCUCGUAUAUAGUUCAACUCGAGGACUUCUUCCAUAUAUGGGUGCAAAAGCACCAAGAGUAAUUUUGACAGUUUAAGGCCCUGUUUCUCCAAGGCAUUACAGUGGUUAAGACUGGCUUGAACACAAACACUUGCUGCAUGUAAAGCAGGAGCUCCAUCAGAAGGCGGUGCGUGUUCUUUAACCAACCGCACAAAGUAUUCAAUUUCCCUUUCUGCCCACUGGAUAAUUCUGUUGCUAUAAACAGGAUUGUCACCAAACAUUGCACCAGAUUCCUUAGUAGUCAAAGAAAUGGUAGAGAAUACAAGGUUAGACAAUGUGGCUGAAUAAGUCUCGGGAUAACAAGGACAAAGGGGAAGGAAAGCCUCAAUACUUUUUCGAAGACGAGAUCUGUACGAAUUAACAAGUAGCUGAUGUGCCAAAGAACCUUUUCCAAGCUUGAGCAAACCAGACAAGGCUUUCUUAAGUUCAACAAUGCCAAUUGAGGGCCGUUCAGUGAUCUCAACCAGCUGAUUCUCGAGCAUCUUUUUUCUUUUAGACAAAGCAGAUUUAAAAGAUGAUGGUUCAGCAGAUGAAGUGUCUCCUGAACUUUUCAGCUCAGGAUGACUUCUUUCUUUAGCAUCUAUUGCCUCUAUUACUUCCUCAAUCUUGUGCUCAGCCAGAAGAACAUCAAUAUUCUCCAAAAACAACAUGUUUUCAUCUUCCAUGUCAUUCAUGAAAGUAUCACCAUAAUCAGAGCUUCGAGAACUUUCAUUAGCUUCUUGGACAUCAUCACUAGUUCGACUCCAUUCAUCCAAUUCUCUGCAUACACCAUUCAUGAGAUCUUGAACAAGAAUCCCCUGUGCGGAUAUAUGCUUUCUAAGCUCAUUGAGUUCGUGUUCUGUUUCCACAACUUCCUCGGACAAUCUACAAUGACAAGAACAGAUUAGAAGUUGACCUUUGCAUGUAGAGGGGUCACCUACCAUUACAUGAGUUCAUUUAAGGUUGUGUGAUAACAGUGUCUAUAACUAUCCAAUGUGUCUGUGAUUUGACCACUAAUCCAGUGUACUUAAAAGAAUCUGCACAAAGGACCCAUAUCCAAGUUGCACCCAUUUGGCAUGGGUACAUCAAGGCGAAUGAAGGACACAUAACAUGAUCAAGAGAUUAAACUGAAGGUGAUAGGUACAAAAAAUACAUAAAGCAGCCUGAUGCAAAAAGUAGGCAGUAAUGACAAAAAGAACAGCUGAACAUGCAAAGUUCAAAAAGACUAGAUGCAAGUAAUCGGUCUAGCUAAAUUUAUGGAGAUUAUUAACACCAUCUACAUUUUGAUCUAGAGAUAGUAAGUUGAACAGUCAAUAAACUCUCUUUCAAUGUGUUUUUUCAUAUCUCAUGUAUUUGUCGAUAAGGAACUAUGUCUUGUAGCCUUCUCGAAUAAAAAAGCUCUCAUAUAAUAAUUUGGAAUAUAAGAAGAGCAAUUUGAUGAUGAUUAUUCUCCUAUUUCACAAAUAGAUGCAAGAGCAAUUCGUCCCUUUAUUACAUGCUAUCUCUGCUUUCAGUUCCUCUACCUAAUUAUGCACGUAAAGCGUUCAGUAUUGAUGUUAGGAUUUCUGAUCAAAUAGAUAAUGGAACCACUAUAUAUUGAUAAAUCUGACUGCCAUUCUGUUAAAUCAACUCUUAUCUAUGAAAGUUUUUUUAAAAAAUAUAACAAACAAAAAGCAAAAAGAUAAUAUAGAAGGGUACACAAAAAAGGAAGCAUAAAACAGGGGACAAAUUGCACUUAUCCAGAUAAAUAUUAGAUAUCUUCUAAUGCUGUGCUAGUAAACCAACUGUUUAAAGGAUGUGUCUCUCCAAACUUUUCUACUUCUUACCGUUUCCCCACAACCGAAACCCCCCCCCCCCAGAACCAUAUAAAUGGAAAGACACGUCGGGUUCCCUCUACAGUUCUAAGGAAGGAUUCUCAAUAUCAGAGACUAGAACAUCAAGAGGCAACCCAUAAAAAGUGGACACAGUUGGGUUGAUUUUUGGUUCUUCUAGAAAUAGGAUUUGCUAUCGACAUGAACUCAACAUCAGACUUUAGUAUGAGUCCAAAUACAUAAACUACCAGAUAGUUCUCAUGGUCUCCUAGCUGUGAAGGGAUGCCGCCUUCUGUACAAAUUAUAUCACAUCUCUUUGAGGUAGUACCUGUAUUUGCCGAUGAUACACAUUUUCUCAUUUAAGUUUUGCCAUUGUGCCCUUGGAAAUUUAAGUUUUUAACAGACUGGUAACCAUAGUUUCCAUAGAAAAGGCAGGAAAAAUGUUUAUGAAAAUGUAGUAUUGAACAGAAUUCUCUUCCACUUUGUUUUGGUCUAGUAAAAGAGUUUCAUCAGCCAAUACCUCAAGAAGGCCAGGCACUUUGUUCGAGUAUUACCACACAGGUUCUCCACCGCAUCCUUCAAAUCCAAAAGCUCAAAACAGAUUUUCCUAAUUCCCUGCACAACUCAGAACAAUAAACUGGGGAACCCAUAAGAAAGACAAAAACUGGCAAAAUCAGCAAGCACUCCAAAAAUAGUGGGAAAGAUAAAAACUACUUUUAUCUGUGAUAUAUUGAAAAAUUAACCAAAAAGAAACGGAACAAGCACUUAAAGAAAUUGAGUAUGCAUUUUUUGGAAAUAAAAAAAGGUAAUAGUUUGGCACAUAACAAGCACUUACAGAUGUUUGUACUACCAAUUUUUUCCUAUCUAUUCAUGGUAUACAGAAUUCCUAAUAUCGACAUAACAGAAAUCAAGUUCGAUUAUUGUAGCCAACAUAUCUCCACACACAAAAAAAAGUUAAGGGAUGUUAUCAAAGAUAAAUUGGGAAGAACUCUAAUUGAAUUGGUUGAAGAUAAUACAAGAGAAGCUCUAAUACAGGAACCUUAGUCUACCUACAAUAAAAUAAGUAAUUAUUUUGUAUGUCCAAUAAUAUAUUCUUUAUGGAUAUGGGUUGUGUUAGCAUCAGGACAUGUUGUCAAGAAAAUUCUGCCCACCAAGGCUGGAGUAUAUAGGCUCACACCAAGUAUUGUAGUGUAAUUCGGACAUGAGAUUUCUAGGUUGUUACUCCCAUGACACAACCUCUAGGUCAUCCCCUUGUGAACAAAAAGGGGCAUCCUUUAGCUUUCUUCCUUAAAUCUUUUGUUUGGAAAAAAAAACUAAUUUUACCUUGCACUUGUUAACAAAGCAGAUUUUUAAAACUCCCUUGCCUUAUUUUCCCAACUCCUCUUAUUUGAUCAUAAUUCUUCACGUCUACUCACCGCAUCGCCAACCAUUCUCCUUAUUUUAACCUUUACCCUAAGGAUGGUUGCAAGCAUUCUGGUAUGAUCCACUACAUUUGCUCAUUUUAACUCUCAAGUACAGUUUGGAAUUAUUCUGGUCAAGACCAAGAACAGACAGUAUUCUGAAUUCAAAGUCCUCGUAAAUAUACUCAUUUCCAGAUAAGGUCCUCAUAAAUGUACUCAAAUUGUCAAGAUUCAUGUCCAACUAUAUCAGCGAGAUUACACUAAGAAUUAUCCACUAGGAAGAUUAUUUGAAGAAAUUUACUGAAUCAACAUUAAUAAAAUGAAAGAAGGCACUACUGGCACAUUAAUACAUCAGUAAAACUAGUACAUAGAUGUUGAAAUUUUACUGGUCUAAAGCAAAAAAAAUCCCCGAUUAUAUGGAAGAGCAUCUUUGAUGCAUAGAGAAGCUAUAGAUAAUCAACUAACAUCCAAAAAUGCUUAACAGUCCCAUCACACAUGAUUAAUUCAACCACUCUAUGAAGCUCAAAAUUCUAUAAUCCAUCCACAUGUAGAUGAAACGGAUAGCUUCUAAGCUUCCCUACUUCCAAUAAGCAGAUCCAUGAACCAGUCAUGCAGAACAGAAAAAACAACAAUUGUAGCUAGUUUUAAGCCCUGUUCUCCCUCAAAAAUCACACACAUCGUCACCAACAAAAAAUCAUGAACCAAGGAAUCAGCUCUUGUCCCUGCCUAGCAUAUAACCAAGUUAAGGCAGACACACUUCAGGAAGACCUAAGCCAAAUAUUUUCACCAAAGCACUAACAUUUACUCCCAGCACUUAAAAUAUAACCUAGGAAACCAAGUUGAAUUUGAACUCACAAUAUAAGGAACAUCCACUUAACUAUUCAUGGAAGAACUAAAGCUUAGUAUCACUUCAGCAGGUAAAACUAGGUUUGUUUCUUCUACUCUAAAAAGGGAUACCUCAAGAAACCAAACUAAAUAAAAAUUCCAAAAAAUAAAAAUAAAAAAUCCCACCUAGAAAAACUCACAAAUUUAGCUCAGAAAACAGAUCAAACUUCAAGGAAAGAACAAGCACACUUCCACAUUUCAUCUAGUACCAAAAAUUUUACUUCCAGUACUUGAAGCGAAAACCCAGCAAACGAAAUUGAACCACAACUCCAAAAAUAAAGAUCACCUAGAUGAAAAGUUCCAAACUUGAUUCCAAAAAUUGAUCAAACCCCAAGAACAAAUAAGAGCAGUUGAAUUUGCUAUCAUGCUAUUUUCUGAGUUAAUGAAACAAAAUGGGGGUGAAAAGAACGUAGAGAAAAUGCAAAAGAUAGUACCUUUUCAGUCUUGGACUGGUAAAUUGAGUCGAUCUUGGACUGAGGAGUAACACUUUCAAUACAUGGGAAAUCAUCUUCUUCUUCACUGCUUUCCAUCCUCAUUUUGGCGUUUCCAACCAGUAGAUUUUCCGCUUUUGCAGCUAUGAAAAUGGGAAAAAUGAAGAGACACACAGUUCAGUGGACUUCGCCUUGUAAUUGGAGAGUUCGAAAAAAGAGCCUUUAAAUUAGUAAAUGAUUUAUACAUGUUACCAAUUUAAUUAAUAUAUAUGUUACUAAUUUAAUUAAUCAAAAUAAAAUAAUUUAUGUUCCCUUACUGAAAACUUGACUUCAAGGAAUCACUAAACAAAGAUAUAAUGAUAAAUUUACCUAGUUUUUUUUUUUUUAAGAGACGUGAAAUCUAAAUUGAUGACAUAAAUAAAAAUGGAAGAGUAGUAUAAAGUACAGAAAUCUCAUAUAUUUGGAACUAAUUACAUUUUAUCUUGAAAGUUUCUUCAAUUACAAAUUGCUCUCAGAUACAUUUAUUAUUGUGCGAUACGUUGCAAAUUUACUUAAUGGGAGGGAUGUAUCCGAGAGAGGAUAAGAAUGCAUUCGAGAGGAGAUAGAUGUAUUCGAAAAGGAAUAGGAAUGUAUCCAUAAGAGAAUUUUUGUAACUUUUUUAAAUGAUAGGAAAUUUUAGAGAUCAUGAUAUCUCAAAUUGUGUAUUUAUGUAAAAAAAAAUUCCUAACUUGUGUUAUCAUUCAUUUUCAAAAAAAAAAUUGACAAAGAAAAAUAAAAAGGCCAAAAUGUUCCUUAAAAAGUCAUGACAACAAACAUAAUUAAUAUGAAUUUGAAAAAGGGGAAGAAAACAAAAGGGAAAUAUCAUUGAUUUGUAUACGAAAAACUACUACUACUAUUUGUAAUUGAAAAUGACUUCGAAAAAACAAGUUCAGAUAAAAUUGUACUAUAAAAUAUGUGUAUAACAACAUAAAUUUUGUACAACAAACUAGAAAUGAACUUUAGUCCAAAACUACAAAAAAAAAAGGGUGUUUUUAUAANNNNNNNNNNNNNNNNNNNNNNNNNNNNNNNNNNNNNNNNNNNNNNNNNNNNNNNNNNNNNNNNNNNNNNNNNNNNNNNNNNNNNNNNNNNNNNNNNNNNNNNNNNNNNNNNNNNNNNNNNNNNNNNNNNNNNNNNNNNNNNNNNNNNNNNNNNNNNNNNNNNNNNNNNNNNNNNNNNNNNNNNNNNNNNNNNNNNNNNNNNNNNNNNNNNNNNNNNNNNNNNNNNNNNNNNNNNNNNNNNNNNNNNNNNNNNNNNNNNNNNNNNNNNNNNNNNNNNNNNNNNNNNNNNNNNNNNNNNNNNNNNNNNNNNNNNNNNNNNNNNNNNNNNNNNNNNNNNNNNNNNNNNNNNNNNNNNNNNNNNNNNNNNNNNNNNNNNNNNNNNNNNNNNNNNNNNNAAAAAAAAAAUGGGUGUUUUUAUAAGAUAUAAAAGUUUGAUAUAAUAACAAAAAGUCGUGUACACUUGGGUGCAAUUUAUUCUAUUUAUCUAAUAAAGUUUUGGUAACGUAAACAGUAAAAAGAGAGAACUUUACAUGAAGAGCAAGUUUUGAUCAUAACAGCAACAACAACAAAGUCUAAGUACAUUUCAUUGAUAAAAUCAAGUACAAUACAUGAUAAUGUUUUAACUUUGUCAAGAUUGACAGAGUAUUUGUGAAGAAAUACAUAACAGAUAAGAAAAACACUUCCAAAGAUAAAUAAGAUUGUGGAACAAUUGCAGAUUACAAAUGUUGCAGAUAACUUAAGAGGGGAAGAAUAUGAAGCUUAAAAUGUUAUUAUUCCCCAAGUCUUCAGAAACUUGAAUCCUAUUUAGUGUUUAGUUGAAGAAUUAGCAAUCACAUUGAGGCGUCGAGGAAAGCAUCAGAGACAUCAAGUUCCACGUUCAGGUUUUUGGCUGAAGGCAUUCCUGCAACCACUUCUUCUUCAAUGCCACACUCGUUUGUUCCUCUUCUGAUCUUGAAGUAGCCAUCCUGCCAUGAAGACAAAUAUACAUUUGAGAAGAACAUCAUAAGGAUGUACGCGCUGCUCAAUUAGCACAUCUUCAAGAAGUAGGAAAGAUGAAAUCACCCAACAAUGUACAAAAGUAAUAGCUACGGAUGUUGAACAUUAUGAAUCAAGUGUGUAAAAUCCUAUUAAGAAAGGGUAAACCAAUGGUUCAACAACUUUUAAUAUUUUUCGUAGAAGAAGAAGGAACUAUUUCUGCUCAAGUAAAAUGUUGAAAGAAAAAGGGUUAGAUCAAGACAUACGUCACCCCAGCCUCUGUUCCAUUGAUUGGCAAGGAGCUGCAAAGCCAAAAAAAAGAUGAUCGAAUUUAGAAAGGACGGAAUGAUUUUGAAGAUCUUAAUGGCACAAUUAGAAGAUGUCAACAAACCCAAUAGUUCUCUCCAUCCUCAGAGGUUCCCCAUCCAAUGAGCUUAACAGCAUGUCCUCCCAUUUCCUCACCAUUUAUGUGUUUGUAAACUCCAGACUUGUAGUGAGCGAAAUCCUGCGCUCGAGAAACAGAAAUAGUAAAGAAACUAAUCCAAGUCGGCAAAUUUCAAUUUCACCAGAAAAGAGGAUGCAUUCACAAGGACACCAUGCUGAGGGCAAAUGCAAGAACAAAAUAAGCAGUCUACUACUUUAGUAUGCACCAAUUGACAAACAGUACGAUUAUGCAGAAAUGGCUCAAAUAUUUCCAGACUGAGAAAUUAGUGCGUUUAAACAAUGACCUCUAGAUCCAUUUAAGCAGAUCAUUGAACUUUCUAACUGGCACUUCAUUGUCAUGGACAUAAUUAUCCUGGAACAUAAACCUCUACAGAUCACUAAUUGGCACAAUAUUUCCACAAACAUAGUAGAUGGUAACACUAGAAUUCAGAAGGAUAGAGUUAGUGACCAACAAUUAUUUUGAGCUCUGUCGAACAGCUUAUCAACAAUUAUUUGACAGUUAACCAUCAAAAGAAAGUAAUUCCAAUUAUAUUUUGCUAUAUAACUCAGCCAAGCAUUAUUAUUGUCCUCACAUAUGAUUUGUAAGGGAAUCACAUUUAAAAAAUUAGAAAAGGGUAUUUGUAAUAUUUAACUAAAGUUUCUCAAAGUUCAUUAGAGUUGGCCUAAAAUAAGCCGUCCAAGGUUAACAAUAUCACGGGGUAGAUAGAGAACUGCUGUUCGAUUGUUGCUUGGGAUUAAGGCAUAGUUGUUAUUGUUGUUGUUUAUCAGGUUCAUGCAACAUUCAACUUCAUAUCAUAUAAUAUAAAUUGUACCCAAAAAUUCAGGAUCAGAACUUUACUCUCUUUCUCGAUCAUUCUUACCUCGUAAACAGUAAAAGAAACCUCAACUGGUCCAUUCUUGUAAACUUCUGUCAUGAUACUGUACGGAUCGGAGUUGAUCAGGUAUGCAUUGACGCCAAAAUGCUUGGAUUUACUCCAGAGUAGAUUCUCUUUAACACACUUCCUCUUGCACUGUGGAGUGGGAUAUCCAGGUUCACAUCCAGGGUGGGAACAUCCCUUAUUAUCAAAGUAAGGGUCACACUGACAGGAAAAAUUUUAUUAGUCGAGCAUAAUGAUCCACAAUCUUUUUUCAGAUUGGUAUAAGAAUCCCACAAUAUCUGAAAGAUGUAAUCCCUCUGAAGUACAAUAAGUGUAUAACAAAACAGAAUACCUCUUCAGUGACCACACCCUUGCGAACAAAGUAUUUCCAAGCUUCUAAUGGAUAUCCACCAUCACAACCAUCCCCACAUAAAUAGCCACAGCAUGCUACGAUAUCAUUAGCUGACAGAGAGAUAUUCUGCCUCACACAUAAAAAUUGAAUCAUUAGCGACAAUAACUAGAAUAAACUUGCAAGUUUUUGCAUGAAGGAAUGAAUUUACCAAGCCAUAAUGAAUACAGAAACGAUCAGACAAUGACUCAGCAGCACCAAAAGCCCAACAAGAACCACAAUGUCCCUGAAAUAUAAACGAUCAGAUUGUUAGAAUACCAGGAAAGAGCGAUUUAGCAAAUUCACGAGGAAAAACAAAUGAGUGAAAUUAGAACCAAGACAAAUCACCUGAUCUGCGUCGCAAAACAGUACCGGUGCAUGACAUCGAAAGAUGGAAAGCAUUAGCACCACUCUAUAGAAUUACAGCACUAAACCAAGGACAAAAGAGAAGAAACUAACCAAGAAUUCUCCCAAUAGUGCUACACUGAGGCCAAGCCACUCGUGCAUCAAACUCUUGGGGUAACUUCAAAAGUUCUGGAUGAGUUAAAAUAGGGAUGCCCUUCAAAUCACCCUUUCUUGUGGGCUUAACUCCAAGAAGGCGCUUAAAUUGGGAAACCUGUGAAUGAAGGGUACAUGCACUCAUAAAAGGAGAGCUGAAGGAUGUGGCAUUGCACAAAGAAAGUGCACCUAAGUUUGUCCAAAACGAAUAUACAGCUUUAUCGAAAUCUCACCGUGAAAUUCGAGAAUUGAGGGUUCAGUGCAGCUCUCCAUCCAGCUUUUUCAUUUUCGUUAACCUGUUUAACGAUUGAAUCCUGUACGACCAUUCAAAAAGAAUCUGUGACCUUUAGUUUGAUCAGAGUACAAUGACAGUAAUAUCUUCUCUAUGAUGAAGGAAAUCACACCUGAAGGAUUGCAGAUUCCGCUUUAGCUUGGGAUAUUGGAUUUUCUGCAACAACCUGCUUGCCGUUCAAAAAAAGAAAUUAUGUAUUCAACAAUGGACUACAGGAAGAUUAAAUAACUUCGGGUAUAGGCUUCAGCAUAUGGUACUUUAACCAACCAAGACUACGCUUUCGCAAUAAUUGGACCUAAAUCAUCCACAAUUCAGACUGUCAACCUUCUAAAUGCCUUAAAUUGAAUCCUAGCUGCUGUAAAGUCGAAAGCAACAUUGAGAAUAUGAAAGAGAUUAAGAACUCGAUCAUGUAAUUUUGGCUCAAGCAGCAACGCUUCUCCUCCACCAUUUCCCCUUUUCUAUUUCUUAGCAAAAUAGGGGAAGUCUGGAGGUGAAGUCUUCAAUUUCCCACUUACAAACUCAACAUAGCAGCAAAAUGCUGUUUCGCAUUUCUAGUUUUCUUUAAUUUCCAGUCAUAGCAUGCCAUGAAUUUUCUCAUUCAUUUGACCCAUAUACUUUUUUCUUUCUUCUACUCGUGAAACACACACAACCAUUGUUGCAAAAUCUACACUUGUACUGCAAGUGUAUAUUGUUUUGCAUUCAUUUAGCUGCAAGAGAACUAGGACUGGAAAGAAAACUAUAUUUACUUCGACCUAAAUUGAUAAAUUGAUUUGGUUCAUAAUAUUAAAAAGUUAGUUGUAAAUAUAAAAACAAAUGUUUUCAUUUUCUUCGUUUGGCAUAGACAAUAGAUGCAACUAUAUGUGCUAAGUCUGAAUGUUUAUGCCCGUCCCUUACCACUCACAAAUUAUUCAUCAGCAUCCAAAUAUAUUAAGUUAGAGCAAGAUAGCAUCAAGUUCAGGCUCUGGUACCAUUUGACAAUUCCCACUCAACAUUUUAUAAUCAAGGAACUUAAAGUGUGAAUAUGAACCAGCACAGAAUAAACAGUGGCCUUGCAGAAGCUCAUGGCAAACUAGGAUUUGUCUCCACAUGGCUUAAUUAGACAAUUACUUUCUUAGGAGUUAGGACCUGGGCAAUUGAUUCAAUUGGGCAAUUACUUGCUACGAAACAUCUUUCUACCUUUAUGUAAUCUUAGAAUUAUGUACUGCGGUAGAUUAUCAUCUAGUGGCGCUUCAUUCAUAUACACCUUUAAAGUUUAUGGUAGGUGAAAAACCAUAUACACAAAAUACCAUUACACCAUCCAUCCCCCUCCCCCUUUCCACACUGUCAACCCAACAUACUUCGAUUGUUUUUGGUACAUAAUAUACCUCAACUACAUGUAUAUAGAUACAUAUAUAUCCCACCCCACCCCCAAACCCAAAAAGGGAAAACAAACAAACAAACAGACCCCAAGCAAACCUAAUCCUCAAGAAUUGCAGGUAAUAUAAACAGAACCUUUAAAAAACACUAAAAAGAUUUCAUUUUUUAGGGGUAUAUUAGUUAAUUAACUAAUUAUCAUCAUGAUUACCAAGAUUAAGCUCAACCCAAAAGCUAAAAAUGAAAAGGACAUGGGGUUUCGGUCUGAUACAAUAACUUAAUCCAUCCAUUCAUCUAAAAGCUAUAUAAAGCAAACCAAUCAUCCAAAAACACAACAAAAAAAACCAUAAAGAAUCAAGAAUCAAACCUGCAAAACAAGGGUAGAGACAGCAACCAAAAGCAAAAAAGUGGUUAUGUGCUUCAUAUUUUUGGGCUUUCCUUUGGGGUUCUGCAAUGGUGGUUUAAAAAUAAAGCAACCCCAGAAAAUAUAUAUUUAUAGAUACAGGAAAAAGAUGAAUGAAUUAUUGGCCCUCUUUCUUGACGUAUUAAAAAAAAAUUAUAUUAUUGCUCCCGAUAUUUUGAAUUAAAUAAUUGGAUUAAUUAAUGUUCAGUUCCAUAGGUCUGGAAAAUGUUUAGUUGAGGAACACGUGUAAUUUUUUUAUUGGAUAUAAGAGUGUACUAAUUUUGUCAUUUUAAAGAUAAAAGGCCUAAGUCAUCCACCGCCACUCAAAUUUAUCUGCAUAUUUGACUAAAAAAUGUGUUUCACCCUCCUUAAGCGCGUUAAACAAUUGAUUUUUUAUUUUUUAUUUAUUUUCCAACUUAUACUGCUAAUAUUUUUUAAAAUUAAUUAACAAAAAGAAAUGAAAAAAGAAGAAGAAAAGUCGUCUUCUUCCCCCACCCCUCUUUUCAUAACCUCCUUCACCCACACCCUUUCCACCUCUCUCAUUCUUUCUCUCACUCUCUCCAACUCUUUUUGGUUUUUACCUUCUUUCAUUUUUUAGUUAUUACAUAGACCUAAGUUUCAUAUUUUCCGGCAUAACUCCAUUUUUUCAAUGAAGAUAACAUUUUUUUUCGGCAAAAGUUAAUUAUUUUUCAUAUAAUUGUAAUAAAUGAUUAGUAAUGGAAAGAAAAUGAAUGGAACGAGUGAAAACUUUUGAUGCUAUUCGGUUGAAAGGGGAAUUAAUUUUAGCUUGGGUACGCAACCAUGUCAUACUACUUGGGGCGAAGAGGCAAGGCUUACUCAUUGUGAUCACGAUACCGCCGGGGAAUGUGAUAGUACAUGAUUUGACGAAGAGGACUGGUGGCGUGGGUGUGUAGGUGGCUUUUUUAGAAAAAUCGUUUUAAAUUUUUUAGUUAGUUUUUUAAAAAAAUAAUUAAAAUAGACUAAAAUAGUUGUUUUUUAGAAUUUCAUUUUUAAAAUACAUUUUUAGAUUUAAAUUACACAUGUCAUCAUUUAAUUCAUCAAUUUGUCAUGUCACUGUGAUGUCACAACAAGUGUAUUACACACAUCUCAUAUUUUGGGCUGAUUGUCAAAACAAUGUCAAAUAGGUAUCAAUUUUAAAGGAUACAGGUGUUCAAUAGAUACAAACUUUAGUUGCGGUGUUUAAACGAAUUAUGUGGAUAAUUUUAAGGGGUCGUGAAUAACUUAAGCCUAAAGAUAAAUUAACGAUUGAGAUAUCUUAUCAUCUGUUUGUAAAAAAGAUAUUAAAAUAAAAAUCCUUCAAGGUAUUUUUAAUUUGAAAUGAACUAUCCACUUGUUUGUUUACCAUUAUUUGGAAGAAUGGGCCGUAAUUUCAAUUCUUGUUUUUUUAUGAAAUAAAUAAAUAUGAAAGAUAACGUAAUGGGUCUUAUGGAUAUAUACGUAUAUCUUUCAACUUGAAUAGAAAAAUAUAAUAUUAUUAAAAGAAUUUAGUAAUAAUAUGUUGGAAAGGUACUAGAUUAGUUUAGUUUACAUUGAGAAAUAAAAGUUCUUACUAAUACAAUAUUUAGAUUUUAAUAUAAUAACUUAAUAUAUAUUAUAUACUUAUAUAUAUUCAUGAGUUAAUAUCUUAAAAUGUCACUCAACUUUAGAAUUUUAUCUAGCAAAGUCACUAAUCUUUAUUUUGUAUCAAUAAAAUCACUCAAUUUAGGCCUUUAUAUCAAUAAAAUCACUCAAUCAAUUCCUAUUAAAAACAAUUCACACCACAAAUAAAUUAAUUUUUUAUAUUAUGUUCAUGAUUAAACUACUAAAUACAUGACUCAAAAUUACUAUUUCAUUAUAAAAUAAUAAAAGUUCAAAAUAAAAGAUAAAUUUAUCAAAUUUACAUAAUUAUAUUCAUGUUAUAAUCUUAAUAAACAUCUUAUUUUUUCUAUUUAUACGAGUGACUUUAGGCCAAAGUUUUAAUAGAAAAUUAUGUAACUUAAAAAGUGGCGUGUGGACAACUAGUAUGGUAUUGGAUUUGAUGGGAUGGCUUAUUUAUCUUAUGAUUUUUUAAUUCAUUUUGAAAAGAAUAUUUUUUUAAGAUUGCACAAUAACACUCUGACAAGAAAAGGGAUGCGUUAACGCGUAAGUCGUAAUUGCUACUUUUUCUUUCUUGCUCCUUAUUUCAAACUCAAGAAAAAUCCUGAUAAAUACGAGAAAAAAGCACUCAAGCGCCCAAGCCCGUUUGGCCAUAGAUUUCCCAAGUAAAACUUGGGAAAAAAUUUGGCAAAUAUUGUUUGUCCAUACACUUUCUCAUUAUUUGGCAAAUUUUUUUGGCAAAUAACCCAAAUUCCCAAAUACUAGUUUUUUCUAGUAUUUGGGCCAAAUCUCUUUAUUUGGAAAGUUUUAAAAAUUCAAAUUUAACACCAAACUUUUAUCUUUUACAAAAACACUUUAUUUAUUAACACCAACCAACUCAAUCAAAUCUCCAUAUGCUAACUAACUCAAUUAAUAAAUUUUUCUAUUAUAAAGAGCAUACAUGUACAAGAGCAUACAUUGCAAUAUUUAUUUCCUUCUGUUUUCUUCUUCUUUUUCAAAUUCAUAUUAGUUGUAUUUUCAUUAUCAUGAUUUGUACUAGUCUUUUUUAACGAUGCGACUAUUUACUGUAAUGAUGCUUUUGAUUUGUUGCGGAAGUCAUGAAUCUUGUUACGCGACAUUUCUAUUUUGCUAUGUAAUACAAAUUUAUGGUUAGUUUUGAUAGUUUUAAAAACUUAUGGGCAUAAAUCAUAUUUCUUAAAAAAAUUGAAAUAUAUUUCCCAAAUACUAUGGCCAAACACAUGGUGAAAUUUCACCCAAAUCUUCACCCAAAUAAUAUUUGCCAAAUAUAUUUGGAAAUCUAUGGCCAAACGCUAGCUAUAUAAGGGGGCUUGGGCUCAAAAGUUGGUCUUACUCAACAAACACCUUUCUUAGCAAAGUUGUAGUAACUCUUUAAUGCUAACUUACCAUGUGACAUGUUUAUGAUCACAAGAUUAAAAAAUAUUUUGUCACAUUACAUGUCUUUGAUUUAAGACUACAAUAUUUUAUUUUUUUAAAUUAUUUUCUUAAACUCCGUGUCAAACUGAAACUAAUUAAAUAGCAAUUUACAUUGAGGCAUCAAGGAAAGCAUCAUCAAGUUCUACAUUCAAAUUUCUUGCUGAAGGCAAUCAAUCUUGCAACCACACUAUGUUCAAUGCCAUACUCAUUUGUUCCUCUUUCUGAUCUUGAAGUAUCCAUCAUGUCAUCACGGAGAGAUAGAGCUUGGCUUAAGUCAUCUGCAGCCCCUUAAAGUUGUCCGCAUAAUUCAUUUAGACAUCUCAACUGAGACUCGUACCUAUUAGACACUUUAAUAUUAAUGAAUAUUUAUCUAUUGAACAUAAAAUGACAACUAGCAUUAAAAAUAUUGUGCGUGUAAUUCACACACAUUAUCUUGACAAAAUCACGAAUAAAAUUACGACACGUGACACAUGGACCCAUAAUUUUAAUUUUGAAAAAUAAAAAAUAAUUUUCAGCCUUUAAUAAUAGAGAAAAUUAAAUUGACAAAAAAAAUCUCCCCACUCCCUACCUAACCCCCCACCCCAUCUAACCUAUUUGCCCUUUUCUCCUUCGUCUUCUUCUCUGUCACUCCGCCAUCGCCAUUCACCAUCGAUUUCUCCGGCGAUAACAAAAAGAAAAAUAUCUCCCCCACCCCUUCCUGAAUACACCCACCAAAUCCUUUCCUCUUUCUUUUUCUUCCCGUGUUACUCAAAAUAAGAAUAAUCGACAUCGAUAAAUUAUUUCGAAAUUGAAAACGAAGAGAAAAUCAGAAUUAUAGCAAAAAAAUUUAUAACAUUUUUUAAUAAGUUUAAUGAAUGGUGAUGGUUGCUCGAUCGGAGUUAUUGAAAAUAAAGAUGCACAAUUGGUCGACUUUUUAACUCCAAUGGUCGAUUUUUUUUCUUCUUCUUGCAAAUUCAACAGGCAGUUUGUUUGCAAAUUUAGCAGGCAGUUUGUUUACCAAAAAUGAAGAAAAAAAAAAUGCCAAAACAAAAGACAGAAAUUUGAAGUCUUGAAAAUGAUGGGUCGAAGAAGAAGAGGACUUGUACAUGGGUGUGAGGGUGAUUUUUUUUUUUAUGAAUUAAGAUUAAUGUUUAAUUAAAUUAAUUUUUCAUUUAUUUAGUCAAUGCAUGCCAGGUGUCAAGAAAGUAGGUAUAAAUUUACUUUAAACAAUAAAAAAAAAUGUAUUCACACGCUCAUCAGCAGUGAGAUACACUUAUUUUGCCACAUCAGUGUUUUGUGUUUAAUAGGUACAUGUCUUGAACAAUUUAGGUGUUCAAUAGGUACAAGUCUUAGUUCAGGUGUCCAAGUGAAUUAUGCGGACAACUUUAAGGGGUCGUGGAUGACUUAACCCGAUAGAGCUUUAACUUACAUGCAUCGACUAUGUAUGAUUUGUAGUAAAUAAUAAAUAGUUUGAGAUAAUUAUUUUUAGAAAUUAUGACAAAUUAUUGGAGAUGGAUGGAGUAAUAUAUAAUUCUCGAGGAAAUUAUCUAAAAACAAAAUUAUAGUACUCUCUCUAUACAUAUUUACUUAUUCAUUCUCGACUCACUUGACGCAUCUUGUAAAGAAUAAUAAAUAGAAUGAUAAUUUUAUUAAUAUUAUCUUUUAAUCAUGAUAAAUUCAAUGUUUUUAAAAUGCAUUGAGAAAGUGACAAAUUUUCUCAUGAUUUUUCAAAUUGAUCAAGUGAAAAUGAUAGUUAUUUUUAGAACCCCGUUUGGCCAUGCGAAUCAUGAUAUGGUAUCAUGAUAUGGAAUCAUGAGAUGAAAUUGAAGGUUUGUUUGGACAUGAUAUAUGGAAUUUUUGUGUAAUAUAUUUUUUCAUANNNNNNNNNNNNNNNNNNNNNNNNNNNNNNNNNNNNNNNNNNNNNNNNNNNNNNNNNNNNNNNNNNNNNNNNNNNNNNNNNNNNNNNNNNNNNNNNNNNNNNNNNNNNNNNNNNNNNNNNNNNNNNNNNNNNNNNNNNNNNNNNNNNNNNNNNNNNNNNNNNNNNNNNNNNNNNNNNNNNNNNNNNNNNNNNNNNNNNNNNNNNNNNNNNNNNNNNNNNNNNNNNNNNNNNNNNNNNNNNNNNNNNNNNNNNNNNNNNNNNNNNNNNNNNNNNNNNNNNNNNNNNNNNNNNNNNNNNNNNNNNNNNNNNNNNNNNNNNNNNNNNNNNNNNNNNNNNNNNNNNNNNNNNNNNNNNNNNNNNNNNNNNNNNNNNNNNNNNNNNNNNNNNNNNNNNNNNNNNNNNNNNNNNNNNNNNNNNNNNNNNNNNNNNNNNNNNNNNNNNCACAAGUUUGAGUCAAAAACACUUCUAAUAAAAUUUAAUCAAAAAAAUUAUAACUAGUCCACUUGACUAAAUAUUAAUAACUAAUUGAUCAAAUUUUUCCCAAGUCCUCAAUCCAUUGGACUUGAUAUUCUUCAGUCAUGUGAUAACAUUUUGCGAAUACUAAAAGAUUAAGAAAGUGCGGCACCGCCAAUGAAAAUUGCCUUUUAUCAAUAUUAUGCUUAGUCAUAAGAUUAAGACGUUUUUUUUUGUUAUGAAAAAUCAAAAAAGUAUUAGUCCCUUCGUUCUUAUUUAUAUUCACCAAAUGAAUUUCUACUUUAUCAUUUAUAUUCACCAAAUUUAAAGUAAUAAUAAAUUUUAUAUUGGUGAGAAUAAUAAAUUUUAAAAAGUAAUGAUGUGAUUAUAAAUUUAUUUACAUAUGAAACAAAUGGUUAGUAGAUAUAAAUGUGGGGUUGUUUUAACAAAAUAUAAACUCAUGGAUCAAUUAUUGUAUUAAAAUAUCUCAAAUCAUGAUAUGGAAUUACAUGGUGAUUCCAUAUCAUGGUUUUUGGAGAAUAUGGUAUCAUCUCUCAUGAUAUGGAAUCAUGAGAUGGAAUCAACGUAAAAUCGCAUGUCCAAACGAUGAUUCCAUCUCAUGAUACCAUAUCGUGAUAUGGUAUCGCAUGGCCAAACGCCUACUUAGUAUAGUAAACAAAUGAAAGUAUAAGAAGAAUAAAUUUAUAAAUUGUCAACUAUAUUUAUUGAAUAAAUAUAUAAACGAAUAAACUGACAAUCAUGAAAAGAAAAAUGUUAUCUUUUUCCACUCAAAAGGGGAGUCUAAUUAAAAUAAAUAAACAGACACUAAUUAAGGUCUUGAAAAGCUCCCUUUGGAGGUUUUUUGUAUGGUUUUUAUGAAUAUUAGAUAAAAAUGCAUUCGCAAAUGCGUUUAAGGUACAUUUUAACAAUUUAAAGAGAUUUUUUUUUAACUUUUUCUCAUAUUAUCCUUGGUAUAAAUAACUACAUAUUUAAUAGUAGUAGUUAAAUUUAGAGUUCCAAAGUAUAUUAGUAAAGUUAGUUUAGUAAAACACAAUUCUAAUUAAAAUUUUCUUAAGGAAUGUGUCCAGUCAAUAGGGAUCAAGUAAUACAAAAUGAAAAGAGUAUAUUCAACUUUCAUCCGAGUCAUAUUUAAACGAAUUGUGCAUAACUCUAUCGAUUUUGGUGUUGAGCUGUGUUUUUUUAAUUUUUAUUUAAAAAGCUCUUAGGUGGAUGCCCCAAUUAAAUUUAGGUUCACACGACCUCAAAGUGAAUUUUGAACUCUCUUAACUACUUAUCCAAUCUCUAGUCUUGUGUCCACGACAUUCAAAAUCUAUAUAUAUACAUAAACACUUUAAAAAUAAUUACCCUACAUAUACCGUGUAAUUUUUGUUGAGGGGGUUCAGGCGAACACUAUGACAACCCCUAGAUCCACCCCGAUUCAAGAUCACAAAAUUUAAAAGUCUUCUUUAUUUUCUUGAACUCCAUGUCAAAUAGGAACUAAUUGAAACUGAGGGAGUAAGUGCAACAAACAAAAGCAUUCUUUAAGUCAUAAAAUUGAAAAGUGAAAAGUGACUAUUAGAACAAGUAUUAAUUAUGAAUUAUACAGAUUAAAUCAACAAGAUAAAUAUGCAAUUCAUAAGGUUUUUCUUGUCCCCAGUAUCAUAUUGCUAGUAUUAUUAUGUUAUGUACUUGUUGAAGAAAUAUCAAUUUUACAUUGAGGCAUCAAGGACAGCAUCACCAAGUUCCACAUUCAAAUUUCUUGCUGAAGGCAAUCCUGCAACCACACUAUGUUCAAUGCCACACUCAUUUGUUCCUCUCCUGAUCUUGAAGUAUCCAUCCUAUCAUCAUGGAGAGAUAGAGUUUAACUUAUGUGCACUGACAAUGUACGAUUUGUAAUAAAUAACUUGCUUUAACCGGUGGAUAUACUAUUUACGUUGUCAGUAUAUAUAAGUUAAAAGUUGUAUAGAUAUGUGUGUGUUAGUGCAUGUUCAACAAGAAGUGGUGAGAGCAUAAGGAGAAAAUCAAGGAUAUAACAUACUUCACCCCAGCCUCUAUUCCAAGAAUUAACAAUGAGCUGCAAGAAGAUAUAAAGAAGGUGAUUAAAUUUUUGACAAAAUGGUGUAUGAUUUUCGAUAGAAAAUAGAAGACGAUAAUUUGAACACAUCAACGUACCCAAUAGUCCUCUCCUUGCUCACUAGUUCCCCAUCCGAUAAGCUUAACAGCGUGGCCUCCCAUGUUUCCCCCUGUUACAUGCUUGUAAACUCCUGAUUUGUAGUGAGCAAAAUCCUGUGAUUGACGAAAAGUUUUAAGUUAUUCAGUACCGGGAAGUGCUGCUAGUAAUAAGAGACAACAAAUGUUGUAAGCUUAGACAAUGUGUUGUUUGAGAACUGUGACAUAAUUUACAAUAUCUGAACUUUUGCACUAAUAAUCCUUCUUCUUGUUACCUCGUAAACAGUAAAAGAGACCUCAACUGGUCCAUUUUUGUAAACUUCCGCCAUGAUACUCUGGGGAUCAUGGCUGACCCUGUAUGCAUUGACACCGUAGUGCUUUGAUUUCCUCCACAACACGUUCCCCUUGACACACUUCCUAUGACAUUUUGGAGUGGGGUAUAGCGGUUCGCAACCAGGGUGGGAACAUCCAGUAGUGUCGAAGUAAGGAUCACACUGCCAUCAUAUGCUCAAUUUGUUAGUGAUUGAUCGUAAAGAGCCAUACUACUCUAGAUGGUUUUACAGAAAGCUGUAGUUUUACUGAGGUGACAAUAAGUCACCAUUUACCUCUUCUGUGACCACUCCCCUACGUUUAAAGUAUCGCCAUGCUGCUAUAGGAUAUCCACCAUCACAACCACUCCCGCAUAAAAAGCCACAGCACGCUAACAGAUCAUUUGCAGACAGAGAGAUACUCUGCAUUACACAUUAAAAGUUAACAUCAGUAACUGUAACUACAGUCAAACUAAACAAGUUUGUGUGCUAAGAUGAGGUGGUGGUUACGUGCUUGGCUCAUAGUCAUGACAUAGAAUUAGGCUCACACAUGAGAGGGCGUGCUGAAUUAGGCUUGUGAAAUGUAUCAUUUCUAACAGUUUAAAUUAGGCAGUCACAUAGUUCAACAGAACUUACCAAAUUAUAAUGGAUACAGAAACGAUCAGACAGUGACUCAACAGCACCAAAAGCCCAACAAGAACCGCAAUGUCCCUGAAAAAUAUAGGAUUAGAUCACUAGAGAGAACCUGCAAUGUGCCAUUUAGCACAUUUAAUAGAAAGAAACUAGACCAGUAGCAGAAAAUCACCUGAUCUGUGAUGCAAAUUUGUCCCAGUGAUUGAUGUGCAAAGAUGAAAAACAUUAGAAUCUCUAUUAUAGAAUUAUAGCUAGAAAGGACGGAGCAAGGAAGUGAAAUGACUGACCCAGAAUUUUUCCAAUUGUGCUGCAUUGAGGCCAAGCCUUUCGUGCAUCAAACUCUUUUGGCAACUCCUUAAGUCUUGGAUGAGUUAGAACAGGAAUUCCCUCCAAAUCACCUUCUCUUGCAGGCUUAACUCCAAGAAGGCGCUUAAAUUGGGAAACCUGUGACAACCAAAUAUCGACAUAAUUAUAAAUGCAUGUUUUCGGUGUAUAGCUGCAAAAUCGAAUGGGGAAGUAUGAAACAUCCCACUAAAAGAAAAUGCAACUGUCACUGGUUAACAUCAUGUCAUAUGUUCAAGGUUACUGAUCCCACUUUUUACAGGAAAUUAGGGGUAGUUAUCUUACUUUUACACUGUUAGCGUUUAGAAGUUUUAAUAUUUAGCUAUAUGAUGGUCUCACCGUGAAAUUCGAUAAUUGAGGGUUGAAUGCAGCUUUCCAUCCAGCUUCAGCAUUCUCAUUGACUUGUUUGAUGAUUGAGUCCUACAUGAUCAUCCAAAAAUUAAAGUGUUUCAGUUUUAAAUUCGACCUGAGCACAAUGACAAUAACAUCUUCCUGAAUCAUGAACAAAAGAGCAUACUUGAAGGAUUGCAGAUUCAAGUUUAGCUUCAGAUAUUGGCUUCUCUGCAGCAACCUGCUUUCAAGAAGAAGACAGCAUUACAAUACUCUUAGCCUGAAUUUUUCUGUAUGAACAAAAUAUGUAGCUAAUACAUCAUACAACUAAAACACUACAACAUGGGUGAAAUUACGACUAAAUAUAAAGCAAACAGAAGUUGUAACUAGUAAAUUAUUUCUCCUCUUCUUUCCCCUUUUGUAUUUAUUUGUGAAGCAAUACUUCCUCUCAUGUAGACUCAUGUAUAUAUAGAAGACAUAAUAUAUAAAUAGACACUCAUAAUAUAUAAACAGACACUCAAACACGGCCUCAACUGACAAGGGAGCACUCCAAUUUGAAAGUGCAUAUUUAGACAACUCAACUUGGUCUCAACUGACAACAAAACAGUCCAACCCAUUGCGUCUCGUGGACAUCUGACAUGACACAUGAGUUUUGGAGGCGUCCAGAUGAUCAUUUUGUAAGUUGGAGUUUUCAACUAACACAUUGGAGACGAGUUGAAGUGUCCAGAUGUACAUACUCAAAGUUAGAGUGCUUAGUUGCCGGGACCAAGUUUGAAUGUAUGUUUAUAUAUAUAAAGACUAUAUAGGAACAUGUAAGUUAACUAAUACAUAAGAAUUUCUCAUCAAACCAUAUACUGAAGCUGCAAAAACAUGUCUCUACUUUUUUUUUCCAUUAUGUAAUCAGAAAAUCAUUAAAAUUCAUUUAUGUUCAUUAUUUCAAGUCAAAGUCAAACUAAAGCAUAUGAAGUCCAAAUUACUCAACAAUCUUUGAUCUUUCUCAAGAAAUAGCAAAAGGCUAUUCCAUGUAAUCAUCAAAAACUAAUAAUCUAAACCAUGGCCCCGGCCCCGAGGGUCUAUUAGAAACAGUCUUUUUAUCUCACAAAUGACACAAGGUCGAAGUUACAUCCUAUCUUAUCCUACUCUCCCCACACUCUACUCGUGGAAUCACACUAGUAUGUUGUUGUUUAUGAAAAAUUCAUUCAAUCUAGUUCAAAUGAUUUAUCUAAAACCCAAUAAACUCAAAAUUCUAGCUACGUCUCUGAUCUAAACAAGACCAUCAAUUUAAUAAGUAAGAACAACCCACAAAAGAUCAUAAAAGAUAGUACUAUAGACAUGUUCAUUAAAAUUGAAGAAACAAACCUGUAAGAUCAGGAUAAAGAAAGCACCCAAAAGCAAAGGAGUUAUUAAAGACUCCAAAGUCAAGGCCAUCUUUUUUUUUUCCUUUAAAGCUUUCCAAUUGUGUUGUGGAAAUGGAGGAAUCUCAAAGGUAUUUAUAAAAUAAAGAGGAAAAAAAGAAAGAGAGAAUAACAACCAAUUUUAUUGGCCCAUUCUCUGACAAUAUAUAAAAAAAAAAUGGCUUUAUUAAACAAGAAGAUGAUGUCUACUUGUGGUUGGUUUUAUAAGAUAUUUUUUUGGAUUAAAGAAUUUUGAGUGUUUUACCUUUCCCAAAAGUCUAGUUCAACUUGGUAUGUUAGGUAUUCCAGUUGGACUAUUUCACAAGCAAUACUGCCCCACCCUACGGUGGAUAAGAAAUAGGUUAUUCAUGUGAAUACGAUGUUUGGUUAACAAUUUAGAAACUCGUUAUGAAUUGUAUAAUGCACGAUAUAAAAUGAAAUAACUCAUACUUAUAUAACUAAUCUUUGCCUAAUGAAUACCCGUAUAUACAUAAAUUCUUUCACAACUAAUCUCUAUAUUACUAAUACUUGCAUAAUUUUAACUAGCUACCAAAUGACUCUAAAAAAAUUCUUUAUAUAAUAAAAAUCUUAUAAGUUAAAUAUAUAUAUUUUUUUUAUAGAAAUUUUGAAGUCUCCAUGUCAGAUUGCUUGAGGAAACAGACUUUACAUGUGCAACCACAGUCGAUAUUCAUAUUUAAUUUAAUUGCAGUAACAAGCAGGAUAAACAAUUUGAGAAAGUAAAUGAAACGUAAAAAUUAAUUUGAAAAUUGGAGUGAUAUUGUAUUGUUGAAGUAUAAUUAUAUUAUUCCAAAUCAAUCAAUAUAGUGAAAUUGCAAGGGAUAACAUUAGUUUUGGACCUAUAUGUAAUUGUGAUGUGACAAAAUCAUAAUAGAAUUUGAUUAAGUCACGUUUCAUCCGAAGCCAGUGAUAUUACAAAGUAAAAUUCAAACUAAUUUUUUGUUUAGAUUUUCUUUUUGUUUAGUCAGGUGUACAAUUUUCCUCCACAAAGUGUGCAAAAAACUACUUCUGUCGUGUCAAAUUAAUUGUCAUAUUUCGUUAAAUUUCUAUCAAUAAUUUAAAAUGUUAUUUUUCAUCAAAUUAUCGCCCUUACUUUUCAUCUCUUUUUCUACUAGUAAUGUUUUUUUUCUUUUCCUCUUUCUUUUGAUUGAUUGAGAAAGAUCUAAAUAAAUAUCAUAUCUUUCGAAAAUUAUACGUAAUUUUGUUUUCUCAAACGCAUCUUGUAUUCUUGUUUAUUUUCUAUAUAAUAAAUAAUGAUAGUGAGUAGAAAUAACUCUUUUAAGUUUAUAGAAGGUGAACACCUUUUGUCUAAUUUAACUAUAGAUUCUAUAAAGAGCUAAAUCUUUUUGUAGGAAAACUUAUUUAUAGAGGUGUUGCAUCGGAUGUUCCCCUUUCUUUAAAAAGAAAAAUUAGGGCUAGGAAGGAAAAAUAAGGAGGUGAUUAUAAGGUAGAGAAUCGUACACUCAUCAAUAAGAUAAAUUUAUGUAACUAAUCAACUGAGAUAUUAAAAUUCUCCUUAUUAAAUGUUACUCAAUAAAGGAACAAUUAUGUUUUUUGAAUUUCUCACAAGAUAGACAAAUAUCCACAUUAUUGAGGCCUGACUUAAUCUAGAUUCAAGUAAUUUAUAGUGGAAACUUUGAAUUGUACAUCUAAUUAAAUCCACAAGAUGAAAAUGCAAUUUAGGUGUCAUUUGGUAAAAUACAUUAGAAAAAAUAAUGCAUGCAUUAACAAUAUGUGUAUUAUUAGUAUCAUGUUUCAUAGUACAUUUUUCCACCCUAUGUAUAACUAAUUCAAUACUUUAUUUGUCUCUCAAAACUUUUUCCAUGUCCUUUCUACCAUGUUUGUGGAUGGUAUUUUUGUACACAAAUAAUUUAUUUUAGAAAGUAUACAAUGCAUGUUAUUUUAAAUGCACCAAAAAUAAUCUUAUCAUAACCAAUACAAUCAUAACUAAUACUAUCAUUAGUAAUGUAAACAUUACUAAUACAUCAUAUUCAACUUUAUUCUUAUACACAUUACCAAAGGACUCCAUAAAUUGCAUAGAUUUGGUAGUAGUAUUAUUUAGGUGUCCUGUUGAUGAAGUAGCAUUUUACAUUGAUACAUUAAGGAAAUCAUCAUCAAGUUCCACAUUUAGAUUUCUUGCUGAAGGCAAUCCUGCAACUGUAUUAGAUUCAAUGUCACACUCAUUUGUUCCUCUUCUGAUCUUGAAGUACCCAUCCUGGCAUACACACACAAACACACUAAGGCAAAAAACUUAUAGAAAUAUAAUACUACUAACUUUUUCGCUCAUGUAAAUUGGGAGUUGAUUUCUCAUAUAGUCACUCAACUAGCCACUAUUAUCUCAAGAAGUCGCUUUCAUAUGAGAUAAUAAGUAUUAGUUGAGUGACCAUCUGAG
rnacentral:lncRNA from 1 species